CCUUAUGGGAACGUUGUCCACCAAGAAACUGAUGAAAAAACCAACACCCAGUUCAGUUUUAGUUUAUAGAAAAAUAAUGGAAGUAGCGUUGGAAUGUAGGGUUACGUACAUGAUGUGUUGGGCGCUCCAGGCGAUGGAGUAGGUGUGGAAGUUACGGGUGGGGUCGAACCAAAGGUAGAAUUGUUGCUCCCUGUUGCCCUUCCCUUGAGUGAAUACAUUGGUGUGGAGGAUAUAAGGAUCUCCACUUAGGUUUCCCAAGAACUCGAAGUCGAUCUCAUCAUGGGUUGGCCCUUGAGAAGACAACUGCAUCACAAAUAUAACCUCAAUUUCCAAUUUCAUCCUACGAUUUCACGUGCCCAAAAAUAUACAUAGCAGGUAUCAAGUUAUGUUCCUUAAAGAAGUUUGGAGAGAGAGUUGAUGAAACAGGACUUGUUGGUUGAUAAUAAAAACGACAACUGUUUUCUAUUUUUAAAACUAAAUACUGUUUUUGACACACUUUAAUAUUUCAAAACAAACAAAAUAAUACCUUCUAUAAUAAUUACUCUAUACCCUGAGGGGACAAAACUACUCCCGAGUUCCCAAAAGGAAAAAGAAAGAAAACGGUCACCCACCCACCAUUUUAAAGGAGGUCACGAGAACAAGUAUGUUGAGAAAUCUUAUCUUUUACGCAAACAUAUAUUCAAGCAACUUUCAUCUUUUGUGAACAUGAGAAAAGCACUAUCAUCCCUAACAAAAUAGAGUUUUGUAAUGAUAUCGAAGUAGAAGAGGAAUGAAGUUUGAGAAUGAUGACAUACGUAGUAGGCAGUGACAGUGCCAGCGGAGUUACCAGCAACAAGCUUGAGUUGCAUAUCAAUCCUCCCAAACAAAUACUCCUUCUUGGACUGAAACCCAGACCCAGAUGUCUUGUCCAGAGAGAGAGACAGAAGCUGUCCUCCAUUGAAGAUCUUAGCACGAUGAUCGCCCCAUGUUAUGUCAAAGUCUUGAUAGAAGUUACUAGCAGAGGCAGUAGCCAGAACCAUUGCAAAAACCAAGCCAAAAAAUGAAUACCCAUUUGAAGAAGACCCCAUUUUGAGAAGAGAAUAGUGGGUUUUGUAGAGUAUUGGAUGUGAGGUUUAGAGGAAGAGAGGGAUUGGUAUAUAUAGGGUUGAGAGAGAGAGCGUAUGAUGUGGGAGACGCGUGAGUGACCAACAACUGGAGACAGCUGAGCAAAGUAGCAGAAGCUGGAAGGCAUUGGUGUUAUCUGAGGGGAGUUGGGUGGUUUUAGGCAUCGGGUUGUUUGUGGGAGAGAGUUUUUAAAGAAUGAUUGGGAUUCUCUCUGUGUAGGGUCCUCAAGCCAUGAUUUCGACAGCUGGUCGAUAACAACUUCUUUUAUGCGUAGGUUCGGCUCACCGCCAUCCCCCCUCUUUCCUUCUCCUUUCUAUUUUUCAUAUAUAUUUAAUUUUCAUAUACAUCUUAUCAUUCUUCAGAAUAUUGAAAACUCUUACUUUUGUGGGCUCAAGAUUUUAAUUCCAAAGUCAUUAUACUUGGUAAUAGAUACUAAUAGGUUUUAAUAUAUCCAAAUAAAUAAAUAAUAUAAAUAAAAACUCAUUUAUUUUAAAUUAUAUUUAAUUUAUAAAAUAUUAGAUAGUUUUAGAAGCAAAUGAUAUAUAACAUUUAUUUAAAAUUUAAUUCACUAAGAUAGGAAAUAAAAAAUUUGUUUCAAAAUCAUAUUAAGAAAUAAUAUCCAAAUAUUUUUAUAGUUGUGAAUGAGUUUUUAUUUUUCAUUUUUUUAAUAUAUGAAGCAAGACAUAUUUUUCCCAUUUAGUUUUAGAAAGCAGUAAAAAAAAAAAAGUAUUGAGAAAAAUAGUUUUUCAUAUUUGGUUUUACCAUGAAAAAAAAAAUCAUAUAUAAUUAAAAUUUAUAUAUUUUAAAAUUAUUUAAUAUUUAUAUAAUAAAGAGAAAUAACUAAAAUAAAUUUUAAAAAUCAUAUAAAAAUAAUUUAUUAAGUUUAAACCUUUUUUUUUUUCACUUUUUUUUUUCUGCAUUUCAUUUCUAUUUUCUUUUCCUUAUAUUUUUCAUCAAUUUUUUUGGGAACUAAACAAAGGCUUAAUUUUUUUUCUUUCUCAAGCUACAAUACCAUCAUCUCAUUAAGCUAAGUAAAAUGUGUUAGAGAUAUAAACAUUACAAAUUGAACCAUUGUUUAAGCUAUGUUUGAUUCUCGAAAAUUUUAAGAGAAAAUGAAAGGAAAAGAAAAUAUAAAGAAAAAGUAGAAAGAAAAUAAAAAAUAAAUUAAAAGUUGAUAAAUUAUUUUUUAUUUAUUAUUUCAAACUCAUAUUACUUAUUUUAACUCAUCAAUAUAAAGAUUAAAUAAUUUAAAAAUAUAUAAGUUUUUAACUAAUUUUAAUUAUAUUUUAUUUUAUUUUUUUAUAUUUUUCAUAAACAACCAAACAUGAUAAAAUAAUUUUUCUUUACAUUUAUUUUCUUACCUUAGUAAUUUUCGAGAACCAAACAUAAGCUUAAUAUUUUAAGCUUUUAAAAUGGAUGUAUAAACUAAUGGCCAUAUUUGAUUAUCACAUGGUACUAAGGAAAAAAAAAAUAUGAAGAAAAAUGACUCUCUUGGGUUUGAUUUUACUAUAAAAAAAUAUGAAAGGAAGUCAAAUAUAAUUAAAAUUAUUAAGAAAUUUAUAUAUUUUAAAAUUAUUUAAUCUUUAUUUUAAAAACUUAAAUAAGUAAAAAAAAUUUAAAGUGGUACAUAAAAAUAAUUCAUUAAUUUUAAAUUUAUUUUUUAUUUUUUUCCUUUUUCUUUCAUUCUAAUUUUCUUCUUUUUCAAACUUUCCAAUAACUAAACAUGAAGAAAAUGUUUUACUAAACCACUAAACAAAAAAUAAUAAAUUUAAAAAUAAAGUGGUGUAAAGUAUUAAUAUGAUAAUAAUUAGUUAAUAAUAACUGAAAAAAAAAUUCUUUGAUAUUUUACCGUUUGAAUGUAAAAUUGAAAAAAUAAAAUAAAAUAAAUUCAAAAUGUAUGAUUAUGGCAUUGGAAACAUGUGAAGGCAGAAGAUAAAUUCCAUGUCGCUUUCAGAUGUAGUAAAUAGGAUCACGGGACACGACAUUGUUAUGUGGGUCGAAUGAAUGACUUGUCAAUUCCAAUGGCCGUGGGAUAUGUUUCUCAAUUGCUUUUCCCUUACUCCAAAAUGUAAGAAAAAGAAAAUAGGAAGGAAGAAUACGAAGGAAAAAAAUUGAAGAAAAAUAAAAAUUAAAUUUUAAAUUAAUAGAUUAUUUUAAUUUUUUUUAUUUGUUUAAUUCUUUUAUAUAAAUAAAUAAAUAAUUUAAAAAUAUAUAAAUUUUUUAAUAUUUUUAAUUAUAUUUGAUUUUUUAUAAUAAAAACAAAUAUGAAAAUAUAUAUAUAUAUUUUCUGGAACCAAUCGUACCCUCAUGUUUUUUAAUUCUCUAAUUCUUUGUUUCCUUUUUAUAUUCCAUAUUUCUCUUUUUUAUUAACUUGAUAUUUGAAUUAAAGUCUUAUUUCAUGAGGAUAAAAUUGUUAAAAAGGUUUCUAAUUACUCUUUAAGGUAUAUUAAGGGUGUGUUUGGCUGUGGGAAUGUGAAAAAAUAGUAAAAAAUUCAUUUGAACUUUCUAUUAUUCUAUAAUUUUUUUUAAAUAUAUAUAUAUAUUUAAACAUAUUUUCAAAAUUUUCACUUUAGUUAGAGUAUUUUCUUGUGUUUCACAAUUAAAAAUUGAGAUUUAUUUUUAUUUUUUCUUUUUUCUAUUAUUUGGAUUAAAAAGAAUUAUAAAUAUUUAUUAUAGUCAUUUAACUUAUAUAAUACAUUAAAAUUUUUAAACAGAUAGUCCAAAAAAUAAGUCAAAUUAAUUCCAAAAAAAAGUCACUAACGUAAGGUUCAAAAAUAAUUUGAUCUUUAAUUCUUAAGUAAAGAUCCAUUAAAUAAUAGUUAGAUAUAGAUGGAUGGAUAGAUUUAAGGUGGUAACAAUACGGGAUUGGCUUGCCUCCACAACUGUAACAGAACAAUGUUCUUCCCUUGGAUUAGCUAACUACUAUAGACGGUUUAUUAAGGGAUCGAUACUCUAAUAUGGCUAUCCCUCUCAUUGACUUGAAGAAGGGGAGGGAAUGGAGGUGGGCACUGGAGUCUCAGACUAUCUUCCAAAGGUUAUAACCUCAAAGCCAGGGUUGAGACUACCAGACCUUAUGCUUUUACUCCUCCCUUUUGUUUAUAAAGGCAUCAUUUCAUUGCAAAGCUUGGAGAUUGUGAGAUUUAGAUGAGUUAAUUUCACUCAAAAUUGAAUUUUAUAAUUUUAAAAUAAAUUAUAUUAAUGUUUUUGUUUUUUUUUUGUUUUUUUUUUUAAAAAAAAAACCAUUGCAAUUACAAAAGCAACCAUUGUGUAUUUCUUUUGUUUGGGAUCGAUUUUUUUUUUUUCCUCAAAAUUUGCCUCUUCUUAAUUAUCAAUUUAGUUUUGAUAUUUUUCUCAAAAGCAAAUUUGAAUUGAAUAUAUAAUUGAUGGGUGGCGGUGGAAAAGGGUUAUUUCCAACUAGCUGUCAUGUACAUUGAAAGAAAAAGCUAUGGGCCAAAACGAUGUUGACCAAAACAGGGUCUCUACAUUCAUUGGGUGGAGAUGAGUUUGGAUUCACAAAGCAUUAAAUUUAUAGUGUAAUUUCCACCAUCAAGGGUCCUUCCUUUUUUUUUUUCCUAAUAAAAUUGAAAAAAAAAAAAAAGGAAAAAAAGGCAACUAAUGAGAGAAUUUAGAAAAAAAAAAAAAACCAUUUAAAGUACAGCCAACAUUUUUGUUUACGCGUAGAAAUAAGAUUGGAAAUGUUGAUAUGGAGACAAGGAUGAGGUAGUUGCCAUGAAACAUUAAAAAACAAAGGCAUUGGUAGUAGGAAAAAGGCCAGGAAUAAUCAAUGGGUAUGCUAUUAUUGAAGAGUGUUUGUUAAGGAUUCCUUCUAAUUUGGAUUACUUCCAUUUCACAUAUAGAUGGGUCUUCCUUUCCAAAUUUUCCAUUUUUAAGUGCUUAUUUAUCACAUGCAACCAUUUUCUUUAUAGAUAAAAAUAAAAGUAUUAAGUGUUACAAACUUUUAUAUUAUGUAUAUGACAUUAAGAGGGUAUUCGUUUUUUUUAAUUUUUUGUUGAAAAUAAUUUACUUUUGAUUAUUUUUCUUUCUUUUUCUUUUUUUUCUUAAGAUUUAUUAUAAAUUUUUGAAUGAAUAAAAGACAAAAAUAUUUAGUUUUUUUAAAAUAAAAAAAUAAUAUGUUGAUUUUUUUUAACGCUUAAUAGAAAUAAAAUAUUAAAAAAAGAAUAAUGUAAUAUUUAACACUAUUAAACAAUGUUUAAUUUGAAGUUCUAUUUAGAAUUAAGUAAAAAAGAAACAAACAAACACCACAUAAUUAUUUAAAGUAGUUGAUAUAAUUGCUUAUUUGAUUUGAUUGAUGAUAAAAAUUUAUUUUCUAUUUCAUAAUAGAAAUAUUUUACUGUGACAUUUUAAAAAUAAAUAAAUUAUUUUAUAAAAUUAAUAACAAUUGUUUUUUUCUUUUUUUCAUAUGUUAGGCAAAAGAAAUGCCUUCAUACAAUUGAUUGAGAAGUGAUUCAGCCUUACUCAGUGCUAUAUAGGAUCUAUUUUUGUUAAAAUAAUGUAGAAGUCUAGGUUUUUUUUUUAUAGAUAUAUUUUAAAAUUAUAGACAUUUAAUUAAUUAUAAACCUAGAAAAGCAUUUUAGAGAGGAUGUAAAGAGAAAGUAACACUAAUUAAUGACAUGAUUAAUCCAUACCACCACUCAUUGUAUAGGUGCUCAUCUUUAUGGUAGGACCUACUAAGUUUUGAAAUCCCAUUAUUCCACCAUGUACAGAAGAAAUUAUUAAAAAAAAAAAAAGAUAAAGUAAUUUUUUUAAUAUUGAAUAUUUAUUUUUUUCUGUAUGAAAUAAUUUAGUAAAAAUUACAAUUCCAUAAAAAAUAAGCAUAAAAAUUUUAUAUUUGAAUAGCUCUUUAACAACUUUAUUUUAAUUUAUUUAUUUUUUUCAACCAUUCCAUAUAGUUGUAAGUAAUAAUAUCUCAAUUAUUUCUUGUAAUUGUAUUAUAAAAAAGGAUAAAUGGAAAAAUAGAAAUAUUCCCUUUCUCUUGGGUACAUGGAGCUAAGGUAGUAGGUUUCUUUUCUUUUUCUUUUCAUUUUUAUUUUGCUUUUAUUUGUUCUUUGAUGAGCCUUUCCAACAUGUUUCAUUAGUGGAAAAGGUCAGGCUGGGUGUUGUAUUCAUAUUCCAUUAAUUCUCUUAUUUGAUUCAAUAUUUUGAAUUUGCAAGUUUAAUCCAAGUAUCUAGAAAUCAUCUCCUAGAAGUUUGGAUUUUAUGGAUAUAUUAAGAAAUAUCGAUCAAAAAAUAAUUAAUAAAAUAAGAAAUAAUACAUAUGUUCAAGUUGCUAUCAAGUCUCAUAUUUUUUUCUUUCAUGAGCAAGAUGAAAAUAUAGGUUUUCAUCAAUAUAUUAUAGUUAGAUUUUAUGAAUAUAUAAAUAAUACCAACCAAAGAAAUUUUGAGAAAAAAAAUUGAUAAAACAAGAAAUAAUAUAAAUGUUCAAAUUGUUACUUUUAAAUAAUAUAUGUAUAAUAAAUUUGUAAUAUCGAGUAGUAAAUCAAUAAUAUGUAAAACUUUAAAACAUAUUUUAUACAUAAAUAUCUAUUUUAGAUGUAUUUGAUGAUAUAAUAAAAAUGAUGAUAUAGGUAUGAUUUUUAAAAUGUUUAUAAUUUUAUUUUAAAAUUUAUAUUUCUAUUAUAUAUAUAUAAUGUUGGUUAUACAAAAAAAAAAUAUCCACAAAAGUUGAGGAUCAACAUUCCAUAAAAACUAGGGCUUCAACCAAAAUUUUACUUACCCAAAAAAUUUGGAGUAACAUCCAUAAAAAUUGGAGCCUCUAAAUAAAAAUAAGAGGGAUCAUUGGGAUAGUUUUCACAUAGUGAGUGUGCUACUGUGUAUGAUUACACAUUGGAUAAGACUUACAAUGAAUCGUGACAUUAGUUAUAAGGUAGUCAUGAUUCAUCAAGAUACUAGCUAUGUUGCAUAGGGUCCCAACCUUGAGAGAAUUAAGCUAGUAUUGAAAUUUUUAGUGGCUUUGACUUAUGUGUAAGAUCUGAAAGUGGUUGUAUAUUAUUUAUGGAUUGAGUCACCACUAAUUAAGGCAUAUGACAAAAGAUAUUCUCAACAUAGACACCAUGAUAUCUUAUGGGAUUGAGAUAGUGUAUCCCAUUGGGUGAUUAUAAGGACUAGUAAUCAUGUAAAUUAUGGUCAUAUAAAUUCUUUAAGUGGAAUUUGACAUAUGCUCAUAAAGAGUUGAAGUAUGUAAGUUGAUUAAAAAAUAGAAGAAUUUGAAACUCGAGGAUUAGAGAGCUAAUCUUGAGAGGUUGAUAGUAUUUAUCUCGUCAAAUUAUGGAUACCAAUUUAUAGGAAGUUUUUUAUACAAUUGAUUAAUAGGUCAUGGAGUGAGCUUCAUAUCUUGAUUUCAUAUUGAAGAAUACUAGAGUGCGGUUGACUAUCUUGAGUAUGAGGUUGAGUAAAACUUCAAAAUUAAAUUAUGAGGGAAUCAAUAUUCUCCUAUAGUUUCUAGUGAUCUCCACUCAAGCUCACAUUCCUUGGUGGCACAUCAUUUGAGGAAUAAAUGAGUUUUUUUAUUCACAAGUGCACUAAAGGGAUUUUAGUAAAACCACAAGGUUGCAUAGGAGUUUAUCAAUGGUCUUUCUAAAUUAAGCUAAUUAAUUAAUUGGAACCUAAUAGAGCUAAUUAAUUAAUUAAGGCCCAGCGAACUAGAUUAAGUGACCUAAACUUAGGAUGAGCUUAACUUAUUUAAGCCCAUAGGUAGGUCUAUAUAAACCCCCUUAAGGAUUAGGACUUAUAUGAUAUAAGUUAUUCUAUUUUCCAAAAAGAAGAGAGAACUCUAGUCUUCAUUUCUAUGGAGAAGAUUACAUUUUUCUCACAUGCCAAGGUUCGGGAGAAAGUUAUGAAGUAGAAGAUCAUGAGGUAAAUUUUCAAGAUCCACAUCAUCUUAUUUUUCGUUUGGAGUUUGAUUUAGGAACAUUUAGAUCAAAGUUAUACUUUUAGGCCUUACAUAUAUAGUUUCUAUAUCUUUAUCACUUAUGUUGUGUAGAUCUAGCGUCCUUAGGUUGUUAGAGAGCAUGGACCUAUGAUCUAGGGGUUUCCCAACAGUUACCUUGAUAUAUGACUCCUGUGGACCUGCAUUUUUCACAUGCGUUCCCACUCAAUCGGCGAGACUUAUUUUUAUUGGUGAAAAAUUAGUUUUGAAAAAGUUGGAGUCGCCACUUAUUUUAUUUUAUUUUAAAAGGGAAAAUAAAACAAUAAAGAAAAUCCUAAAGAAGUGACUCCAUAGUUUUGGAAAAGCAAGUUUUGAAAAACCUGAGCCUUGGUUUGGGAAUCAAGUUACUUAUCAGGAAGGUACCUCUAAGAGGUAGCACCCCUCUAAGCCUUAAAGAGGUCUCUAGUGACUAAGUUGAGGGGAAUGUGACAAUUAAUUAAUUGAUUGAAAAUACCUAGGUAGACUAAGGUGAUUUUAGAAUUAACAUGCCAAGCCAGAAAGUCAAAUCUUGAUCAUAAAAGAGAGUCAAAGUGUGUAUCUGGACUGCUUCUUAAGUGCUAUCAUAAAACAUCAAAGUUAGUAUAAAAAUAUAGUAUACUAUGCAUUUUUAUCAAAGAUAACCAAACGAUCCAACCUAUAUCAAGGCAAUCAAAAGGGCAAAGUGUUAGAGAUGUCCAUGGUGUGCACUCUCCAUGGUGCGUGAUCAAUCCCAAAUUGGACUGUACAUCCAUUGAAUUGCAGCCCAUGGAGGUUAUGGACUGGCAGUAGAAUGAAGCCUUCAUCCAUGCGUGUUGCCUUGUCUCUUCUUACCUUUGGAAAAUGCAACCUACUCGCUUUGGAUCAAUGGCGUACAUGGUUCUCUUGAAGAUACCAUGGAGAUCUUUAUGGAAAUUGGGAUAUGGACCCCUCAAAAGUUGCAACCCUGGGGAUGCUUGUGCGUGGAUUGGUUGUCUUCAACCCAUAGUGCGUUCCAUGCUUAGUGAACUCUCCCAAAAAUUAAUCCCAUUCAGCAUGUAAGUUUGAGCAAGGUGAUGUUCGGAGUCCUGAUGGAUGCAGCCUCAUCCAAAAAUUUGGCCAUAAUCUACUUUUAAAAGUCAUCCCAAGCAUGAUUCCCCUUUAAAAGAAUGUCAACCAAUCAUUUUUUGUUUGAGAUGGUGUUAUGUGAGUGAUUUUUCCUAAAAAAUCCAUUACUGUGUGUGCUGUGUAGAAUGGAGAAUCAUGGUCUCCCAUGUCCUCCCUUAUGGCAACCUCCUUUUUACUCUCUCAUAGCCUGGAAUCUCCCCCUACCCCAAAUAGAACUAUCCAACAUUCUUCAUUCAACAUACAACCUUGCCAUUCUGUUUGUAUCCAAAGAUGAGAUUUAUCCAAUGAUGUAGAUUUUCUGAAACAAAAUCGGAUUCUAGUGUUUUUCUAUGCUUCUUGAUAAACUUUCUAGCACUGCGUUUGGCCUAAGGAGGUAACACAACAUCACCGACCUUUUCUCCUGAUCAUUUUUAUCCCAGGUCAAAAUUGAAACGAUUUCCCAAGAACUCUAGCAUGUAGAAGAAUUAUGGAAUUAGUUCAUUCACAUUUGAUGUGUUGCCCUUUCUAGCUGCACUUAACCAAGUAUCUCUUACACUAUUGAAAAGACGAUCAACAUGGUCAAACUGACCACCUUGUAACUUUUGGUUGUUUGCACUAAAUGGUGGCAGGCAUAGUAGAUCGAAUAAGACAAUUCUUGCACUAGAAUAAUGAGAACCAUCAUAAAAAUUGGGGACCUCCCAUUUUUCCUUCUUUCUCCAAUCUUCCCAUCCCCCGAGUAGAUCCACUCUUCAGAAUGAAUCUCUUCCCAACGUCUUCUCCAACAGCUCCUCAUUGGAAAAUCCUUUCCAAGACUAGAAUUUGCCCACAUACCUCUCUGCUCCAUUUUCUUUCCCACCUAGCUCUUCCUAUGUCUUUAGAGUUGUGAACAGAAGAGACAACCCUAACCCCCUCUACAUUUUCACUGAUUAGACAGUCUCGACUCCGAUCGCUUGGCUUCCCGUUGUCGUUCCUCUCCAAAAUCCCUUCAAAACCAAUGUACCACCAGUUCUGUUCCUUCCAAAAACAUUCUAAAUCUCCCUUCAUAACCUACGCAUCUCGUCAAAGAAUUUUUCCAAGAUACAUUUGUCUGGGAUCACCUUCCAUACCACCAUUUUUUCCUAUCAUUUCCUUAUUCCAAAAAAAAAUCUCUGCCACUUUCAUUUCUCGAAAAUUCUAGUGAUUCUCUUUCCAAAUAAAUGGCAACCCGUUUUCUCAUGCAAAAAAGCCAAGAAAUAUUAGUUAGAAAACUUAUAAAAUAAUAUAAUAUAAUAUAAUAAAAAUAAUAUAGAAAGCCAUACAAUCCACACAAGUCAUGCAGGUCAUGCAAUCAUGCAAGUCAUAUAAAAAGUGAGCCUAAAAGUGCCCAAGUGACCUAGGGUGAAUGUGUGCAAGAUGGAAGGUGUCUAGGAUGUUUAGGACAAUGCAUAAGUCUAAAUUAGGGCUGCCAAGAGUCACAACGGGGUUAGAUAAAUCAUUCAAUCAGAGUCUCCAAGGUGGUUAAAAAAGGGUAAGUAGUAUGAGUAAUAAUGAGCCACCAGGGAAUUGUUGUAAAGCACCAAACGAACACAUAAUGCGACAUAUGCUAGAAGGACAAAAUGGAGGGUUUGCACUCCUUACCAUUUCAUCAUUCUAUUAUUGUAGCCAAUGUUGCCUUUAAUCCUAACCUUGCUCAUGUUCAUGGAUGAGACAAAAUCAAUUGAUUUUACAUGCCAUAUUAGCCUCCCUGUGAUAUGUUAUAAUUACUUUGAUGUAAUUUGUUGGAAAUACCUAGAUAUCUCCAUUCCUAUCCCUAGAUCAUUAGGGUGCAAGCAAACUAUCCUAAGGGUUCUCUAAAUAUAAAGUAGAAGCAUAGUACACAUUCAAACUUAGAUAUAGAGAAAAAGAAUGUUUUAUCUAUGACUUGGAUGUUCUUAGGUCAAAUCUAAUUAGUGAAGAGUCAAUGUGGAUCUCGUAGACUAGUAGAUUUUCCACUCGAUAAGACUUUUCUAGAUUUUGGCACAUGAAGAGGUGGAAUCCUCUCUUGAGGAUGGAGACUAGGGUUACUCUUUGUGGAAAAGUGAAUGGAAUACUACAAGUCUUAAACCUCUAAGGGGGUUUAUAUAGGCUUACAUGUGGGUUUAAGUGACUUAAGUCCAUUUUAGGCUUGAAUCACUCUUGAAUCCUAAUCAAUUAACCCUAUUGGACUACAACUAGCCAACUAGCUCAAUCCACAAAGAUAAUUCAUAAGCUUUUGUCCAGCCUUGCAUGUUUGACCAAAUGCCCUCAUGCACACCAAUGAAUAUAGAAUCCACAAAUCCCUUAAAAACCAUGCUAGCAUGGAAUAUGAGCUCAAGUGGGAAUUAUUGAGACCCAUAGGAAAAUAUUGGUUCCCUUAAAAUUCAAUUAUGAAGGUGAAUUAACAUCCCAUUAUAAAGAGUCAACUGCUCUUUUAUAUUUUACGAUAUUAUAACGGAAUACUAAUUUUAGGUUUGUGACAUACUAUCCAUUAUAUAUAGACUCCCCAUGAACUAGUAUCUAUAAUCUAAGGAGGUGAAUGUUAUCAACCUUCCAAUACACCUCUACAAUUCUUCAGUCUUAGAUUCUCUUAUUAUGUGAUCAACUAACAUACUGUAACUUUCUAAGAGCCUAUGUCAAAUUCCAAUUAAGGAAUUAUUAUGGCCAUGGAUUUCCUAUUCAUAUAUCCUUAGGAUCACCUAAAAAGACAAAUGAUUUCAAACCUAUGAAAUAUCAUGAUGUUUGUCUUGAAUAUACUUGUGCCACCAACUUUUAUCAACAAUGACCUAAUUUAUAGAGAAUACAUGGGAACCUUAAGGUUUCACCCUUAGUUAAAAGUCAUUGAAAACUUUAGUACAAGCUUAGUACCCUCUCCAGGUUGAGAGCUCAUAUAAUAUAGUAGCUUGGUGAGGUCAAGACCAAUUGAUAGCCAAUAUCAUGACUCACCCUAGGUCCUGUCCAAUGUGUAAUCAUAAACACUAGUGUACUCACCAUGGGCAAACCAUUUUGAUAACUAAGAAAAGUCAUUCCUCCUAUUAGGAAUUAGUACAUUGCAACCUUAAAUGAAUUGCCUAAGUUUAUGAACCAGUUGUGAAUAACUCAUCUAUUUCCAAGGAACCUAUGACUUGGAUCAUUUGUGCAACUCCUAAUGCAGCUAGGUUAUAUGCACUGCAAGAUAUGUCAAACCUGAAUGCUUUGAUAAUGUAAUGCAUGAAGAGGAUAAAUAAAAAAGGACAUUAGAAUCAUAUUAUAGAUAAUAAAAUCCUUUAUUGUUACAUCAUGUCAUGCUUUUUAGGGUUUUAUUCUAAUAAUCUCCCAUUAGCCCUUAAAACAUACUAGGAAUACAUUUGACACCUAUGCUACGCUAUGAUCACUAAAAUGAUCAAAGGCUUUUGACUUUCUCUUGGAAAUGUGAAAAAUGAUUAUACUAAGAGAAGUCAUCAACCUAACUACGACAUACCUCUUACCUUCCAUGUUCAUUGUCUUUAUAGGAGCCAUAAAGUACAUGUGAAUCAAAAUUGGUGGCUUAUUAGUAUUGACUUCAUUAAUUCUUUUGUAAGGCCUUCUAACUUGUUUUGCAUUGAGACAUUCUUCAAAAAAUGGGAUUAUUAGGUUCACUUAGCUUAGGGACAUCUCUAGUAAGAUUUCUAUUUUCCAUGGUGAUUAAAGUCUAAUAGUUAAUGUGUCUUAACCUUUUGUACACUAACUUAAUUGAAUCUAACUGAGCAUUGUUUCAAUCUACCGAAGGACUAGAACUAAAUGGUACACUAAAUAUGUUGGAAUAGAGCCCUCAAAAGCAUGACAUGAUGUAACAGUUUUAGAUAAUUAAUUAAUUUAUUUAUCUACUUUCCUUUAUUAUCUUAUUUACAUUAAUUGGUUAUUUAAACAUACACGCUCAUAUCGUUUACAUUGUACGUGACUCAGAUGCAUUAGGAGUUGCAUAAACGAUAUAAGUCAUGGGUUCCUUACAAGAUAGUAAGUUAUUCACAAUCGAUUCAUGGAUUUAGGUAACUCAAUAGAGGCUAUAGUACACUAUCUCCUAAUUAGAGAGAUGACUUGUCUUAUCCAUUGGGAUGAGUUUCAAAUGGUGAAUGCACUAGUGCAUACGAUUACAUAAUGGAUAGGACCUAUGAUGAAUCAUGAUGUAAGGCUAUUGGUUGUCAUGAUUCACUGAGCUACUAUAUUACAUAGACUUUCAACUUUGAGAGGAUAUUGAGCUUGUGUCAAAAUCAAUAGAAGACUUUGACCUAUGAGUGAAACCCUAAUAUGGUCAUAUAUCCCUAUGGAUUGAGUCACUAUUGAUGGAGACUAGUGGCAAUAGAUAUUCUCAAUAGAGGUACUAUGACAUCUCUUGGGAUUGAGAUAGUAUGUCUUAUUUGAUGAUCUGAAGGACAUGUGAUCAAGAAGACCAUGAUCAUAUCAAUUCCUUUAGUGGAAUUUGACAUAUGCUCUUUAGAGUUUGAAUAUGUCAAUUGAUCGCAUAAUAAGUGGAUCUAUAACUCAAGGAUUGUAGAGCUAAUCUUGAUAGGUUGAUAGUACUACCUUGUUAGAUUAUGUGCAUUAGUUCAUAAAAAGUUUGCAUGCAGUGGAUAGUAGGUCACAGACCUGAGCUUCACCUUAUUGUAAUUUCAUAGGAUACUAGAGUGUAGUUGAAUUUUUUUAGUGGAAUGUUAAAUUGACUUUAAAAUUGUAUUCUAAGGGAGCGAGUAUUUUCUCAUAGGUCACAAUGGUCCUCGCUCAAGUUUCUCAUUCAUGGAGGCACAUUUUUAUUUAAGGGAUUUGGGUAAAAAUACAAGAUUGCACUAGAUAUUAUGAAUUAACUUUUUGGAUUGAUUAAUUAAUUAAUUAAUUGGAGCCCAAUAGAACUGAUUAAUUAAUUAGGACUCAUGCAUGUGGGUUGGAUUAGAUGAACCAAGCUUAAUUUGGGCUUAAAUCACUUAAACCUAUAGAAAGCCCUAUAUAAACCCCCUUAGAGGUUUAGGGUUAAAUAUUUUUGCCAUUUUGUCUUCUAGUAAGCCACUAGAUAGAAACCCUAGCCAUACUAUAAAGAAAAUCCUAUACUUUUCUCAUGCCUAAAUUUGUGUGAGAAGAGAUUUAGUGGAAGACCAAUAAGUAGAUGAGCUCUACAAUGCUUUCUAUGGUUUUAGAAUCUUCAUCAAUAUCUUCUACAAAUUAGAAUCAAUAUGAGAAAAUCCAUAUUGCAAGUAUGGUUUCUAUAUUCUUAAGAUCUAGGUCCUUUUAUGGUUUUUGAAUGCCAUGUUUCCACUAUGUUAGAUCUAGAGAGCCAAGGGUUAGAUUGCAUGCACCCUAUACAAUCCACAACUAAGGAAUGGAGUAAUUUGGGUGUCCCAGCAUUAUACUCAAUCUAGUAAGAAAACACUUCCCUCACUCAUCCUAGAUUUCGCAUUUGUCCUAGGAGAACAUUGCACUAAACAGUUAUCAUAAAUUUGGAUAAUAUUAAUCAAAUUAGCUUUUAGUCCAACAACAUACAUCAUUUCGUAGAGCCUAAGGCAUCCAAGUAACCAAAUAGACUUUUUUCCUUUUUACAUAGGUCAUCUCCAAAAUGCCUCCUUAGGAAUCAUUACAUCAUUUUUAUUAAGUACAUUGCAAUCUUUAAACUUUAUAAAUUUUAUCUUAUCAAACAAACUAAAUUUUUUAGAUUCCAUAGUGUGGACUCGCAUUUUUCACAUGCGUCCCCACUCGAUCGACGAGACUUGCUUUUUAUUUGUGAAAAAUUAAUUUUAGAAAAGUCAGAGUCGCCACUUACUUUAUUUUAUUUUAAAGGGAAAAUAAAACAAGAAAUAAAAACCUAAAAAAAAUGACUCCGUAGUUUUGGAAAAAAACAUGUUUUUUAAAAACCCAAGUUUAGGUCCGAUGAUCAAGUUACCUAUUGGGAAGCUACCUCUAAAAGGUAGCACUCCUCAAAGCCCUAUAAAGGUCUCUACUGACUAAGUUGAAGGAAACGUGGCAAUUAAUUGGUUAAUUAUAGAUACCUAAGUAGGCUAGGUGAUUUAAAAAAAUAGCAUGCCAAACGAGAUCAAAUCAAUCACAAUCAUAUAGAAGAUUUAGGGUGCAUACCUGAACCACUUCUUAAGCUCAAUCACAAAACAUCAAAGGUUAGUUUAGAUAGUAUAUCACCCAACAUGCACUUCAUCGUAAAUAAUCAAAUAAUAUAACAAUAUAUCAAGACAUCCAAGCACUAUCAAACAUAGACAUAAUUUACAAUGACAAUCAUAUUUAUAGAAUUCAAAAAGUGGGUGUUAGGGGGCAUACCCGGAUAGCAUAGACAACUCAUAAUAUGCUUCCUCAUGACAUGGGGGGUUAGAUAAUAAAUAAUAAAUAAUAAAAUAAGAAAUCCUAACAUGCUUAGUAUCUAAUUAGCAUAGCAAAAAUGAUCAGAAUAUACGAAAUAAUCAAUUAUCACACACAUCUUGUAUACAAUUCCUAAAAAAAAAAAAAGAUAGAUAUGAUUACAACAAAUGGCAAGGGUGGUAGCAAAAAAAGUUUUGAAAAGAUUUUUUUAUGUAGGGUUUCACCAAUUCCCCAAUUGAUAUACACAAAUUUAGCCCAAAAUUAGCCCAUUUAUUUGGGACCACAAGCUUUGAUUCGUGUUUUGUUCAAAACCAAAAUUUUCAUUAAAAACUAAGAAGGAUGCAAACCGAUCAAGACAUGGUUGCAUGCUAUUUAAGAAGACGAGAUUUUGAUUCUAAGAACUCUAGAUGAAUUUUUUUAAAAUAGAUUUCCAAAGAGAUCUUUUGAGAAAAAAGUGUUUUGUUUUUAAAAUAAAAGAAAUUAAUUUUUAAAAUAACAAAACAUAGAAAACAAAAUACCAACCAAAACAAAAGGAAAUGAAGAUCACAAAAUAAAGAUUUAGACAAUCAUGCCAAUCAAAGUGGUGAGAGUAGGGCCAACCUUCAUGGGUUUCCAGUGGCCUUACAAAAAAAAGGAUUUGGCCAACAAUCACUAAGGCAACAAACUAAUGACUUCCUAAUCAAACAAAUUAACAAAAAUAUUGUCCAAGACUAACAUCUGGAUUUCAAGAAACACAUGAUAAAAAAGAACAAUCAAGGAUUAAAGUCAACAAAUUAAGCAUAUGGAGAUAAUAAUAUGGGAUCAAUUAAGGUAAAUUAGUAUUCUAACAAAAUAUGAUAAAUCAAAAACCAAAAUUUAGCAAUCUUGAAAAUAUGAAAACAAUAACAUGCAAUUAACUAGAUUGACUAUCCAAAAUUCCUAAAACUCAUACUAAAUAUUAAUAGAUCAAAGCCAAAAUUACCAUACUUAAAACAUGAAAAUAAUAACACGUGGAAUUAACUAAAUUAAAUGACUGAAACUCUAAAAACACUAAAAAUGAAUAUUGAUGGAUCAAAUUGAAAUGGCCAUACAUAAGACAUGAAAAUAAUGAGGAAUCACUAAAUUAAUUAAUUAAAAUUAUGAUCAACUACAAAAUUGGAUGUAAAUGGAUUAAAAUCAAGAUUAAUGAAAAUCAUAAAUGCACAAACUCAUUCAAACUAAAAAUAAUAAUUAAUACUAGAUUAAAUUAGAAUUAAAAACAUCAACAUCAUCUAAAAGAUUGGCUAAACUAUCCAAUUGAAAUUGCAAAGACAUUUAAACUAGAACAAAUAAAUAAAUCAACAAGUUAAAACUAAACUAAAAUCGGAAUUAAAAAUAUGGAAUUCAUCUAAGGGGGUUAAUUAAAUAAUUGAAUUAAAAUCAUAAAUGCAUUCAAAUUAUAAAAUAUUAAAAUUAAACUAAAUUGAAAUUAAACUCUAUCCUAUGAGAUUAUUUAAACUGAUGAAUUAAAAUCAACAAAUGCAUUUAAGCUAAAAACAAGUUAAAAUCAAACUAACUGAAAAAAAAAAAAAAAACAUACUUUAUUUGACAUGAUUAUUUGAACUAAAGAAUUAGGAUCACUAGAUGCAUUUAAACUAAAAACAAAUUAAGAUCAAAUUAAUAGGAAUUAAAGACGCAAACUUUAUUCAAUAAAAUUAUUUAAACUAAGGAAUUAAGAUCAAUGAAUGCAUUUAAACUAAAAACGAAUUAAGAUCAAACUAAUCGGAAUUAAAAGCACAAACUUUAUUUGAUAAAAUUAUUUAAACUAAAGAAUUAAGAUCAACUAACACAUUCAAACUAAAAAUAAACAUAGAACUAAACUAAUCCGGAAUUAAAAACAUAAACUUUAUCUCACAAAAUUAUUUAAACUAAUAAAUUAACACCAUAAGUGCAUUUAAACUAAAAUCAAACUAAUCGGAAUUAAAAAUAAAUAAAUAAACUUUAUCUCACAAAAUUAUUUAAACUAAUAAAUUAACAUCAUAAGCGCAUUUAAACUAAAAUCAAACUAAUCAGAAUUAAAAAAAAAAAAAACUUUAUCUCACAAAGUUAUUUAAACUAAUAAAUUAACAUCAUAAGCGCAUUUAAACUAAAAUCAAACUAAUUGAAAUUUAAAAAAUAAACUAUAUCUCACAAAAUUAUUUAAACUAAUAAAUUAAAAUCACUAACAAACUUAAACUAAAAGGUGGAUUAGAACUAAACUAAUUGAGGAUUUAAGAAGAAAAUAAUAUAAACUUUAACACAAGGAAUUAAUCAAAAACUGAAAUUUCAAAAAAAUCUAAGCUAAAUAAAAAUACUAUAUAGAAAGCUAACCUGUGAAGUGAAAGAGAAAAUCCUCUCGUGAUGCGUCAAAAUAACAGCCCAUCCCCGCCCGAAAUCCUUUGUUCUCCUCCAAAAUCCCACGUACUUCUCUCUAGAAAAAUUGUUCUCAGUGUGUCGAUCUCCCUAAAAAAAUCUGUGCGCGUCCUCUCUAGAAGAAUUCUGCUUUAUGUCUUGAUCUCUCCACAAAAAAAAAAGUCCCUUGCGUGUUCUCUCUGACCCUUAUUUAUAUGGAAGUACCUUCCUUCUAUCGGAUAUUCUAUUUCCUUUUUUAAUGCACAUGGAUAUGGAAAGCGCAUACAUGGUGGCUCACUGGGAGAUUCCCUCAAGGAUGCAGCCGUGUCUUAUUUGGUAAGUGAUCAAAUCCUUACCAUGUUGACUUUUCUUUCUAGAAAAACAAAAAAGAAUCUCCUCACAGCCCACCAUAUGCGUGUUGUGCACAAAGUGGCCACUUCUUACCUAUUUUCAUGCUAUUUUCCUUUCUACUCAUCCAUCUGCACCGCAACGCUGCAUCCCAUUCCAUCUCACUCUGUAGUUGCAUGGCAAUCUUUGCAUACCAAAUUAUAUUUGAUUCUGAGGCAAACGCGCUGAGCAUUGCUUCCAGAACCGAUUGCUCCACCGCAGUCCAAUCCGUUGCGAUACCCAGAUUGUGUUUCUUCGCCAUCCUGUUGCAUGGGUGUCCCUAAUGCGAUACCGAAGAUGAAGCUUUUGGAGCAGGCGACCAUCUCCGUUUUGGUCAUUGAUGAAGUCCGGAGUCUUCUUUUUCUGAUACAAUCGAGGCAUGAAGUCCCCAUUCUUUCGUAGUUGAUGCACGUGGUGCUGAUGCUGCUGCGGAAUUGAGGAGUUGUCAUCCACCAGAUUGGGCCGUAGGCACAGCUUUGAGCUGCUUGGAUGGAGCUGCGUGCGUGUGAUUUUUUUGGCCCGUUCCUCUUCAUCCUGGGUGCGUGUUCCAGAUUUUCUGUAGGCGACCCCCCAUUGACCAUUCCUAAUGGCUUAUUUAUUGAACAAUUACCAUUUGCCACAGAAUUGUCUAUUAUUGUAUGAGGUAUAGUGCUUGUUGCUUAAAGGCUCCUGUGGACAAGUUAUUUUACUGUCAUCUGCAUAUUUCUUGAUCAAGUUACUCCCUGAAUAUGCAUUCUCUGGCAUGACUGAUGAUUGCACCCGGUUAGGAAACAAUCGAAUGGGAGAUAUGAGACUUUUUGAUGCAUGUUUGCUUUUUGCCUUUUCAUGAUGGGAAAGAGAAGUAUCAGAAUCAUUUUCAUUGUUUGAAGAAGCAUCCCGGAAACUCCCUUUCAAAAAGGAAGAAAUCGUAUCAUCUUCAUCCCCUUCAUUUAAUGAAGUUCCUAAUUCUGGGUCACCAAGGAGGCUCCUUGCUCUUAGCAAUGCAUCACUAGAAACUGAUAUCGACCUUCCACCUGCAGUAUGAAACUUGAUUGGUGGUGGAUUUUGUGCAGGACUAUACAUUUCAGACUGCUUAAGGUUGGGAGCAGCCUCAUUUGUUGAUUCUGUUCUCCAAGAAGUGCUAGUACUAAAAGGUCUUGGAACUGGUUUGGCAUUCUCACUUUUUAUACUGUUCAAAUCUUCUUGCAUCUCUAAAUGAGAUGAAUUUUGUCCACCAUCUAAGCCAUUCAUCACACUUUGCUUUGUGAUGUGUUCUUGACAAGAAUGGUGAUUAUUAUUUUCUUCUAACCCCAACAAACCUUCUACUGUAGCAUCUCUUAUAUAUAGAUCUAGCUUCAUUUAUCUGGCCUGCUUCAAGUUCCAUCACAUUAUAGCCUUCCCAGGCUCCGAACAUUGAACUACUGUUCCUAAGUAAGCUCUCCCAAACUCCACGAGCUGCAACUAGAUCUUUAUUCAGAUUUAGCUCUAAAGGAGCCCAAUAAGCAUGCAAUCGCACCAAAUCAUCUGUGCAAUGCAUACUGAAAAGCGUCCUCUAUCAAUGCAUAAUCUAAAACCUCUUCUUGCCGAGGUAUUGAAAUUCUUCUCCUCCAGAUCUGUCAGUCUCCACUUUCUAUAUAUAAAAAAUAAAAAUAAAAAUUCCUUUCCUUUUACCUUCAGUUGUGAUCUGCCUUCCUUUUUUAACAAUAUAAAUCUCCUUUACAUCCUCCAUUCAGCCGUGAUCUGCCUUCCUUUUUUAACAAUAUAAAUCUCCUUUCCAUCCUCCAUUCAGUCGUGAUCUCCUCUACUUGAUGGCUCCAAGUCUCAUACAAAAUUAAAAAUAAAGUGGAGAUAAAAAAUCAUAUAAUUGGAAAUUGAAUAAAAUAAAAUAGAAAAUCAAAUCACAUUGUCACGAAAAUCCAAUAUGUCAAUUCAUGGAAUUAAAGAAUGAAUGGAUAAGUGAGUAAAUAAAUAAAUAAAUUGAUAAGGGUAUAUAAAUAAAUAUUAGAUGUCUGCAAUUAGAAAAAAUCAAGAAAUUAUAUUAAUGCAACGGAUUAUAAUAAUUUAAAUGUCAAACUCAAACUCUCAAAAAUUUUAAAAAAUAAAAAAUUCAUUUCAUCAAUAAAUAGUCAAGUCAAUACUCAUCCUAUCUCAGAAAAGGAAGUAACCAAGAUCAAGAACACGCCUAAGUGGGCUAUGCCAAAAGAAGUGUCCAAGUGACCUAUUCUGAAAAGGUGCUUAAGUGACCUAAGGUGAAUGUGUGCAAGCUAGAAGGUGUCUAGGUGAAUCUAAGUAGGCUUGGGUGAACCUAGAUGAGCCUAAAAAUGCAUAAGUGACCUAGGGUGAUAUGAAAAGUCCCUAAGGUAAUAAAAAAGGUAUCUAAGUGAAUCUAGGUGAAGUGUAAUGUGCCUAAGUGGCCUAAAAUGAGUGAGUGUAGGCUAGAAGGUGCAUAGGAUGUUUAGGACGGUGUCUAAGUCUAGAUUAGGGUUGCCAAGGGUGCUUAAGUGGGCCUAAGGUGGUGUCUAAUAGGUUAAAGGUGGUGCCUAAUGGGCCAAGUGUACCUAAGUGGGCCUACGGUGAGACUAGGUGAGCCUAACUAGGUCUAGCCUAAAGUGCACCUAAGAACUAUCCUAAAAAGGAAGGAAAAAACCAAACUCUAAAUUAAGGUUGCCAAGAGCACAAAGGGGUUAGAUAAAUCCCUCAACCAAAGUCCCCAAGGUUGCUAAAAAAAAAAAGAUAAGUAGUAUGAGUAACUAUGAGCCAUCAAAGAACCAUUGUGGAACACUGGAAGUGAACUUAAAGACAUGUGCUAAAGGGACAAAAUUGAGGGUCUACACAUAGCCAUAACAUUGUUGCACAAACUAUUAUUUUUAUAAUUACAAGAAUCUAGAAUACCAUGCAUUUCAUGAAUUUUAACAUUCAAAAAUUCAAUAUUACAAAUUGUUUUUGUCAUUUUUUUAUUUUCACAUUUUCACAUUUCAUUUUGAAGCUUUCAUUCUAUAGAAAAUUAUAAGUAUCUUAUAAAUUUUUAGGUUCUUGCUCUUUAUUUUAUUCAAAGGAAUUUCCAUAUUCCUUACAAUAUUCUUUUUUUUUUUAAUUUCUAAUUUAGCUACUUUAAGAAAGACUAUAAAAACAACAAAAUUUGAGCUUUUAUUACUCUCACUAGAGUCAUUUGAUUUAUUCCCAUUAAACUUUGAAUCGCAUUAAGUCACUUCCAUUACUUUCUUGUUUCUUUUGGGAAUAGAGUAGUAAAAAAAAAGUGCCUUUUUGUACCAUCUUCAUAGAAAUUGGAUUAGGAUGAUGGUUUCUAUUUCCCUUUAUUCUUAGUGAUAUUUCCUUUCUUUUUCUUGAAGUUAAUUUUUUGUUAUAUUUCUUUUAAAGUUUCAUAGAAGAUUUAAAUUUCCUAAUAAACAUUGAUAUUUCGAUUUUAGUAAGGAUUUGCAUCUUUAAUCAUGAGCCUUUAUUUAUUUUAAUCUUCCAUAGAAGCUUUUAGACUGGACUCUUUUGACUUCUUUGAAGAUAGAAGGAUUUGACUAGCUCAUACACUCUCAAGGUAUUUACAUUCUUGUUUUUUUUUUCUUUAGUGAUAACCUCAAGCCUAAAUCUCAAAAGGAGAGAUCUCAAUAUUUUUCUUACUACCUUAGAUUCUAGGGUCCUUUUACCUAGAUUAAAGCUUGAAUAACUUAGUUUAAUGCAAAAUUUAGAGAAAUAUUCAUCUUUUUUCAUUCCCAUACUCUCAAAUUUGGAAUAUAUAUAUAUAUAUAUAUAUAUAUAUAUAUAUAUAUAUAUAUAUAUAUAUACUUCUCAAUAGAAAUACUGUUAUGAGUAACAACCAUGAUAUCCCAAACUUCUUACUAUAUUUACAAUUGUACUUUUCUUCUUCAAUCAUAACAACAACAUAUUCAAAUUUUACAUUAAAUAUCACAUAACUUUCUUUACCAUUCUUUGAUCAUCACACUUCUAACAUAUGGUUUCUGUAGGACCUCAGGCGCUACCAACUCUCCUAAAAGCAAUUGCUUGUAGGAAAGGCGCAUACCNNNNNNNNNNNNNNNNNNNNNNNNNNNNNNNNNNNNNNNNNNNNNNNNNNNNNNNNNNNNNNNNNNNNNNNNNNNNNNNNNNNNNNNNNNNNNNNNNNNNUUUGGGGAAAGGGCCCUUCCCUAACCUUUUUGGGCCUUCCCCCAAGGCCCCCCGGGGAACCAAAGGGGGGUUGGGGGGGGGGGCCCACCCUCCGAUUUCCCAAAAAUUUCCCCCCCCCCCCCCCCCCCCCCCCAGCAACACCCCUGGGGUUCGAACCCGUAACCUCAGCUCUGAUACCACUUGUAGGACCUGCUUUUAGGAGAGUUGGUAGCGCCUGAGGUCUUACAAUUGGUAUCAGAGCUUGGGUUGAAGAUUUCUGGAAGAGUAAAAGAUCACAAAGCACACAAGAUGAAAACAAAGGAAUUUUCACUGAAGGUGGAGUCGAUUGCUCUUUCGUGGUGAUAUGAUACAAAAAGGUUUGUGUCAUAGAGAGAUUGAAGAUUAACUUCAUGUAAUUUGGUCCAAGGUGGAGAUUGUUGGGAAGUGUCCCAAAUUCCUAAUUAGUAUAGAUUCCUUUUUGUAAAGAAUAUUGUAUAGAAUAUUUCUAGGUUGAUAUAUUAUUGUAAUAUUAGACUUCCUUAUAGAAUAAGGAAGGUUGUUGGAAAUAUCUCUAUAAAUAUUCUAGGUCAUGAGGGGAAAAAGUUAUGAGAUGGAGAUGGGCCUAUAGAGACUAUACGAGGUGGCUAGAGAUGUGAGGAAGAACGGGAGGUACCUGGUGGAGCGAGAGAGCUCGUAGUAAGGUAUGGAUACAAGGAGUGGGGAAACAUGGGAUGUUUCGGGAACCCAAUAAUUGUAUCUGGUUCUAUCCUCUGUAAUAUUCUCUAUUGUAUAGUGGAAUUAUUCUCUCUCAUCCGUGGACGUAGGCAUGGUUGGCCGAACCACGUUAAAACCUCGUGUACCGUAUGUGUGAUUGUUUUAUCUUUGUGUUCUUGAACUAACAUUGUUGGAAUCAAAGCUUUCGCUGGCGCUACAGUUUCCAAUUAUUUACACCUUAUCAAAAUAAUUUGAGAUUGAUUUCGAGUCAUUCAUGUGGAUAUACUCAAAUUUACUUAUUCCUAUUUGCAACUUCAUUCUUUUGAUGUGAUCAUCAACUUUGUAUAAUUUUUUAUUUUUUUUUAGUACCGUACGUGUUUUUUUUUUUUUUUUUUUGUUUACUAUUAAGCCCUUUAUUAGUAGGGUUGUUGGGAAUCAAUCCCUCCUUGAAAGCAAACCACUAAUACUCAAUGGCUAGAUUGAAACCUAUGGAAUUACCCUAGCAUUGAUUUAAGGAUCCUCUUGACCCAAAUGAUCAAACAAAAAAUAAAACCUCUAAUUCCAAUCAUUGGAGAUAUUAAUGGAAAAUGAAUCAAUAACUGUAUUCCGGAUAAAUGGUUGACUUACAAUAAAAUGACAUUAGAACUAAGAGAAUUGGGUAGCUAUUAUGCUAUCAAUUAGAUCACUAACCCUUGUUAGUUGUUGGUUAGGUUCUGGUGUUCCUCUAUUGCUUUGAAUAUUGCAUAGGGUGUUUUUUUUUAUCUUUCUUUAGAGAAUCUUCAAAUAAAUAUUUAUGCUCAUUUGAUGGUGUUUUCAUAUUAGCAAACAUUGUUGUAGUUAUUAUUAGGUUGUAUAAAUUUUAAGAUAUAAAUAAUACAUACAUCUUAAUACAUCAAUUGUCGAAAUUCUUAUAAGUAAAAUUGGGAAUUGAAAUUGAAUUUAGUUAUUAUUUGCAUCCAUAAUUUAACUAAUAAAAAUUGUAGAUUUCUUGAUAUUCUAGCAACUCCUUAGUAUUAUAGCUUUGAUCUUCUAGUACAUUUUUUUAUUUUAUGACUUUAAUAUCACAUGUUUGAGGAUCGUUUCGGCGCCGUUUUGGAGCCGUUGAUAACGCCGCAGUCGGGGACCUUAGGAUCGUUUGGGGUUGUAGUAAAUAAAUAAAUAAAUAAAAUAAUACCACCCAACCCUAUCUGCAAUGUGGCACUAAUAGAAUCAACCCCCUGGUCCCACAUAUAUUAUAUAUAUAUUCAACCGAAUAUAUAUAUAUAUAUAUAUAUAUAUAUAUAUAUAUAUAUAUAUAUAUAUAUAUAUAUAUACCUACCACAUUGGACCUCUUUAUUGUGCUUACAAUACAAAUUUGAAAACCUUGCACACGUGUCGUAGCUUGGUGGCUAGUCCAAUAUUGGAAAUAGAACAAAUGGACAUGCUAUAAUAAUAAUAAUUUUAAAAAAAAGGGCCACUGUGGGGCUUGAACCCACGCGAGCCCAAGAUUGAGAGCCUUGCACUCAACCAACUGAGCUACGAGAUCCUUUUGUUUGUUUAUGAUUUUAUACCAAUGAAAUUAUGAUUUUGAUAUAGGAAUUUACCAUUUCUUGUUACAUUUAUGUUUAAUAUUUUUAAAAUAAAUAAGUUAUGUAUAUUUGUUGUCAAAGUAACUUAUAUUAUAUAAUUUUAUUUAUUUUUGAAAUAUUUAACAUAUUAUUAUUGUAUAAAAUAAUCGGACCAAAGGAAGAUUAUUUUAGUAUAAUAAUAAAUAAAGUAUUCAUAAAUAUAUGACAAAUAAAGUUUACCUUACUUGCUGUAUGUCAGUCUAAAGACAAGCAUAUUGCUUCGGUUAUGUUGUCAAUAUUUAUGAAUUAAUUUUGUAAAAGGAUAUCAAUUACAAGUUGAUAUUUUUUGUCCAAAGACUAAAUAUUAAUGUUUGUGCUAGGUAGCUUGUAAUAGGCUCACAUGCAUAUAUAUAUAUAUACGUUAAAUUUUUAUUUAUUCAUAUAUGUGUGAUAUUUUUGUGACUGAUUGUGAACUUUAUUGUUAUGAAUUCAACAUUUUCUAUAUCUGCUAAUGUGAAUAAUAUUCCUAUGCUUGGCACAAACUUCAAGAAAUGGAAAGAGCACGUUAUAAUUGUGCUCGGAUGCAUGGAUUUGGACUAUGCAUUGAGAGAGGAUCACCCUCCAGACCUUAUUAGUGCCAGCACUGCUGAGCAAAGGGCUGCUAUGGAAAAAUGGGAGCGGUCCAAUCGCAUGAGUCUAAUAAUAAUGAAGCACUCAAUUCCAAAAGCUAUAAGGGGUGUAAUACUUGAGGAAACUCGAGCCAAGACAUUCUUGGACUAGAUAGCAAACCGAUUCGCUACAAACGAAAAUGUUGAGACAAACACUAUUCUUAGUAAGCUUGUCUCCAUGAGGUACAAAUGAAAAGAGAAUAUAAGGGAGUACAUAAUGGAAAUGUUCAAUCUUGUGACUAGAAUCAAGGCACUAAAGUUAGAGUUGUCACAAGACAUACUCGUGCACUUGGUCUUGAUCUCUCUGCCUACACAAUUUAGUCCAUUCAAGAUCAGUUACAAUACACAAAAGAAAAAAUGGACUCUGAAUGAGCUUAUUGCUUAGUGUGUACAAGAGGAGGAGAGAUUGAAACAAGAGAAGAUAGAAAGUGCUCACUUGGCUUCCACAUCUCAAGGAUUUAGUACCAACAAGAAAAGAAAGAGGGACAAUAAAGGAAAACAAACUGCAUUUUUUGGGACAUCAAAGCAAAAGGUGCAGAAGAAACAAGAUAAGAAGAUCACUUGUUUCUUUUGCAAGAAGGUUGGUCAUAUGAAGAAGACAUGUACCAAAUACGUUGCUUUGCAUAAAAAGAAAUGUACACUUCUCAACCUUGUUUGUUCAUAAAUUAAUUUAGCUAAAGUACCUAUUAACACUUGGUAAAUAGAUACGGGUGCAACUACUCACUUAAGUGUCACAAUGCAGGAUUGCCUAAGGAGUCGAAUGCCAACUAAUGGUGAAAGAUACAUCUAUGUGGGAAAUGGAAACAAGGUUGCAAUGAAGGCUAUUGGUAUUUUUAGGUUACAAUUAGACUCUGGAUGUACUUUGGAUUUGGAAGAGACUUUUGUAGUACCAUCGUCUAGACAGAAUUUAAUUUAUGUUUCAUGUCUGGACAAAUGUGGAUAUUAUUGUUCCUUUAGAAAUGGAAUGGUUAGUCUUUAUUUAAAUUCAAAUAUUAUUGGUACAGGUAGUCUAACAGACAAAUUAUACAAAUUGAACAUAAAGGCCUCUAAUGGAAAUGAAACCUUGCAUUCAAGUAAUUAUGGUAUUAAGCGAAAAUUAAUAAAUGAGAAUUCAUCAAUGCUAUGGUACAGACAUUUGGGUCAUAUUUCAAAUCAACGUAUUCAAAGACUUAUGUCAGAAGGAAUUCUUGAUUCACUUGAUUUCUCAGACUUUCAAGUCUGCAUAGAGUGUAUUAAGGGUAAACAACCAAAUAUGAGGAAAAAUGACACCAAUAGGUCCAGUGAUGUCUUGGAAUUGAUACAUACGGACAUUUCUGGUCCAUUUCCUACCCCUUCUUAGAAUGGACAACAAUAUUUUAUCACUUUCAUUGACGAUUACUCAUGCUAUGACUAUCUUUAUUUGAUUCAUGAGAAGUCUUAGUCAUUGGAUGUGUUCAAGAAUUUUAAGGCUGAAGUUGAGAAUCGACUAAGCUAGAAAAUAAAGACCGUUAGAUCUUACCGUGGAGGUGAAUAUUAGAGUAGAUAUGACGAAUCUGGUGAACAACGUCCAGGGCCAUUCGCCAAAUAUUUGAUGGAGUGUAGUAUCAUUCCUCAGUACACCAUGUUGGGGACUCCAAGCCAAAAUGGUGUAGCAAAAAGGCAAAAUUGUACUCUUAAGGAUAUGGUAAGAAGUAUGAUCAAUCAUUUCACCUUACUAGAAUCACUUUGGGGCGAAGCUGUCAAAACUACAGUUUACAUUUUGAACAGAGUCCCAAGCAAAGCAGUAGCCAAAACCCCAUAUGAGUUAUGGACUAGCAAGAAACCUAGUAUUAGGUAUUUACAUGUCUGGGGUUGUCCAGUUGAGGCUAGGCCUUACAAACCAAAUGAAAAGAAAUUGGACUCCAGAACAAUGAGCUGCUACUUUGUAGGGUAUUCUGAAAGGUCGAGAGGUUUCAAGUUUUAUGACCCCUCAUCUAGAUCCUUCUUUGAAACGGGUAAUGCUAAGUUUAUUGAGGAUGUUGAGUUAAGUGGGAGAGAGCCAUUAAGAAAGGUGGUCUUUGAAGAGGAAUCUAUUAGUAUUCCUAUUAUUACAACUAGACAUGGUCAUAUUAUGUUUGAUGACACUAUCCAAAAUAUACAACUAAUAACAAAGAUUGAAGACACACCUGAGAUUCUUCCUACGCAAGUUAUAGAACCAGUUCAAGUUCAUGAAGAGGUAACUCAACAACCUCAAGAACCUCAAGUAUAAGUGCCACUAAGAAGAUCCACUAGAGAAAUGAGAAGUAUAAUUUCAGAUGAUUAUGUUGUAUAUCUCUAGGAACAUGAGUUUGACAUGGGUUUGGAAAACAAUCUAAUUUCAAUUAGUGAAGUCAAAUAAAGUUCUGACUCUGAAAAGUGGAUAGAACCAUGAAGGAUGAGAUGAAAUUAAUGAAAGACAAUGGUGUUUGGGACCUAGUAGAGUUGCCUGAAAGUGUAAAACAGAUUGGUUGUAAAUGGAUUUUUAAGACCAAGCGGGAUUCAAAAGGCAACAUUGUUAAGUAUAAGGCACACCUAGUUGCAAAAGGUUUCACUCAAAAGAAAGACAUUGAUUAUAAGGAGACCUUUUCGUCGAUUUCGUCAAAUGACUCCUUUAGAAUUAUCAUGGCACUUGUGGCUCCUAAUGAUUUAGGGCUGCAUCAAAUGGACAUUAAAACUAAGUUUCCUAAUGGUAACAUUGAUGAGACAAUAUACAUGGUGAAACUGGAGAACUUUGAGUCUAAUGAUUCAAAACAACUUGUAUGCAAAUUAAAAAUGUCCAUAUAUGGUUUAAAGCAGACAUCUCGACAAUGGUACCAAAAGUUUGAUCAAGUGAUUACUUCAUUUGGUUUUAAGGAGAACACCGUUGAUCAAUGCAUACAUCUCAAGUUCAAUAGGAGCAAAUUCAUUAUCUUGGUGCUAUAUCUAGAUGAUAUUCUACUUGCCAGUAGUGAUAUAGAACUCUUGCAUGAAACCAAGCGAUUUCUAUCUAAUAAAUUUGACAUGAAGGAUCUUGGUAAUGCAUCUUUUGUGCUGGGUAUACAAAACUAUAGGGAUCAUUCAAGAGGUAUACUUGGGCUAUCACAAAAGUCCUACAUCGAUAAGGUGUUAAGUAGGUUUGGCAUGAGCAAUUGUGCACCAAGAGACACGCUUGUGGCAAAAGGUGAUAAAUUUAGUUUGCACCAAUGUUCGAAAAAUGAACUUGAGAAGAAGGAUAUGGAGAGGUUUCCCUAUGCCUCGAUAGUAGGAAGACUCAUGUAUGCACAAGUUUGUAAGCGUCCGAAUAUUACAUACAUUGUUGGAAUAUUAGGUAGAUAUUUGAGUAACCUAGGUAUGGAUCACUGGAAAAAGACAAAACGGGUUAAGCGGUAUUUACAAAGAACUAAAUAUUAUAUUCUCACAUAUCGUAGAUCGAGUCAUUUAGAGAUCGUGGGAUAUUCGAACUCUGAUUUCGCGGGAUGUCUUAAUAGUAGGAGAUCCACUUCAGGCUACAUCUUCAUGUUGGCUGGAGGAGCAAUUUCAUGGAAAAGUGUUAAACAAACACUUAUUGCCUCUUCCACCAUGGAGGCAAAAUUAAUAGCUUGCUACGAGGCAUCAAAACAUGGGAUAUGGCUGCAGAAUUUUAUCACUCAGUUGCGAAUCGUUGAUGGGAUUGAGAAACCAUUGAGAAUCAACUGUGAUAAUAAGGCCGCAGAAUUAUAUUCUAAGAACAACCGAAGUUUGUCAAAGUCCAAACACAUUGACAUCAAGUUCUUGGUUGUGAAAGAAAGAGUUCAGAGUCUUCAAGUAUCAAUUGAACACAUAAGCACAAACUCUAUGAUUGCGGAUCCACUCACUAAGGGUUUGCCACCCAAAGUAUAUCAUGAGUAUGUCACACAUAUGGGUGUUGUAAAUAUUAAUGAUGUACUAGUAUAGGGAGAGUUUGCAUUUAGAUUUUGAGUAUUGUUAUAUUUGCGUUAUCUGUACAGACCUUGGUUUUAAAGACUAUUGUGUUUAAAUACUCUGAAUUGAAAUGAUGACUUUCAGAAGUAGUUUAGCAUCAAGUGUUGAAAGUGCAAUUUGACUAUUUUUUUAGUCAUAAAGUAGGACCAAUUGGAAAUAGACAUAUUAAAUAUCACAUUCUAUGUAAUUUCCAUGCUACACAUCCAUACUUGAUCCAUGUUGCUAAUUUUGUUAAUGUUGUGAUCAUUGAUGGGUCUAGUUAUAAUUAUGAUUAACAAAGGUUGCUUUAAUCCUAUGUUAGCAUAAUUAGUAGACCGGAUUGUUUAAGGAUAUUUAUAUAUAAUAGUUAAGAUGAGCUCAAUAAAGUACUAUCAUGAACAUUGUUCUGUAAUAUAUGUGGUCCAAGUGGGAGAUUGUUAAAAUAACUAUGAACUCACAUAUGGAGCAUAGUUUAUGAUUAGGCUAUUCACAUUCACGUAUUUAUUUUUUUAUUUUUUGUUCUAAGGUAUGGGCCACCUCAUGUGUAGAGCCCAAUACCAUAUGUGUCUUAGAUGAUGGGCCUAAGACACAUAUGGCCAAAUAUUUAAAGGGAAUGGUCCCUAAGGCAUAGAGGAUAUAUAAGGCAAGUGUCUGCUCAUUUUUUAAUAUAUUUUAGAAUAGAACAAAACGUGCUCUCUCCCGGUUCCCAUCAUCAGAGAGAUUACAAAAGGGUGGUUUCCCUGCUAUAGCCUUUGAAGAUCCAUACCUCAUUCAACAAACGACAAUGGACUUAGGUUUGUUUUCUUUCUAUAAUAAACGUCUGGUAUAAUUUCUUCACAUGAUUAAACAUACGAUUCUUGUCUGAUGUUAUUGGAUUUACAAUGGAGUUCCUUCACCAAGUGCAAUUGUAAAGGUUGGGCUAAUAACAGGUGAUAUGCAGGUGUUACUAAAAGUAAUUAUUAAAGGUUCUCACUUUGUCAAUACACUGAUAGAAUUGGUGGGAACCCCACUUUCUCUCGUAGCAGUUUAAAGACUUUUCCUAUCCAUAUUAGUAAAAUGAUAUGUAUGUGCUAUGCACGUGACUAAAAAUAAUAAUAUAGAGAGAAAAAUAAUAUAUAAUAAUAAUAGACAAUAAAUUAUUUAAUUUAAAAAAAAAAAUUUAAUAAUACUAAAAUAAUUUGUAAGAGUGAUUAAUAUGUGAUAUCAUAGGAGAGAGUUUUUAACGCUAUAUACAUAUAGGUUCCUUAAUUAUGUAGGCGCAUUUUAAAGUUGUGAGGGCUCUUGGAUUCAAAGCAGACAACAUCAACAUAGUUGGAUAUGAGUUAUUACAAAUUUUAUCAGAAUCGAUCUCUGACUCUGGUAUGAGGGUUUGUUUGGCCCUAUGAGGGGUGCCUAUUUGUUUGGCCCAACAAUUUCGUAGGAUACAACGAAGACGUUGUAUUUACAUGAGAAGUGUUUGUGAUAUCCCACAUCGGAUAUGAGAUAAAGUUCUUAAUACUAUAUAAAUACAAGUUUCUUAAUUAUAUAGACGUGUUUUAAAACCAUAAGAACUCUUUUGAAUUCAGAGUAAACAAUAUCUACAUAAUUGAGUAUGGGUAUUUAUAAAUAAUACUAAAGUCAAUCUCUGACCCUGGUAUGGGGGUUUGUUUGGUCCCAUAAGGGCGUUUGUUUGUUUGAAUCCUAUGGGAAACAACGAAAAUGGUGUAUCUGUAUGAGGGGUGAUUAUAAUAUCCCACAUUAGAAAAGGAAGAAAGUUUAUGACACUAUAUAAAUAUAAGUUCCUUAAUUAUAUAGAUGGGUUUUAAAACUCUUAAUUAUGUAAACGUGUUUUAGACGUGUUCUAAAGCAUCAUAUGCGUGGUUACAUAGUAUGUAAUUAUAUAUUAUUUAAAAUUCCUUAUAUAAAGAAUAAUAUAUUAAAUAAAUAUAGAAAAUAAUAAUAAAUAAAAAUUAUUUAAAACUCUUCAUAAAAAGAAUUUAAAGAAAUAUGAAAAAAUAAGUAUUAGAAUAAUAUGAUAGUUUGUUUAAUUUAAGUUGAUAAUUUUAUUUCAUUUAUCCUAAUAAAAUAUUUUUCAUAUUUAUCAUGUUUUAUAAAUGAAAUAAUGUGAAUUUUAUGUCACUUUUAAUUAAGCAUAAUAUUUUUUAUUUUUAUAAUAAAAACAAAAAUCAUUUGGAGUGCUCAAGCUCUCGAACCCUAGCGACCAAGCACUACUUUGCAAUAAGAUUUUUCGUGUCAUGAAGUAUGACAUGAUGCGUCACCAGACUCACCACCAUCCACAUACCAUGGUUGAUCGUCAAUGAUAGUAGGUGGUACGUCGGAAGAUUAGGUAAGACUUCGAGUGUGAGAGUUGUCCUUAACGUAGACUUGCACUCUCUCCACACAAUUGUUUUUGACGUUUUCCAAAAUCAGUCCUUUGUAAGCUGGACCACGUAAAUGUAAAUUCUUUAAUUAAAAAUGGACUUGGGAUAAUAAGGGAUAUUGUGAUUUGGUAAAGCCACCAAGUCGAUCCACAGAAAUUUUUGUGUACCUAUAGAACUCACAAAGCCUAGCAAAAGGUCAACAUCUUUAUCAAUGUAUCAUACGGAAAUACUAGUGAGAACUUUUUUGAUGUUGUUUUGAGAAGAGGUUUGAACGCCAAAUUGAAAUAGACUAUUUUGUAAUUUACCCCCAAUGAAUAUGAGGUAAUAUGAUAAAAUUUAAAUUUAUUUUUAACAUCAAUAGUUGAGAAAGAAGCACAAAAUUAAACUAAGGAAAUUGAAUUAAACUAACAUUAAUUUUCGAUAAUUAAUAUAUUAUGAUGUCAUAAAAAUUUAUUAUAUUAAAUUAAUAAAAUAAUUUUGAAUAAUGAAACUCAAAAUGAUUAAUUAAAGUUACAAAUAAUAAAUUUGCAAAUUGAAGCUUAUUUUUUAUUAUUAUUAUUAUUAUUGUUGUUGUUGUUGUUAUUGUUGUUGCCUCAAAUCAUUAUAUACAUCACCCAUGCAACUCACGGGCCACAAACACAAUCUGCCUCAAAUCAUUAUAUACAUCACCCAUGCAACUCACGGGCCAGAAACACAAUCCUCAGUCACAGCAAUGGGGCAGCACCACUUCCUCAUUAUAUCACAUCCACUGCAAGGCCACAUCAACCCAGCCCUCCAAUUAGCCAAGCGCCUGAUCAGAACCGGCGCCCACGUCACAUUCGCCGUCUCCGUCUCCGCCCAUCGCCGAAUGCCCAAAGAUCCGACCCUCCCCGGUUUAACCCUAGUCCCCUUCUCCGAUGGCUAUGAUGAUGGGUUAAAGUACUCCAAUGAUCAUGCCCAGCACUAUAUGUCCGAGAUCAAGCGUUGUGGAUCAGAAACCCUCAGGCGGAUCACUGCAAUGAGCGCUGACCAAGGCCGACCAGUUACUUGCUUACUGCACACCAUCCUCCUAACCUGGGCGGCAGAACUGGCGCGUAGCCUUCAGGUUCCGUCGGCGCUUCUUUGGAUUCAGAGCGCCACUGUUUUCACCAUUUACUAUCAUUACUUCAAUGGUUAUGGUGAUGUGGUUGGAGACUGCAGCAAUGAGGGUUCAAGUCCAAUUGAGUUACCGGGGCUUCCAAUACUGCUGUCUAGCUGUGAUAUUCCGUCUUUUUUACUCUCUUCAAACAUAUAUGCUUCGUUGCUCUCAACAUUUCAAGAGGAAAUGGAGGCACUAAGGCAAGAGACGAACCCCAAAGUGCUGGUGAACACCUUCGACGCACUGGAGGCCGAGGCGCUACGAGCUGUGGAUAAGGUUAAAUUGAUUGGAAUUGGACCUUUGGUCCCAUCUGCUUUCUUAAACCUACUAUUUGUCUCUCUCAUCUCUUUCUAUUGUGGUUGUCAAUAAUGUCGGUACAAUAAUAGAUGAAUUGUAUUUUGAGGUCAGAUGGGUCUUGAUCCAAGUACUCAUAUCCCUAUUUGAGCCUAAAACCUAACGGGGCAUUGUCUUUGGCCCUUGCCUAUUAAAACGAAAAAUCUCUUCCUCUCUCUCUCUCUCUUAUUAAUUGAUGGACCAUGUACAUGAUUCCCAAUUUUUACACUAUCUCUCUCUAUUAAUUGAUGGACCAUGUAGAUGAUAAAUGAUUCCCAAUUUUGACACUAUUUUCCCAAUUAUUUUUUUCCUGUCUCUAUUCACUUCAUCUUUCUCCCACUUAUGAAAUGGUGGGAUUACGGAGAUUGAUUCCCAACAAAUCAUGCCCAACAAAUUGAAUAUUGAAAAUUAAUGAUUAAAAAUUAUUAUUAUCAAAUUUAUUUUUUAAGUAAAUAUGUUUAAAACACCUCAUAAAAUAUUAUUAUUCUUUUUUUUUUUAUCUAACUUACAAAUUACAUAUAUAUAUAUAUAUAUAUAUAUAUAUAUAUAUAUAUAUAUAUAUAUAAUAUAAGUUAUUUUUUAUAUAAAUAUCUUUAAGGUUAUAGACAAUUAUUUGAAUAUUUUUUUAUUUUAUAGAAAUUACAUAGAUAUUGUCUUAAUCGAUUAUUUUGUAAUAUGAUCAUCAUUUAAUUAAUUGUGAUAAUUAAUUUUUAAUUGAAUAAUUGUAGACCCCCAUUUUGGGAGCCAUUCUUGCAGCUGAUGCUUGACAAGUGUCACCAUCUUGCAUGGCCACGAGUCACUCCCGGAUUAGUCAAUAUAGGAUCAAAAUAGUGGAAUUGAUGAACCAACUAGAGGUCGACAUGUGCCCAAAGAAUCUACAAAAAGCUGCAGACGGUUAGAGGAGCGGGGUGGCCAGCUGCAUGGUAGUGGAGGGGGGUUUUCUUUUUUUAGGCUGUUAGAGAUAUUUUGGGGGUGCUUUUUGAGAGUGGGUGAGAAGAGAUUUUAGGGGAUUACAAUUUUUUAGAGAGGGUAGGGGACCCCCAACUGAGAGCUUGAUGCCGUCUGCAUGAAGCGUGCAGCAAUAGUGAGGGUAGUGGGGCAGGCCAUACUGGCUGAUGCAUGAACAGGAGGAGGCAGGUGGUGACUUGCUAAGGAAGGUGAUUCCAAGAAAAGAAAGAGGAGGAACAGGAAGAGGAGAGAGGAGAGUUUAGCUUGAGAGGACUAAGGGAGAAAGAGGCAUUCCUGGGCUGGUUGCUGGAGAGGAAGGAUAGUUGUCCGAUUUCUUGUCCACCUAGCUGGGGAGAGUUAUUUUGAGGUACGUUUAUUGUGUAUUCUUCAUCAGCUUCUAUUGGUGUGCUUUUCUACUCUGUUUUUACUGAUUCUCGGAUGAUGAUUGUUGAUUGGGAGUGAAUACGUUCAUAUUUUUGCUAAUGGUUUUGUAGUGGUUUAGUUUGCUCUGGUUUUGAUUUCUCCAUGAGAUAUUUUUGUAACCACGUUUUACCUUUCAUUUGAUACUCAUUUAAUCUUACCCACCAUCAUCUAAGCCUGUUGGUAUGAUAUGAAGCAUAGCUUGUCAGGCUCAUUUUCUUGUAUCUACUCUUUGUGCUCUGUUUUGUUAUCCUCCUCUGCUCUUGAUAUCCGUCCAUAGUACGCAUCCAUUUUCUCAUCCCUGCUUGAAGGAGAUCCUAGAAAAUCUGGAGUAGUUGUAAUGGCAGCAAAGCUCACCUCAUCAGCAUCCCCAUACCCAUUCUGUGGGAUCCUCCCUAAAAAGUGCCGCGUGGUUUCCUCUCCCUUGGCCACGCAGACGGCCCCCUCGCGAUGUGUGGCAUAGCUCAUUCCACCCGGGUAUCUCACAUCCGGAAUUUUUCUCCGCCGACAUUCCAUCCGGACAUCUCACAUCCAGAAUUCUUCCCCGCCGACAUUUCACCCGGGUAUCUCACAUCCGGAAUUCUUCCCCGCCGACAUUCCACCCGGGUAUCUCACAUCAGGAAUUCUUCCUCGCUGACAUUCCACCCGGACAUCUCACAUCCGGAAUUCUUCCCCGCCGACAUUCCACCCGGGUAUCUCACAUCCGGAAUUAUUCUCCGCCGACAUCCCACCCGGACAUCUCACAUCUGGAAUUCUUCUCUGCUGACAUUCCACCCGGACAUCUCACAUCCGGAAUUCUUCCCCGCCGACAUUCCACCUGGGUAUCUCACAUUUGGAAUUCUUCUCCGCCGACAUUCCAUCCGGAUAUCUCACAUCCGGAAUUCUGUCCGGCCGACGUUCAACCUUCCUCGGAUAUCUCGCAUCCGGAAUUCUAUCCGGCCGACGUUCCACCUUUUUCUUCAUCCUUAGAGCAUUUUCUUGAAGUCCCCAAGAUCUCAUUUUCAAUAAAUUUUGCCGCCAUUUUCUUCUCGGCAUGUAACUUUAACAACUUCCAUGAUUUUAAAAUAAGUGUGAAUUUAUUUUCGUAAUUCUUAGUGAUAGAAUUUGCGAAACUGAUUCACCCAAUAGUAAACGGGCUUUGGUGGGGGCCCCACAUAUGUGACUGAUCGAUUGAUUGACUGACUGAUUGACUUGAUUAUCAUACAUAAUUGAUUUAUCAUGUUCUUUGAUAUGUAUGCUAUUGUUUCUUAAUUAAGCACUAACCUUCCUUCUUGAUAGCGCAUGGUGGCUCAUUGCCUAGGUACGUACCCACUUUCACUCUGAUUAGUGUCUACGCAUGUUCUAAUUUUCACAUGUGCAUGAUUUAUUCUGAGUAUUCAUUGAUUCCCUCAUCAAUUUCCAUGAUUGCUUCAUUUUAUUAGUAGAGACCCGUCUUUAGGGACUUAAAGGGGUGCUACGGUCUGUACCGUACCUUCCCGAUAAGUAACCUGACCCCCGAACCCGAUCCGGGUUUUCGCAGACCACCUUUUCCAAAAUUAGGAAUUAUACUUAGGGUUUUUCUUUCUUAUUUUGUUUACCCUUUUAAAAAUAAAACAAAAAUAAGUGGCGACUCCAAGUCAUUUUCAAAUAAUCAAUAAAAAUCAUUAACACUAUAAUAUAUUAUAAUUUAAAAAUAUUAAAAUACCCUUUUGAAUCUAAAAUUGAUGUGGAAUGUCCCUCAUUCUUGGCAAAAGGAAACGUGUGAGCUAAUUUUUUAAAAAUCAGCUAAAUUCCUUCAAAGAAGAUAAUCUUGUAUACUCUUGUACACUUAGUACAUUUACUUUAUACAUUUAGUGAAAUACUUUAUACAUGUGUACAAAUUUCAUAAACCUAAAAUGAAAUGUAUGCAUAUGGAUAGGUUAACCAUGUUUUCAUUGUCAUGACUCAAGAAAAAAAAGAAAAAUUGAACCCAAUUUAUGUUCAUAUUCAUCAUUAAUGGGGUAGAUAAUCGAAUAAACAUAUACGAUAUCAAAAAUAAAAUAGAAAUACAUGAGAUGAGUAUUACAAUAUUAUAUCUUAUUUCUUUUUUAUCAAUAAUAUCUCAUAUUUAAAUUAGAAAGUAAUUUAUUUUAAUAGAUCAAAAUGUGCACAAUUAAUCUAUUACUUAGUUAAUUAUGGAUAUAUUAGAAUUUUUUAUUACACAAAAAAAAAAACUAAUAGGGAAAAUAAAAUUAAAAAGAGUAAUAUAUAUUAAUUAUUUUUCAUGUAAAAGAUAGUAUAAAAAAAACACAAAAUUGAUUGAUUCAUUUGUUUAAUUAUGAACAUAAUAUAUUUUUUAUUUUAUUAUUAAAAUAACUAAUGAAAAAAUUAAAAAAGAAUAAUUAAUAAAUAAAAUUUAAUUCUUUUUAUUAUUUUCAUAUAAGAAACAAUGUUUUCAAUUUUCAUUUUCUAAUUAAACAUAUUUUCAAAAAGAGAAAAUUUAAAUGUAUAAAAGAAAAGAAAAUAAUGAAUAUGUUUAUUUUAAUAGUGUUUUAAUCAUUAAAUUAUGUACUUUUAAAAUAUAAAAAAUAGAUUUUAUUCAUUUAAAUUAACAUGUUUUUUAAAAGGAUAUUUUUCAAAAUGGUUUUUAAAUUAUUAAUGUAAUUUUUGUUUAUUUAUAAUUUAAAAAUAAAAAAUAAUGUUGAUUUUUAAUUAUUUAUAAAAGAAUUAUAAAAAAAAUAAAAAAUUUAAAAAUGGUUGAAUAAGGGAGAGGUGGAAUAAAUACUAGUUCCCGUGAUCACCACAUGAAAUGACCCGUACUUGUCAGCUAUGCCAGAGAUAGAGAGUUUUUGAUAGAACCCAGUAAAGUCAAGGGCAGACUCCAAUAAGCAUGAGAAGAAAACAAUUGCUGUUCUGUACUAUCAUCUCUUUAUGAUACAUGUCCAGGGAAAAAGACCCCUGGGACCAUUGCUUUUCCACUUUACAUGGUGGAUUGGUGAAUAUAUUUUAUUUUAUUUUAUUAAUUUUACCUCCAUUUGGGGGUUUUUUUCCAUGUGAAAUCUCUAUGUUCAUAUUGAGUUGUUGCUGAUUUGUUUAGUGACAUGCCUUAUUGAGUUAAUCCAUAUGUUGUGUAUUUUAAUGGUUUUUUUUUCUAGUUUUUGGAACCAAUUGAUUUUUGCCAAAAAAACAAAAACAAAAAUUACUAUUCAUGAUUUAGAAUUCGAAUAUUUUUAAUCUUUUUAACUAACACUUCCAAAUUAUUAUGAAAAAAAUUAUUUUUUAAAAUUAAAAAAGAUAAAAAUACUUCAUAAAAUCACUAUCAAAUAAGUUUUUUAAUAGUAGUUUGAUAGUGAUUUUAAAAAGCGUUUCUAACAUUUAUAAUACUAUUUUUUUUUAUUUCUUUAAGUAUUAAAAAUGGGUAAAAGCACUUAAUAAAAUCAUUUCCAAACCGACUAUUAAUCUCUGAUCAUAAUUAAAUUGUAAUCCAAUUAUUAUCAUUAUGUCGCAAAUAUAUAAUUUAUGUAUUAUUAUAAUUCAAAAUAACAUGAAGAAGUUAAAAUUAUAUUUAAAUAAUUUAAAAUUUUAAAAUAUUUUAUUCUUUUAUCUUUAAUAUUAUUAUAUUAAAUAUAAAACAUAAAUGCAUUAAUAUUUCAUUAUUUUAUUUUCAAUAUUAUUAUAUUAAAUAUAAAUAAAAGUGUGUUAAUAUUUUUUAUUUUGUUAAAUAGGAGAAUUAUUAUAUUUAAUUAUUAAGAAGAAAUAUCAUGUAUUAAAGAGUGAAAUAAAAUUUUAUUAUUAAUUUCAUUCACACUUCAUUAGCAUUUAAUUAUUAUUCAUUUGAAUUUCAUUAGUAUUAUAAUUUUAUCAUAUUUAGUUUUAGUACAGCUAAAGAGUCAUUUUUCAGUGGCACAGAGGUAGGCUAUGGAUAAGUUUUUUAUGGCCCAAUGGCGGUUUUACAACUAUACAUAUCAUUUAUUGACCAAUCAUCUGCUUACCUAAUUUCAGAGAUUUAAUAAUUUUAUUAAAAAAUUUGGUAGAAAAUUCUACAAAGUAGUUGGAUCUUCAUCUUGAGUUAAGCACUAAAAAAUAUUGAAAAUAAUUUCAUAAUUCUUUUGUUUUAAAAGGAGUACUCACGUUCAAGUCAUAAAGAAGGAUAAGUGGGGAAUUUUUAUUCAAAGUUACAAUAGAAAAGGUAUUAGUUGAAAAACUUAACUUGUAAAAUGUGAAGGGGGUUAAUGAGUGAUUUUUAAAGAUUUUAAUACAAGAGUUAAAAUUUUUAAUUUAAUUGAUUUCUUGAGAAUGAAUAAUAGAUAAAACAAUCAACAAUAGUGAGACAUAAUUUUAUGUAGAAAACCCUCCACACGAAGUGUGAAGAUAAAAAAUCAUGAGGCUUAAGAUCUCAAAUCAAUAAUUUACUAUAUAAGAUUGUAACACACGGUUUUACCCAAACAAACACUGCUUAAAACUUACUCUUCAACACAUAUCAUGAUACAUGUUGAUGCAGCACCUCGAGUGCUCUAAUGGAUUCAUCUCAACUCUUAAGGUGAUGCAAGUUUCUCCAACAACCCAAAAUUUGUUCAACAAAUCUUUGAGAGCUUUUGGGAAUAGUAGAGUAAAUUAAGGUUUUUCAAAAUAAGGACAUCCAAGUUUAAAACACAUUUAUGUACAACAUACAUAAGCUCAAGAACAUAAAGGACCAGAAACAAAAUCUUAUUAAAAAAAAUAAAAUCUCAAAUUUUCAAACAACGAACUCCUAGAAUCUAGUGGAUUUUGAAAUGAAUGCUCAAGCAAACUUAGUCACCACUUGAGCACUUAAAUAAGUGCUUGAACGUUGGCUUUAAUGUUUGAGAGCUUUGGCGAGCGCUUGAGCAUUACUACAAGUUUUCAAAAAUUGUUUAAAAAUAUUUUAGCUUAAUUUUAAGUCUAACCCAUACCAUUUCAAAAACUAACUCGCAUUUACCAAAAUCUUUUCAGACUUAUCUAUUGAACAACAACCUCAAAUCUUCAAUAAAGAGUAAGAGAGUAUUUGGUUUUUUUUUUAUUUUUAUUUUUUAUUGAAAAUAAUUUGCUUUUAGACUUUAGUUUUUUUUGGUUUUUUUUUUAGGACUUAGUAUAAAUUUUUGACUGAAUGGAAGAAACCAAACUAUUUAGAUUGUUCUAAAUAUAAAAGGUAACAUAUUAAUUUUUUUAAUACUUUUUAAUACUUAAUAAAAAUAAAAUGUUAUAAAAACAAACAACCUAAUAUUUAACAUUAUUAAACACUAUUUAGUUUUACGUUCUAUUUAGAAUUAAGUUAAGAAAAAAAAACAAAAAAAAAAAAAACAUCACCUAAGUCAAUAUUUUAAAAGAUCCUAUGCUAGAAUGAUUAUCAAAUACAAUCCAUUAAGAGGAAGAGAUGGGUUUAAGUUAAGUCUUUAUUUUUUAACCUUUGGGUUUAAAUAACUAAAAAGUAUUAAACAAGAAAAAUAGAAAUAAAUAGAGCAUUUAUUUUAAUAAACAAUUAAGAAUUAAGAAUAUUUAUAAUAAAAAUUAAUAUCAAUUAAAUCAAAAUAUAUAGGUUAAUAUAGAGAAUCAACACUAUAAUUUUACCAUAUAUUUAAAUUUGGAUUCAUGCAUAUAUUUUGAAAGAUACCCAAAUGUAUAAAAUUGCAGGAUCAAUUUUUGAGGCAUGAGGGCAUGUUCCACUAGUAGCAACCCAAAAGAAUCCAUUUUCAUUUUUGGUAGUUAGGAACCCUAUUAUUGGAAUUAAUAUGCUUCACUGCACUUCUUUUUAUUGCUUCCUGUCACCACCAAGAUGAAAAUUUGGUGAAAUUAAUAAAUGUGCUUUACUAUUCUCUUGUUCACCACUUCCUUAUUUGCUUGCAGAGAGUGAGGGUGGGGUUGGAAACCCUGCCAUUGAUAAUGACCAUUUGUUUUUUGAUAACAUAUUGGUAUAUAUAUUAUGUAUAUUUAUGCCUUAUAUUUUUAGGUUAUUUGAUUAAAAGGUUCAUUGAAAACCUAAUUUUGAAAGUCUAUCUCUUCGUCCUUUUUUGGCCUCAUUUUAACAAAAAUACCCUGGGAGGUAUCGCGCUUAAUUGGUGGCCACCCACAGGUCCGCCCAUCCAUUCAAGUGGCUGGUACCACUCCUAUCCGUAGAACCGAAGCCUUUAUUGAAAGGGUAACCAGAAUUACGUGAUCCAAAUAGAUUCCCCUAAAUGUAAUGGUUCUCGGAACCAAGUCGAUAAACCUUUAACCAAAAGAGAAUGGCACCAUCUCACCUGAUCAAAUUUUCCCGGGAUAAAUAAAGCUUACCCUGGGAGACAACCACCAUGGGUCGCCCACUAGGGUAGGAUGCUCGAAAAAUCAAAACUUGGAUCACCUAGGACCCCUACUAGUCGAUCUGGGAAAUCUGAACAUAUGUGGUCUUGAGAGCAAUGUACUGUCCUACACCUUAACUCAUGUGGCAUAGACACCAAGGGCUGCGACAAGACUAAUACAAGGAACGAGGGGUGGCGACAAGACUGGUAUGAGGAACAAGGGGCUACAACCAGAUUGAUACAAUAAGCAAGUCCCAAAGCAAAGUUCUAAUAGGUUUUGUUAGUUGCAAACACUGGAAGGGUCACCCACGCACCGCCUGACACGGGUUUUGUCCACUCAACCAUGGAUGCCAUGCAAUCUUUGAUGUCUGCCCCCUAACUUACUACUCCCCUAGGAGAAAGUUGACGUACUUGACUAGUCAGUUGAUAGCUUGGAAGCCCUAUAAAAGGAGAAUAAGAAUAAGGGAAAGGUAGAAAAGCAAAGGCACAUAUCAGAAGAGAAGGUCACACUUAAAGGUAGUUUAAUGCUUCGAAUAGUCAUUAGAUCCUCGUAUUUGAAACGAUUCUACAUCAAGAAUUGGCGUUGUCUAUGGCAACGUAACAAAAAGGUCAACCAUGAUGACUACAUGGGUAGCUAGCCACGCUGGCUAUAUGUGUGUUGCCCCACCAACUAUGGAGCAAUAGCUAGCACCCGAGCCCCAGCUAGUGGAGUAUCAAAGACAGCUGGAUGAGCUGAGAAGAACUAUUGAUCUGUUGAGGAAACAUAACAAGAUAUUGGUAGCCCAACUCAGCGCGGCUACCCAAGGAUCGUCGAUAGAUGAUGAGACCCUAGUCGACUCUUCGAAAAAAAACCUCUCGGGUCUGCCGAAUGAGCCAAUCCACCUAGGACCACAAACCCCCGAGAGGGAAUAUGCGACCACCAAACGCUAGAAAGAGAACUCCCUGAGUGAAGUUAUCAGCCCUGCCCAAGGCUGAACCAAAAGGUAUUGCCCAGAAGACACUAACCAACCAUGAACCGAACAAAUGGUUUUCUUAUGCGAGGCCAUCGAGAAAGUUUCGCUCAAAACCACCACAUGCCUUCUUAAUGAUAUGUUGUUAACUCUCCUGGCUUCCCAUAUAGUGCAACAAAGGCCCCCCUCAGGGUUCAUGAUGCCUAAAUUCACCAUGUAUGAUGGUAUCAUAGACCCUUUCGACCACCUCAUCCAUUACUGCCAAGUAAUGACCCUAGACAUAGAAGAUGAUGCACUUUUAUGCAAAGUAUUCUUGGCUAGCUUAUAGGGCCCAAUCCUUGCUUAGUUCCAUAAACUCCUGACCAAUUCAAUCAAUGACUUUCGAGAGCUGUCAAAGGUGUUUGUGGCACACCAUUAUGCUCCGCCAGGUAGAAAUAAGGCCUCAAUAGCCUGAGCAAUUUGAAAAUGAUGGAGUCUAAGUCCAUCCGGGAUUUUAUGUGAAGAUUUGGACAAGCCUUGAUCUAAAUGGAGCCUUGUAGCACUGAUGUGAUCAUGCAAGCCUUCAAACAAAGUUUCAUCUCGAGGACCUCAUUCUUUAAAUCUAUAUCAAAGAAGCCACCAGAGACAGUGGACAACCUCUCACUACAACAAAUAUUGCUUUUUGCCACAAAUUUUUUGGCCAUAAACUAAAUUUUGUGGCAAAAUGUCACUUUUAGCCACAUGUUUCAUUUUUGUCGCUAAAAAUAUGACCCAAGUAAUUCUUACAAAAUAUAAAACAUUUUACUAUAAACUCAUCUUUUUGCCACAAAAUUAUUCGUGGUAAAAUAUUACUUGUUGAUAUGAAGUUAAUUUUGUUGCUAAAAAUAUGGUGGGAAUAAUUCAACUUUUUGCCUCAAAAUUAUUUGUAGAAACUAACAUUUUUUUUAGCCACAAAUUUACAUUUCAUCUUUAAAAUUAUGAUAAAAAUAAUUCUCACAUGGCAUGUGACAUUUUGCUACAAACGUUACUUUUUAAUAUGAAAUUAUUUUUAAUAAAAAAAAAAUAUAAGAAAUGAGUUAGAAAUUUCAAUUUUUUUUUUUCAAAUAUUUUUUUUCACAAUCUAAUUUGAGGUAGAAUAUUACUUUUUAUUUUAAUUAUAUAUGCACCACUUUUUAUAUAACAAAUUAAAUAUUAAAUAGAACUAUUAAAUACUUAUACAAAAUAGUCCUUUAUGAUAAAAAUAAUUUUUUUCUUAAAACAUAAAGAAGUUUGAUGUUUGAUAAAAAGUAAAAAAAAAAAAGUCAUUUUAUAUUUUUAUGUGAGUUUAACAAUUAUAAUUUUGAAUAUAUAGAUGAAAUUUAUAAAAAUUUAAUAAAAGCAUAUAAAUUUUGAAGUCUAAAUUUUAUUUUAAAAUUUUCAUGGAAAGAAAUUUACUUAUUAAUUAAAAAUAUAAUGAUUCAAAUAAAAUAAGAUUAAGAAAAUAAAAAAUAGACUCUUGGCUUUAAUAUAGACUUUUUUUUUUGCUUUUAAUUUUUUUAUUUACAUAACUAUUAUAUAUUUUUUUUCCAAAGAUUUCUUUACUAAGAGUUUUGAUUUUUAUUAUAUUUUCGUCUAAAUAUAAAGAUUUCAAAACAAACUUUAUAAAUUAUCAAUACUUAUUUGCAUAAUUAUUCUUGAAAAAAAAUAUUCAAAGAUAGAAUUUAAAAAAUAAAAAAUAAAAACUUAAUAUAUAUAUAUAUAUAUAUUAAGUUUUUAAGAGUAUAAACUUGAAAAAAAAAUUAAAGAUUUCAAAACAAACUUUAUAAAUUAUCAAUACUUAUUUGCAUAAUUAUUCUUGAAAAAAAAUAAUUAUAAUUUGAGAUUAGUAUAAAGAAAGAAAUAAUGUUGAACCUAAUUAAAAAUUUGUUAUUUUUCUUUAAACAUUGAUUGAUUUAUAGAAAAUAUGGUGAAAAUCUCUUCAAAGAAUGGUAAUAAAGUGAAGGGUCAUGAGUUUGAAUCCCAAUGAUUAUAGUUUAAUAUAAGAAUUAUUAGGGAGCCAAAAUAUCCUUCCUCAGGCUUGAAAUAGGUGUGGGGUGGUCAUCAUAUUUUUAGAAAUGGAUACCCAUGCUCCUAACCUCCAUAAAAAAAAUGAAAAAUAAAAUAUUAUCAUAGCAUUUUUACCACAAACAUAAAUUUGUCGUUAAAGAUAUUAUAUUCCCACAAAAUAACAUUCGUCGUUAAAAGAGACUUUUUACCACAAAACUUUUCUCAAGAUAGAGAUUUUUUUUUUUUAAUCAUGAAUAGUUUAUUUUUUGCCACAAAUAUUAUUCAUUGCUAAAAUUUACUUUUAGUGACAAUUUUUUAUUCAUUGGUAAAACUUUUUAGUGACGGACUUGUUGCAACAAUUUUGCGAUGAAUGUUUUUUGUGGCAAAAACAUAUUUGCCAAAAAAAAUCUAACUCUUUUCUACAAAAACAUUUGUUGUGAAACAUCAUAUUUGUUGUAGGUUCUUCUGGAGAGCCAACAAGUACACCAUGCUAAAAGAGGAUCUUAAAGCGGCAUCCUAGCAAAUCGUUGCGACAUCCCGGACAAUUGCUCCCUGAUAGAGCAAGCAUAACCAGCCCAUUGAAGGACUUCAUCAACAAGGAGGCAAAAAAAACCAAUCCCGAAAGACACUCAAAGCUCAGUACUAGGAAGAUAAGUCAACGCCUCAUUUUACAAAGUUCACUCUCAGUUAUAGCCAAUUGUUGUCAAUAAUUCAGAAUCUAUAGGGUUUCCGCUAGUCAAAUCCUAUGCGAGGGGAUGUAAGUCAAAGAGAUCAAAAUCGUUUUUGCAAAUACCAUAAGGACAAGGGCCAUGCUAUCGAAGAGUGCCAUCACUUCAUUUAUUGGUUGAAUAAAUGGUGCGAGCCGAUCAACUUAGCAAGUAUCUCCAUGAUUACUACUCAAAACAUGCUAUUUUGUAGCUUGUAAUUAGCUCUUUUAAACACCCUUGAGUAGUAAUUAUUACCUUUUAACCCAAUUAACAUGUUAGGGACCCUUGCAAUCAUUUCUAACAAUUGUGUUAAGUUUUGGUGCUUUUUGAUAGCUUUAUGCUCACCAAAGCAAUUUAAGAAUGAGGGAGAGCUAUUUAUAGUUCAUGGCAAAGCUUUUGAAAGCUUAAAUUUAUGAAGAAAUCAAGCUAUGGAGCCUCAUAAUCCUUUGCCUUAGUCGUUCAAAGUAUACAAGGAAGAAACAAUGGAGAAGAGGAAAACAGGNNNNNNNNNNNNNNNNNNNNNNNNNNNNNNNNNNNNNNNNNNNNNNNNNNNNNNNNNNNNNNNNNNNNNNNNNNNNNNNNNNNNNNNNNNNNNNNNNNNNUUGUAAUUAGUUCUUUUAAACACCCUUGAGUAGUAAUUAUUACCUUUUAACCCAAUUAACAUGUUAGGGACCCUUGCAAUCAUUUCUAACAAUUGUGUUAAGUUUUGGUGCUUUUUGAUAGCUUUAUGCUCACCAAAGCAAUUUAAGAAUGAGGGAGAGCUAUUUAUAGUUCAUGGCAAAGCUUUUGAAAGCUUAAAUUUAUGAAGAAAUCAAGCUAUGGAGCCUCAUAAUCCUUUGCCUUAGUCGUUCAAAGUAUACAAGGAAGAAACAAUGGAGAAGAGGAAAACAGGGGACACAGCUGCAGUCUUUCAUUGCACUUUUGGAACACUUCCCGAAGUCCAUUUUUUACAUUCUAUAUACCAUAUCAAAGCUCAGAAAGUCAAGAAUCCAACGGUUCAAACCAUGUACGAUUUGGAGCUGAAAUGAGAAAGAUAUGGCCUUCGGAAGACAACUGCAUCAAGCUGAGGGACAAUUUCGCACGAUGGAAAUCAAGGUGAGAAUUCCUCAGUCCACUGUGCGAAAAUUUCGCACACCUCAAAUCAAAGUGCGAAAUUGGAACUCCAGCGUGUGAAAAUUGGAUAUUUUUGCCGACUCUUUUUCUUUUGAUAUUUUUGUGUCUAAAUUUCCAUUUUCUCCUUGUAUUCAACCACUCAUGUAAUUCCUUAGCUAGGAAGUAUCCAAGGAAGGGUAAAAUUACCUUCCUAUAUAAAUUCUCUUGUAAUCACUGAAAACGGAUCUUUCGGGGAGCUUUCUCCAGGAGACCAACUGAUGUAAAUUUGAUACUUAGUGAAAUACAGAGAUCUCUUUUGCUUUCUUUUUCUCUCUUCUAUUUUCUAUUUUCUUGCAAGCCAAACACCCUCUGAGGAUGUUUUCCCAGAGGAUGAGAGGCUAAACAUUUAGUUUCUUGGAGUAAAGGAAGCUAGGUGAAAAGUUCAGAUUAAAACAUGGAAAGUUUCCGUGCAUUAAAUUCAGGUAGUUGGAGUCCAUAAAUGGUUUUUUAAAGCCAAGGUUUUGCCUUAAAUCCCUUCGAAUCACUUUGACUGGCCAAUACAUGGUAAGCUUAAGGUCUCUGUGGAUGCUUAUUGCUAGAUCCAUAUCAGUCCAUUAGUUAUCAUGUACGAGCCAUUGGAAAGUGAUUCAAGGUGAUAGCCCAUAGUGUCUUAAGCCAUUUAUGGACCUUAACCACCAUCUCUAGUGACUUUUUAUGGAUUAAAACUUCAUUGUCAAACCUAUACCGGUUCGGGAAAUAACUAUAGGUUAAAUCCCCAAUGUGAGGAGAAAAAUCCAGAAUUUUCCACUUUGCAUCUGGAACUUGAACCUAGCAACCUUUAGCUCCGGGAGACUUUCUUUCUUCCACUUUUUACUUAGUUCUAUGUGAGUUUAGUUUAAAUCACCACUUUCAAAACAAUUUUAUUUUCUUUUAAAUUUCAAGUUUGUGCUAAAGGAAAUCAUCAGAAUCAAUUUCUAAUUUAGAGUCUGUCACUGAUAGAGUGAAAACCCAUCCCUGAGUUCGACCCUAGAACUACUAUACUAUAGUAGCUUUGCUACGCCAGUAUAAGGUCAUAGGUUUUAUAAAUGUUUUUGAUUAAAAGACUCGGUUGGGCAUCGAAUCAAAUGACGCCGUUGCCAGGGAUGGUGCCACAAUACAGUGAUACAACCUUUUAGAGGCUACUUGUGAUUUUCAUCACAACCAGGGUGAAUUCCUUUUUCACUAAUUUCAUUUUCUUUCAUUUUCCUUUUGUUAAUUUUAUUUUCAUUUUCUUCCUAACUUUAACCUUUUCUUUAGUUUCCUUUUGUUUUUACUAUUACAGGAAUUGUAACUUGUGCAUGCCCUAUUGGAUUAGGGACCAAGAGGGAAGAUUAGUAAGGAUUGAGAAUCCUCAAGACAUAGAGUUGGAUAUCUGUGUAAAUAUCAUGGACCCUCCACCAGAGGAUCAGAAUUCUCAACAAGGUCAAGGGGGUAAUCCCAAUGCAUACCUAUCCAUGAGGGAUAGAAUGCAUCCCCCAAGGAUGAGUGCACCCUCAUGCAUCCUGCCCCCACUUGAGCAGUUGGUUAUAAGGCCCCAUAUUGUGCCCCUCCUACCAACUUUCCAUGGAAUGGAGAGUGAGAAUCCAUAUUCUCACAUCAAGGAGUUUGAGGAGGUGUGUAAUACCUUUAGAGAGGGAGGAGCUUCAAUAGACUUGAUGAGACUCAAGCUAUUCCCUUUCACUUUGAAGGACAAGGCAAAAAUAUGGCUUAAUUCUUUAAGGCCAAGAAGCAUAAGGAAUUGGGUUGAUCUUCAGGCUGAGUUUUUGAAAAAAAUUUUCCCCACCCAUAGGACCAAUGGGUUGAAGAGAUAAAUCUCAAAUUUUUCUGCUAAAGAAAAUGAGAAGUUCCAUGAAUGUUGGGAAAGGUAUAUGGAGGCCAUCAAUGCUUGUCCUCAUCAUGGUUUUGAUACAUGGCUCUUAGUGAGCUAUUUUUAUGAUGGAAUGUCUUCUUCCAUGAAGCAAAUUCUUGAAACCAUGUAUGGGGGAGAUUUUAUGAGUAAGAAUCCUGAAGAAGCCAUGGACUUUUUAAGUUACGUGGCUGAGGUGUCAAGAGGAUGGGAUGAGCCCAACUCAAGAGAGAAAGGAAAGUUUCCCUCUCAACAAACCCAAAAUCCAAAGGCUGGAAUGUACAUGUUAAGUGAAGACGUGGACAUAAAAGCUAAAGUGGCAACAUUAGCUAGGAGGUUGGAAGAACUUGAGUUGAAAAAAAUACAUGAAGUCCAAGCCAUUUCCGAUACCCAAGUCCAUGUUAUGCCAUGCACCAUUUGCCAAUCAUGUGAUCAUGUGGUAGAUGAGUGUCCAACCAUGCCAGCUGUGAGAGAGAUGUUAGGUGAUCAAGUAAAUGUUGUGGGGCAAUUUAGGCCCAACAACAGUGCAUCUUAUGGAAACACCUAUAAUUCAAGCUAGAGAAACCACCCAAAUUUUUCUUGGAAACCAAGGCCACCUCCAUACCAACCACAAGGCCAAACCCAAGUACCUCAACAACCAUCUUCAGUGGAGCAAGCCAUUGUAAACCUGAGUAAAGUCAUGGGUGACUUUGUGGGUGAACAAAAGGCAAUUAACUCCCAAUUGCAUCAAAAGAUUGAAAAUGUUGAGAGUUCUCAAAUAAAGAGAAUGGAGGGGAUGCAAAAUGAUCUAUCUCAGAAGAUAGAUAAUAUUCAGUACUCCAUCUCUAGGCUUACCAACCUAAACACAGUGAUUGAGAAGGGAAAGUUCCCCUCUCAACCAAGCCAAAAUCCCAAGGGUGUUCAUGAAGUUGAAACCCAAGAUGGUGAGUCUUCAAAUUUGAGAGAGGUCAAAGCUGUGAUCACUUUGAGAAGUGGGAAGGAGGUUGAUCAACCCUUGCCUAACGUGGAGCCUGAUGAAGAACUCAGGUCAAAGAGACCCUUGAUUAAAGAGAGCAAGAGCCAAGAAGAGAAGAGUGGGAAGAAGAGUGCAUCCAAAUCAAGCAUCGAGGAAGAACCAAGGAUAGUGAUUAAGGAGGAUAUGAUGAAGAAACAUAUGCCUCCCCCUUUUCCUCAAGCUUUACAUGGAAAGAAAGAAAUCAAGAAUUCAUCAGAAAUUCUUGAGGUUCUGAGACAAGUGAAGGUGAAUAUACCCUUACUUGAUAUGAUCAAGCAAGUCCCCACAUAUGCAAAGUUUCUAAAGGACUUGUGCACAGUCAAGAGAGGUUUACAGGUGACAAAGAAUGCAUUCCUCACUGAGCAAGUGAGUGCUAUCAUCCAGAGUAAGUCCCCAGUUAAGUAUAAAGAUCCGGGAUGUCCUACCAUAUCAGUCAACAUUGGAGGGACACAUGUGGAAAAAGCUUUAUUAGAUUUGGGAGCAAGUGUGAAUUUGCUCCCAUACUCUGUGUAUAAACAAUUGGGACUAGGAGGAUUAAAGCCCACAACCAUGACCCUCUCUUUAGCUGAUAGGUCUGUCAAAAUCCCAAGGGGAGUGAUAGAGGAUGUUCUAGUUCAAGUGGACAAAUUCUACUAUCCUGUGGAUUUUGUGGUGCUUGAUACUGAUUCCACUGUCAAGGAAGAAAAUUAUGUACCAAUCAUCCUAGGGAGACCUUUCCUAGCUACCUCCAAUGCUAUUGUUAAUUGUAGGAAUGGGGUGAUGCAGCUCACAUUUGGAAACAUGACAUUGGAAUUAAACAUAUUCCAUUUAUGUAAGAGGCAUCUUUACCCUGAAGAGGAGGAAGGAUUCGAGGAGAUGUGCUUGAUCAACACUUUGGUUGAAGAGCACUGUGACAAGAGUUUAGAGGAGAGCUUGAAUGAAAACCUGGAAGUCCUUGAAGAUGGGUUCCCUGAACCCUUUGAUGUGCUAGCCAUAAUGUCUCCUUGGAGGAGACGGGAAGAGAUCUUACCACUGUUCAACCAGGAAGACUCACAAGGAGUUACUGUGGAGGACCCUCCAAAGCUUAUUUUAAAGCCACUUCCUGUGGAUUUGAAGUAUGCAUACUUGGAGGAUGAUGAGAAAUGUCCAGUGGUAGUUUCCUCAACCCUCACUAGUGAUCAAGAGGAUAGUCUUUUAGGAGUCCUCAGAAAAUGUAAGAAAGCCAUUGGAUGGCAAAUUUCUGAUCUGAAAGGGAUUAGCCCUUUGGUGUGCACCCACCAUAUUUAUAUGGAGGAAGAUGCAAAACCAGUGAGGCAACCCCAAAGGAGACUGAAUCCUCAUAUGCAAGAAGUGGUGAGGAAUGAAGUUUUGAAGCUACUUCAAGAUGGGAUCAUAUAUCCCAUCUCAGACAGCUUGUGGGUGAGUCCCACCCAAGUAGUCCCAAAGAAAUCUGGAAUCACUGUGAUCCAGAAUGUGAAUAGGAAGGAUUGGUCUAUCAAGCUCCUGGAUUCCUUAUGGGCUUAUAGGACCGCUUACAAGACCAUUCUAGGAAUGUCUCCCUAUCGCCUUGUUUAUGGCAAAGCGUGUCAUCUUCCAGUAGAGAUUGAGUAUAAAGCAUGGUGGGCAAUCAAAAAGCUCAACAUGGAUUUGACAAGAGCCGGGUUAAAGAGAUGUUUGGAUUUGAAUGAAUUGGAGGAAAUGAGGAAUGAUGCAUACCUCAAUUCAAAAAUUGCAAAAGCAAGGUUAAAAAAAUGGCAUGAUCAAUUGGUAAAUCAAAAGAAUUUGAUCAAGGGACAAAGAGUUUUGCUUUAUGAUUCUAAACUUCAUCUCUUUCCAGGAAAAUUGAAAUCCAGAUGGACGGGUCCUUUCAUAAUUCAUGAAGUGCAUCCCAACGGAGUGGUGGAAGUAUUCAACCCCACAGGCAAUCAAACCUUCAAAGUAAAUGGCCAUCGUCUCAAGCCAUUCAUAAAGCCUUACAGUACAGACAAGGAGGAGAUCAACCUCCUUGAACCACCACAACUCUGAGGGAAAGCAGGGUAUCAUGGGCUAAAUAAGUCCAUGAAUUUUUUGUUAUAGUUUUAUAGUUAUAUCAUUAUUUUUAUUUCUUUUUAUUAUAAUUUUUCCUCAAUCUUAGUUUAUUUUGUCUUAAUUCAAGUCAAUUUUGAUGAUAAAUUUUAGAAAAAAAAAUCAUGAAAGAUGGGGAGAACUCUUCAAAAGCAAGACAGGGGAGUAAAACCAAGGAAACAGAGCACCUGAUUUCAAGGUGCGAAAAUUUCGCACACCUGAUUCCAAGGUGCGAAAAUUUCGCACACCCCAAAACCAAGGUGCGAAAUUUAUUUCAAGGUGCGAAAAAUGAUUUCAAGGUGCGAAUUCCCUAAAAACCAAUUUCGCACACCACUGUGCAAGGUGCGAAAAUUUUCGCACUGUGCGAAAUCCCCUCCUGGCACACGAGUGCCAUUUUCGCACACCUCAAGCCACUUUUCGCACCGUGCGAAACAAGGUGCGAAAAUUUCGCACACCUGAUUUCAAGGUGCGAAAAUUUCGCACACCUCAUUUUAAGGUGCGAAAUCCUCAGUUAAAGGGGUGCCAUUUUCGCACACCUAAUUUCAAGGUGCGAAAUUUGCAGACCAAGGUGCGAAAAUUUCGCACGGUAAAAUUUUAAGUUCCAAAAAAAUUUUCAACGGACUUUUAAAUUAAAAUUUUACCCCCGAAAUUGUGCCUAACGUCCAAAAACGACUUUUCGGUUGCCUUGGAAAAUUUUAAAACAUAAAAAACCCCCUAAACCUCAUUCCUAUAUAAUCCCUUGAAGUCCAGAAGCUCAAAGGACUCCCCCACGAACCAGCUGAGAAGCCUCUGGAAUCCCGAACAGUCACCCACCUCCAUUUCGGCCAUGGCGAAGACCAGAGGAGGCCUUUCCGGCUCCCCAUCCUCACCGACACCUCGGCCACAUCGAGCCGCCAUGGGAGCCGCAGCUUCGCCACCUGUUCAGGCCCCGGCCAUUCCCCCAUCUGAGGGGGAAGCCCCUUCUCAGCGCCGAUACCCCACCAGGAGACCCCCCACGGACCCUAUGCCACUAGCCGAUCAAGCCACGAGCUCUGUUUCUCGGCCACCAGCGAAGAGAACCAAGUUCUCGGGUCCUGGAGAGCCAUCCCACGCACCUCAGCCAGAGCCACCUACAGAGGACUCUCGGAUUCCUGUGGGGAUUACUCCUGAGACCGUUAUCAGGCGUCCCAUGAUAGCCGGACCACCGAUAGAGGGCAACUUGGAUUGCAGAGAUCGAUCCUUCCAUUCCGAGACCUACUUUGAUAUAGAGGCCCUCAGACAGCAGCCAGAGCUCAGAGAUUCAUUCCGACUACUACAGAGGUAUCACAUGGAGGAUCUUCUCACUCCUAGGCAAUUCUACUAUCCCAGAGUAGUUAUAGAUUUUUAUCAAUCUAUGACUACUCGAGGCCUCCGUAAUCCUACCCUCAUCCAAUUUACCAUAGAUGGACGCCAGGGUGCCAUUGGAGCUCGUCACAUUGCUGAGGCCCUCCGUAUACCUUAUGAGCCUGUGAUUCAGGCAGACUUCAGGGAGUGGUCCUCAUUCUCUCAGAGUGACAUGGUCCGCAUUUUGUCCAGGGGGACUUCUACAGCCUCAGUGUUGACUAGGAGAGAGCUUCCAUCUGGGAUGCUCCUUAUUGAUGUGCUCCUGCGUGCCAACCUUUUCCCCCUUCAGCACAAAGUUCAGAGGCGAGGAGCUAUACUUGAGGCGUUAUUUAGGAUUUCUGAGGGCUAUUUCUUCAGCCCUCAUCAUUUGAUUAUGACUUCUCUUCUUCAUUUUGAAGAGAAAGUCCAUCAGAAGAAGCUUCAAAGGGCAGAUGGCAUCCCAUUACUAUUUCCGAGGCUUCUCUGCCAGAUUUUAGAGCACCUGGGCUAUCCUGAACAGCCCCGUCUUGAGAGGCGCCGCCAUUGCCGAGAGGACUUCUCUCUCGACAAAUGGCAUCACUUGGUAGCCUACUUUGCACCCCAGGGAGCCCCAGUUGUGCCUGCACCUCCAGAGCUACCCCAAGAUGAGCAGUUGCCUCAGGCCCAGCAGGAUGAGAUUCUCACAGAGACCACACCUCCUGCCCCUGCAGCACACCCCUCAUAGCAUAUUCCUGAGCCUAUACAUCUUAUUUCUCCUAUCAUUUCGGGUGCUCCACCAGUCAUGCCAGCUACCCCAGCACCUCCUCCUUCAUCUGAGCCCACUGUCACCGUUUCUCUUACGGAAUUCAGAGGCUUAGAGCAUUCAUUGCGGACACUGAGCAUUGCUCAGGAUUCUAUUAUCCACCAGAUGGCCACUAUUUGGGCACACCAGGAUCAGAUCAUUGCUACUCAGGCCCAGCAUACCACGAUCCUUCAUCAGAUUCAGCAGCAUUUGAGUAUGCAGACAUCUUUUGGGCAUGAUAGGUCUGCACCAUCCGAGCCUCUAGUGCCAGAUAAGGAGAGCUUACCAGCUGAGCAGCCCAUACUAGAGGAGGAGAUCAGAGCAGAGCCAUCACAUGACACCCCUCAUAUUUGAUAUUUUUAUAUUUUACUUGUUUUUUAUUUUAGACUUGUAAAUCCCAUCUUUUGCAUGUGUUAUAAACUGGGAUUGGAAGUAUUACUUGAAAUCAUACAUUGUAUAUUUCUUUUACAAAUAAUAUAUAUAUAUAUAUAUAUCCUUUUUUAUUAUAUUCCCUUUUCUCAUUACUCUUUUGUCCUUGGAACAUGUGGUUUAAGGUACUCCAUACCUCCUUUACACUCAGACUUUGUCUCACUCAGGAGGUACCACUUCCUCCCUUUAUUUUUAAUCGCUCUUGAAACAUUGAGGACAAUGUUCAACUUGGUUGGGGGGAGAGUUGAGAAAGGAAGUUUUGUUGUUAAUACUAAGUUAUUUUGGUAUUUUAGUUGAUUUUUGCUUAAAAUUUAAAAUUUUUAAAAGUUUUUUGAAUCAUUCUCUAUGGUUGUUAAAGAUAAUUUCUCAAAAAUAAAAUAGGAUAAGUCGAGUUUUAACUUAAUUAUUUAAGUCUUAGAGUUUGUUUUAUGCUUUCAAAGUUGAUAAUCUAUUGAAGCCUCUUUGAUUUAGAACUUUCUUCUUCCAUUUCAAGCUUUACACACACUGUGCACAUUAGAUCCCGGAUAUAUGAUGUAAAACUUUCUCACCUUCUAAGCUUAGGAAAAUUUUGACUUGGUUCAUUACUUAACCUCUCUUUAAUAAUGUUGGGACACCUCAUAAAGACCAAUGAGUCUUUGAAAAAAAAAAAAAAACAAAGAAGAAUAAGCUUCUAUUCUUUCCUUGAAACCUAAGCAUGAUCCGAAGGGGUGCCGAAAGCCUUUAAAACCCGAUGCCCUAAACCUUGAUUGGUUGGGAGUCAUCGAUCCUCUGCUUGCUACAUAGGUGAAUUGGUUAAGAUUAGUGAGUAAAAAGAAUUGUGAAUAAGAAGGUGCGUUCCUAACCUAUUAAGAGUUGAUUAAUUUUGCCAAUGUUCGAGAAAAGCUUAGGUUGGAGGGUGAGGAUAGUUGUAUAUACUAUAUCAGGAAGCUAAUCUCAUUAACACUUAGCUUAUUAUGGAAGAGUUUGAUUUGGAACCUUGAGAGUAGAGAUUCUUUUGAUACUUAAUUGCAUAAUCUCCACUCUUUGUACUUUUUGUUUAAGUUUUAAGCUUUGACAACUCCUAUUGCAUUUUGAAUCUUCAUAUCUUUAGUUCACCAGGUGAGAUGUGUUUGGAUAUCAGUCAUGCCUCUCAAUUAUUUUUUGGAAUGAAUUGCAUGACCUCUUUUAUGUAUAUUAUUACGUUUGCUUAGUUUUUCUCUCCUUAAUUGCUAAGGGACUAGCAAUAUGUCGGUUGGGGGGAGUGAUUACUACUCAAAACAUGCUAUUUUGUAGCUUGUAAUUAGCUCUUUUAAACACCCUUGAGUAGUAAUUAUUACCUUUUAACCCAAUUAACAUGUUAGGAACCCUUGCAAUCGUUUCUAACAAUUGUGUUAAGUUUUGGUGCUUUUUGAUAGCUUUAUGCUCACCAAAGCAAUUUAAGAAUGAGGGAGAGCUAUUUAUAGUUCAUGGAAAAGCUUUUGAAAGCUUAAAUUUAUGAAGAAAUCAAGCUAUGGAGCCUCAUAAUCCUUUGCCUUAGUCGUUCAAAGUAUACAAGGAAGAAACAAUGGAGAAGAGGAAAACAGGGGACACAGCUGCAGUCUUUCAUUGCACUUUUGGAGCACUUCCCGAAGUCCAUUUUUUACAUUCUAUAUACCAUUUCAAAGCUCAGAAAGUCAAGAAUCCAACAGUUCAAACCAUGUACAAUUUGGAGCUGAAAUGAGAAAGAUAUGGCCUUCGGAAGACAACUGCAUCAAGCUGAGGGACAAUUUCGCACGAUGGAAAUCAAGGUGCGAAUUCCUCAGUCCACUGUGCGAAAAUUUCGCACACCUCAAAUCAAAGUGCGAAAUUGGAACUCCAGCGUGCGAAAAUUGGAUAUUUUUGCCGACUCUUUUUCUUCUGAUAUUUUUGUGUCUAAAUUUCCAUUUUCUCCUUGUAUUCAACCACUCAUGUAAUUCCUUAGCUAGGAAGUAUCCAAGGAAGGGUAAAAUUACCUUCCUAUAUAAAUUCUCUUGUAAUCACUGAAAAUGGAUCUUUCGGGGAGCUUUCUCCAGGAGACCAACUGAUGUAAAUUUGAUACUUAGUGAAAUACAGAGAUCUCUUUUGCUUUCUUUUUCUCUCUUCUAUUUUCUAUUUUCUUGCAAGCUAAACACCCUCUGAGGAUGUUUUCCCAGAGGAUGAGAGGCUAAACAUUUAGUUUCUUGGAGUAAAGGAAGCUAGGUGAAAAGUCCAGAUUAAAACAUGGAAAGUUUUCGUGCAUUAAAUUCAGGUAGUUGGAGUCCAUAAAUGGUUUUUUAAAGCCAAGGUUUUGCCUUAAAUCCCUUCGAAUCACUUUGACUGGCCAAUACAUGGUAAGCUUAAGGUCUCUGUGGAUGCUUAUUGCUAGAUCCAUAUCAGUCCAUUAGUUAUCAUGUANNNNNNNNNNNNNNNNNNNNNNNNNNNNNNNNNNNNNNNNNNNNNNNNNNNNNNNNNNNNNNNNNNNNNNNNNNNNNNNNNNNNNNNNNNNNNNNNNNNNUCGAAUCACUUUGACUGGCAAUAACAUGGUAAGCUUAAGGUCUCUGUGGAUGCUUAUUGCUAGAUCCAUAUCAGUCCAUUAGUUAUCAUGUACGAGCCAUUGGAAAGUGAUUCAAGGUGAUAGCCCAUAGUGUCUUAAGCCAUUUAUGGACCUUGACCACCAUCUCUAGUGACUUUUUAUGGAUUAAAACUUCAUUGUCAAACCUAUACCGGUUCGGGAAAUAACUAUAGGUUAAAUCCCCAAUGCGAGGAGAAAAAUCCGGAAUUUUCCACUUUGCAUCUGGAACUUGAACCUAGCAACCUUUAGCUCCGGGAGACUUUCUUUCUUCCACUUUUUACUUAGUUCUAUGUGAGUUUAGUUUAAAUCACCACUUUCAAAACAAUUUUAUUUUCUUUUAAAUUUCGAGUUUGUGCUAAAGGAAAUCAUCAGAAUCAAUUUCUAAUUUAGAGUCUGUCACUGAUAGAGUGAAAACCCAUCCCUGAGUUCGACCCUAGAACUGCUAUACUAUAGUAGCUUUGCUACGCCAGUAUAAGGUCAUAGGUUUUAUAAAUGUUUUUUAUUAAAAGACCCGGCUGGGCAUCGAAUCACUCCAUAAUCGAAUAGAACCUUCCCUCGCUUGCCAAGCUACUUUUGCCUUUAGAAUUGGCGUCGAAGCCAGACAAGUGAUCCAUGUCAUACACGAGGGACCAAUGGGUAGUCAAUGAAAAAGCAAAUGACAUGCCAAGACGUUGAUAAAAGAUGCAAAACGUGUGACCCAUAUUUGCAAUGUGGGAGUCAUAUUUGUCAUCGGAAGCCUAGUUCCAAUGGAUAAAACCAUUGUAUUUUCCAAAGUUGACCUACUCUAUGUCGCUCAGCCACAUGAAAAUGCCUUCAUCCUAACACUAAACAUUGUCGAAUACGAUGUGUGUCGUAUAGUGAUCGACCAAGGAAGUUUUGUGGACCUCAUACAUAUAUCUACCUACAAGCAAAUAAACCUUUCGAUGCAUGUGUUGGAAAGUCCAGGGAGGGCUUUGUUGAGCUUCAACAACUCAACCACAUUUUCUCUCAAUGACAUCAUGUUUCCCAUCUCCGUCCCUUCUCUAUACAACGCAAUCCUCGAUAGGCCUUGAAUCCACAUCAUGAAGGUCAAAUAGACAUUUACAAAGAUUAGACGACAUCACGGCGAUACUAUCAGAUGAUGAUGUUUAUGAUCCCUAGUAUAGGCAAAGGAGAAAGGGGCUCAAGGGGGAAAAAAAAUAGGAACUACCAAAAGAUUCCAGCUUGAAAUCGAACAAACGGGAGUCCUCGGCCACUGAGCUGCUAAUUGCCAUCAAUCUAUUUGAUGAGUCCUCUAUAAAGUGUUUUUGGAGAAAAUAUUGUUGGAAGAGGAAAAGAAUAGGUUCACUUAGCUGCUAAGGCAAAAUGCAAAUGUCUUAGCAUGGAAACACUCCAACUUAGAGGGGAUUCACCUCUCAAUAGCUUGCCACCACUUGAAUGUGAAGGGAAGAUGGUGCUCGAUUAGAUAAAAAUUGCAUAAAUUUUAUGAAGAAUAACAUAAGAUCAUUGUGGAAGAAAUAAACCAAUUGCUCGAAGUCGGAUUUAUCCAAGAGGUGCAAUACCCGGAAUAGCUAGCCAACGUUUCCGUGGUCCCGAAGAAAAAUAGUAAAUGGCGUGUGUGCAUUGACUUCAUUGAUCUUAAUGAAGCUUUCCUGAAAAACAGUUUUAUUCUCUCUUGGAUAGACCAAAUCGUUGACGCCACAGUAGGCUAUGAACUUUUAUUCUUUUUAGACGCCUUUUUUGGGUACAAUCAGAUACCAAUAUACCUACCAUAUGCGGAGAAGACGACUUUUAUUACUAGUCGGGGCUUACUAUGUUAUGAUGUAAUGUCAUUCAACCUUAAGAAUGCUGAAGCAACCUAUUAGCGAUUGGUGACGAAGAUAUUCUAACAUUUAUUAGGAUAAAACAUAGAAUUUUAUAUCGACGACAUGUUGAUCAAAAGCAAGCUGAAGCAUAACUACCUUCAAGACCUUGCUAAGGCUUUUGCUCUACUUCGCAUAUAUGACAUGACAUUGAAUCCCGAAAAUUGUGCAUUUGGAGUGCAGGUGAGCAUAUUUCUUGGUUACUUGGUGACGAAGUGUGGGAUAAAAGCUAGCCGACAGCAAAUCAAAGCCCUAUAAGAAAUGGCCCUCCCACAAUGGUCAAAUAGGUCCAACGGCUAACUAGAAAAUAAAUGGCCGACAAGUUGCAACAUUUCUUUGAAGUGCUCAGGAAGAAAAAGAAGUUCGAGUGGGAUGAGCAAUGUAAUUAGGCCUUCAUUGCCAUCAAAAGCUAUUUGGCUAUUUUCCCGUUCUUAGUUUGCCAUGCGAAGACAAAAAAUUGUAUGUAUGCUUAGCGGCUAUAAGUGUGGUGGUAAGUUCUGCCUUAGUUUGUUCAGAUGAAUAAGACACCCAACAACUGGUAUACUUUGUCAACAAAACUCUCCUUGAUGCAAAAACUUGAUACUUUAAGCUUGAAAAGGUGGCCCUAGCAUGGCACACUGUGGCUAAGAAGCUCAAGCCAUAUUUCUAAGCGCACGCCAUGUUGUCCUUAUAGACCAGCUUAUGUGGGUCGUGUUGCACAAGUCGGGUCUCUCCGAUCAGCUGGUUAAGUGGGCUAUCAAGUUGGGUGAUUUCGGGAUCAAGUAUAGGCCACGACAAAGCCUCAAAGACUAAGUAUUAACAAAUUUCAUCGUCGAACUUUUAGGAUAUGAGAGCCUGGAAACCGAGAGCAACAAGAAUAGUGAGACAUGGAUUAUUUACGUAGAUGGUUUUUCGAAAACAAAAGGAACUGAAGUUAGAGUUGUCCUCAAGUCCCCCAUUGGAGAUGAACUAGAAUAAUCCAUCAACUUGAGUUUCCUGGCAUCCAUCGACGAGGUCGAAUACGAAGCAAUACUCAUAGGGCUAAGAAUGGCCAGCCAACUACAGGUAAGAAAAUUUGAUGUUUGUAGUGACUCCCAACUUGUUGUCAACCAAGCAGAAUGACACUAUGAAGCACACAAUGAAAGAAUGGCCAAAUACUUAGACGUUGUAAAGAGGAAAACCUCUUGAUUCUAUUUUGUAGGCUUCACAUUGGUUCCUAGAGAGGAAAAAUGUUUAGGUUGAUGCCCUCGCCAACCUGGGUUCUUCCUUUUCGAGUAAGUAGAGUUAGGCAUUCCCGAUCGAGUUUUUAGAAGAAUCUUCUUUUAUGGAGAUGGAGGAACAAUUAAUACACUCGACACCCCCGCCAAUUCCUAGUUGAACUCGUACGUCGAGUACCUAAAAGAUGACACGCUCCCGAAAUAUGAAAAAAAAAACCCAGAGGCUUUGGGUAAACGCCACAUGCUUAUGCCUAAUCAAUGACCACUUGUAUAGGUGUUCUUAUGAUAACCCAUAUCUUAAUUGUGUAUAGAAUGAUCAAACUAAACACCUACUUGUCGAAAUCCAUGAAAGAUAGUGUGGUAACCACAACGGGGGACAAUCUUUAGCUCAUAAGAUAUUAUCCAAGAGGUACUAUUGGCCAACCAUCCACAAAAAAAAUAAGACAAGUGCCAAUGUUAUGUAUUGGUAUAUCAUCUCCUGACCGAACAACUUACACCUAUUGUGAGCCACUGGCUGUUCGCACAAUGGGGACCUGACAUUGUUGGACUACCACCUACGAUGCUUGCUCAAAAACAUUUUCUCCUGGUAGCCACAGAUUACUUCUCAAAGUGGGUCAAAGUGGAGACUUAUGCUACCAUCAAGGACACUAAAGUAUGAAAUUUUGUGUGGCGAACAAUUGUUUGCUGAUUCAACAUCCCCUCAGCACUAGUAUUUGGUAAUGACAUCCAAUUCAACAAUCGUAUUUUCUGCCAGUUUUGCACUGACCUCAAAAUCAAGAACUUCUACUCUACAUCAUGCUUAUCUCAAAACAACGGCCAAACUGAAGCCACUAACAAGACCAUAUUAGACUGUCUGAAAAAAAGGUUGGAGAAGGCCAAAGAAAAGUGAGUCGAAGAGCUCUUGGGUGUCUUAUGGGCCAAUCGGACAACUCAAAAGAGGCCAACUGGAGAAUCAUCAUUUUCUAUAGCCUUUGGAAUGGAGGCCGUCAUUCCAACCGAAAUUGGUUUACCCAUAGAACAUACAACUUUAGUAAAUGCAGAUUCCCAUUUAGCCUCAAUCGAGCUUUCUUUGGACCUAGCCAACAAAAGGUGGGAUGAGGUGACCAUACAGAUGCCCGUUUACCACCAGCGGGUCAUGGCGCAAUACAACAAAAGGGUUCAGAGUUGAAAGUUUCAUCUUAGGUAUCUCAUACUCUAGUAUGUUUUUAAAAAUGCAAAAGAGUCGAGAGAUGGCAAACUUGGCCCUAACUGAGAAUGACCCUACUGAGUAACAUGUGUCGGGCCUAACGACGCUUAUCACUUAGAAGCAUUGGAUAGCAAGACCCUUCCAAGGUCUUGUGAUUUGUCCCCAAUUGGUGUACUAUUUAAUUCAGUCCUUAGACAGGAGUUAUCAACAAAAUUUAUAAAGCUAAUUCACCAUACACUAGGGUAGCAUAGCUAGCAUAGUAUAUGAUUACUACCCAAAAAGUGUUAUUUUGCGCCUUUAAUUCAUUAUGUUUUAAGCACUUUUGUGUAGUAGUUCUCCAUUUUUAUUCCAAUUGUCAUGUUAAGGACCUAGCAAUGACUUCUAAUCAUAUUUGUGGCUAGUUUUAGUGUUUUGACAGCUCUUUGGUUCAUUAAGACAAGUCAAGUAAUGGGGAAAAGCAAAGAGGAAAACAGAGUGAAGAAAAUAGAGGACAGCAGCUGCAGUCUUCCUUUGCACUUUUAGAGCACUUUCCGAAGUCCAUUUUCUACAUACUAUAUACCAUUUCAAAUCUCAGGAAGUCAAGAAUCCAACGCUUUAAACCGUGUACCAUUUGGAGCUGAAAUGAGGAAGAUAUGACCUUCGGAAGACAACUGCACCAUGUAUGUGCGAAUUUCGCACAACACACCAUGCAUGUGCGAAUUUCGUACAACACACCAUGCAUGUGCGAAUUUCGCACAACCAACCAAGCAUGUGCGAAUUUCACACCAGCCCAUGCGUCUUUGGUGUGAAAUCUCCUCUAUUCUGCCGACUCCACAUUAGAUCUUUUCUUUUGUUUUUUUUUAUGUAAAUUCCUUUCUUAUCCCUGUAAUUAGCCAAUCACAGGCUUUGUUUUUGUAAAGACUAUAAGAGUGGUGGAAAUCAUCUCUCGAGACGACGACUAAUGUGUUAUGUUUUACACUUAGUAAAACACAGGGCUCUCUUUGCUUUCCUUUUCUCUCUACUAUUUUCUUUUCUUGGAAGCCAAACAACCUCUGAGGAUGUUUUCCCAAAGGAUGAGAGACUAAACUUUUGGUUUCUUGGAGUAAAGGAAGCUAGGUGAAAAGUCCAGAUGCUAAAGUGGAAAACUCUCGUGCAUUAAAUACAGGUAGUUGGAGUUCAUAAAUGGCUUUUAAAUCUAAUGUUUUGCUUUAAAUCCCUUAGAAUCACUUUGAAUGGCCAAUACAUGAUAAGCUUUAGGUCUCUGUGGAUACUUAUUGCUAGAUCCACAUCAAACAAUUAGUUUUCAUGUACGAGCCAUUGGAAAGUGGCUUAAGGUGAAGACCCAUAGUGUCUAAAGCCAUUAAUGGAACUUGACUACCAUUUCUAUUGACUUUUUAUGGAUUAAAUCUUCAUUGUUAAACCUAUACCGGUUCGGGAAACAACCAUCCUUUAUGUUGUUGUCCCCAAUACGAGAAGAAGAAUCCGAAAUUUCCACUUUGCAUUCUGAACUUGAUCCUAGCAACCCUUAGCUCCGGGAGACUUUCUUUCUUCCAUUUUUACCUAGUUCUAUAUUAGUUUAGUUUCAAACACCACUUUCAAAACAAAUUUUAUUUUCUUUUAAACUUUAAGUUUUUGACAAAGGAAAUCAUCAGAUUCAAUUUCUGAUCUCGAGUAUAUCACUGGUAGAAUGAAAACCCAUCCCAGAGUUCAACCCUAGAGCUGCUAUACUAUAGUAGCUUUGCUAUGCUAGUAUGAGGUCAUAGGAUUUAUAAAUAUUUUUUAUUAAAACACCCGAUUGGGCACGAAUCAAAAUGGUGCCAUUGCCGGGGAUUGUGCCACUUUACAGUGAUAUGACCUUUUCAGAGUACUUGUGAUCUUCAUCACAAGUUUGGUGAAUUCCUUUUUUUUCACUAACUUCAUUUCCUUUCUUUUAAUUGUAGAAUUCCUUUUGUUAAGUUUAUUUUCAUUUUCUUUCUAACCUUAACUUUCUUCUAGCUUUCUUUUGUUUUUGUUGUCUUUGUUUUGUUUCAGGUAAGUAGUAACUUGUGCAUGCCCUAUUGGAUUCGGGACUAAGAGGGAAGACUAGUAAGGAUAGAGAAUUCUCAAGACACAGAGUUGGAUAUCUGUGAAAACAUCAUGGACCCUCCACCAGAGGAUCAGAAUUCUUCACACGGUCAAGGGGGUAAUCCAAAUGCAUAUCUAUCCUUGAGGGAUAGAAUGCACCCACCAAGGAUGAGUGCAUCCUCAUGCAUCGUACCUCAUCUUGAGCAGCUGAUUAUAAGGCCCCAUAUUGUGCCCCUCCUACCAAAUUUCCAUGGAAUGAAGAGUGAGAAUCCAUAUGCCCACAUCAAGGAGUUUGAGGAGGUGUGCAAUACUUUUAGAGAGGGAGAAGCUUCAAUAGACUUGAUGAGAGUCAAGCUAUUCCCUUUUACUUUGAAGGACAAGGCAAAAAUAUGGCUUAAUUCUUUAAGGCCAAGGAGCAUAAGGAAUUGGGUUGAUCUUCAGGCCGAAUUUUUGAAGAAAAUUUUCCCCACCCAUAGGACCAAUGGGUUGAAGAGACAAAUCUCAAACUUUUUUGCCAAAGAAAAUGAGAAGUUCUAUGAAUGUUGGGAAAGGUAUAUGGAGGCCAUCAAUGCUUGUCCUCAUCAUGGAUUUGAUACAUGGCUCUUGGUGAGCUAUUUUUAUGAUGGGAUGUCUUCCUCCAUGAAGCAAAUUCUUGAAACCAUGUGUGGGGGAGAUUUUAUGAGUAAGAAUCAGGAAGAAGCCAUGGACUUUUUAAGUUAUGUGUCUGAGGUAUCAAGAGGAUGGGAUGAGCCCAACUCAAGAGAAAUGGGAAGGAUGAAAGCUCCUGUAAAUCCAAAGGGUGGAAUGUACAUGUUAAGUGAGAACAUGGACAUGAAAGCUAUGGUGGCAACAAUGGCAAGGAGGUUGGAAGAACUUGAGUUGAAAAAAAUGCAUGAAGUCCAAGCCAUUUCCGAGACACAAGCCUAUGUCAUGCCAUGCACCCUUUGCCAAUCAUGUGAUCAUGUGGUAGAUGAGUGCCCAACCAUCCCAGCUGUGAGGGAGAUGUUAGGUGAUCAAGCCAAUGUUGUGGGGCAAUUUAGGCCCAACAACAAUGCACCUUAUGGAAACACCUAUAAUUCAAGUUGGAGAAACCAUCCAAAUUUUUCUUGGAAACCGAGGCCACCUCCAUACCAACCACAAGCCCAAACCCAAGCACCUCAACAAACCUCUUCAAUGGAACAAGCCAUUGUGAACCUAAGUAAAGUCAUGAGUGACUUUAUGAGUGAACAAAAGGCAAUCAACUCCCAAUUGCACCAAAAGAUUGAAAAUGUUGAGAGUUCUCAAAUUAAGAGAAUGGAUGGGAUGCAAAAUGAUCUAUCUCAGAAGAUAGAUAAUAUUCAAUACUCCAUCUCUAGGCUUACCAACCUCAACACAGUGAAUGAGAAAGGAAAGUUUCCCUCUCAACCAAGCUAAAAUCCCAAGGGUGUUCAUGAAGUUGAAACCCAAGAUGGGGAGUCUUCAAAGUUGAGGGAGGUCAAAGCUGUGAUCACCUUGAGGAGUGGGAAGGAGGUUGAUCAACCUUUGCCUAAGAUGAGGCAAGAUAAAGAACUCAUGUCAAAGAGAACCUUGGUUAAAGAGACCAAUAACCAAGAAGAGAAGAGUGGGAAGAAAAGUGCAUCCAAAUCAAGCAUUGAAGAAGAGCCAAGGAUAGUGAUUAAAGAGGAUAUGAUGAAGAAACAUAUGCCUCCCCCUUUUCCUCAAGCUUUACAUGGAAAGAAGGGAAUCAAGAAUUCAUCAGAAAUUCUUGAAGUUUUGAGACAAGUGAAGGUGAAUAUACCCUUACUUGAUAUGAUCAAGCAAGUCUCCACAUAUGCAAAAUUUUUAAAGGACUUGUGCACGGUCAAGAGAGGGUUGCAUGUGACAAAGAAGGCAUUCCUCACUGAGCAAGUAAGUGCCAUCAUUCAGAGUAAGUCUCCAGUUAAGUACAAAGAUCCGGGAUGUCCCACCAUUUCAGUCAACAUUAGAGGGACACAUGUGGAGAAGGCUUUACUAGACUUGAGGGCAAGUGUGAAUUUGCUCCCAUACUCUAUGUAUAAGCAACUGGGACUUGGAGGAUUGAAGCCCACAACCAUCACUCUCUCCUUAGCUGAUAGGUCGGUAAAAAUCCUAAGGGGGAUGAUAGAGGAUGUUCUAGUUCAAGUGGACAAAUUCUACUAUCCUGUGGAUUUUGUUGUGCUUGAUACUGAUCCCACUGUUAAGGAAGCAAAUUAUGUGCCAAUCAUCCUUGGGAGACCUUUCCUAGCUACCUCCAAUGCCAUCAUUAAUUGUAAGAAUGGGGUGAUGCAGCUCACAUUUGGAAAUAUGACCUUGGAAUUAAACAUAUUCCACCUAUGCAAGAGGCAUCUUCACCUAGAAGAGGAGGAAGGAUUGGAGGAGGUGUGCUUGAUCAACACCUCGGUUGAAGAGCAUUGUGACAAGAAUUUAGAAGAGAUCUUGAACGAAAGCCUUGGAGUUCUUGAAGAAGGGUUACUUGAACCCUCUGAUGUGUUAGCCAUCAUGUCUCCUUGGAGGAGACGGGAAGAGAUCUUACCACUGUUCAAUAAGGAGGACUCACAAGGAGCAACUAGGGAGGACCCUCCAAAGCUAGUUUUGAAGCCACUUCCUGUUGAUUUAAAUGCAAACUUCAUAUGGGAUCCGAGCAAGCUGAAUCCGGAUCAAAUUUUUUUUUUGAUGGACUUAGUCUUUCUAAAUACUAGCUAGUCCAUAUCUUUUUCUCUUAUUUUUAAACUUGUUUUUAUUUUGAUUUCUUGCUUUUAUUUUAUUUUGGUUUGAUUUAACUUAGGUUUUUUGAUGAUCAGCGCAGGGGAAUCCAAAAACAGAGGAUCUAGAGCAGUUCAGGCAGUAGACCUCCACAUCUCAGAGGAACAUGGUUCACAUUCUAUCACGAGGGACUUCUGGAGAUACAUGCCUGCUACGUGGGAAAGCUUGAAGAAUGAAAACAAGGAAAAACAGGGGAGAAAAGCCAAGACACAGCAAAAUUCGCACCACCCAAUCAUCUGGUGCGAAAUUCGCACAACACAUCCCCCUUGUGCGAAUUCGCUUUUGUGACCAAUUUUCAAAAGCAUGCUCUCGGUCCCUACCCAAAAUCUCAGUGCGAAAAGGCACAAGAAUGCAAACCUUGUGCGAAAUUGUCUUUAUGACUAUUUAAAAAAAAACAUGCUCUCUGUCUUGGAGAACCAUUGGAAUGCGAAAAUUUUGCAUUUCACUAUUCCUUGUGCGAAAUUCGCAUUUCUCUUUAAAAGCCAUUUUCUCUUCUUCAAUUCUAAGCUUGUUAUUCUUCAAUUCUCUCAACACCUCUCUUCCGAUCACCCCUUUCCAUCCACAAGGUCCUCUCCUUCAUCAUCCCCCAUCCUCAACCCCACCAUGGCAGCCCAUAUCAAGAGCUUCAUUCCAUAGCCGCGGCCAACACUAUUCACAACAGUCUGCACCUUCCAAUUUCAGCUUUUUCUCCUCCUUCCACCAUAAAAAACCCUUCAUUUCUUCACUCAACACUCCAAAUUCAUCCCUAAACCCAACCCAACCUUGAUUUUUCAAAAUCAAAACCUCAAGCAUAGAUUUCAAAGCCACGGUUUCUUCAUAAGAAACCCAUUGCCGCCGGCUAUGGGAACUUCAAAAUCCCUCAUUCUCUUCUUGUGAAGCUCCCACUUCCAAGCUUAGCCACCAUGAAAAACUCUUUUCCUACCUCAGCCAACAUUUCCCGCCCUCAAAAACCAAGAAUUGUUGCCAUUUGAAAGCACCACAAUUUCGCAUUUGCACGGGUGAAUAGUGCAUUGUGCGAAAUUCGCACAACACCCUUUCCUUGUGCGAAAUUCGCACAACACCCUUCCCUUGUGCGAAAUUCGCACAACACCCUUCUCUUGUGCGAAAUUCGCACCACCCUUCCCUUAUGCGAAUUUUUGAGCUUCUUCAUCCCUACCCUCCCAAUCCCAAGCCUCUAAGCCUCAUUUCUUUGCUCUAAUAUGCCUAAGACCCGAGGAGGCUAUGCCUCAGCUCCCCAGAGCAGUCAAAGAGCUGCCCCUGUGCGGGCCCCACAAGAUGCACCCCCACAUUUACCUGAUUCUGCCACUCAGCGCAGAUACCAUACGAGGAGAGCAGCUGCCACGCCUGUGGCCCCUACUCAGAUUCCACCUAGGAGUUCUCCUACAAAGAAGGCCAAGACUUCAGAGCCAGGAGAGUCUUCCAGAGCACCUCGAGAUUCACAGUCUUAGCCCCCUCCCACCAGGCACCCCAUCCUCGCCAGCUCGCCCAUUGAGGGCAACUCCGAUUACCGAUCGAGAGCAUUCCAUGUCGAGGCAUAUUUUGAUCACUCUAUUUUGCGACAACAGCCUGAGUUGGGGGAUUCAUACCGCCUACUUGAGAGGUACCACCUUGUACCCUUUAUGACUCCGCCACAAUUCUUUUAUCCUCGAGUAGCUUUAGACUUUUACCAGUCUAUGACUACUCGUGGCGUCCCGGUACCAGCCUCGAUCCUUUUUACCAUUCAUGGACGCCAAGGUAUUUUGGGGGCUAGACAGAUUGCCGAGGCUUUCCAUAUCCCUUAUGCACCAGCAGAUCCCGCUGCAUUUAGACACUGGGCCCCACUUUCUGAGUGGGACAUGGUUUGUAUACUAUCUUGAGGGACAUCUUCCCAGAGGAUCAUUAUGAGGAAGGAGCUUCCCCCUAGGAUGCUCCUAGUUGAUGUGGUGCUUCGCAACAAUCUUUUUCCUCUUCAGCAUAGAGUGCAGAGGCGAGGGGCCAUUCUAGAGGCGUUAUUCCGUAUCUCUGAGGGCUACUACUUUGGUCCCCAUCAUUUGAUUAUGGCCGUCCUCCUCCAUUUUGAGGAGAAGGUGCAUAAGCGGCGUCUUACGAGGGCAGACACCAUUCUUUUACUUUUUCCUCGACUACUAUGCCAUGUUCUGGCUCAUAUGGGUUUCCCUACAAACCUUCAUUCUGAGCACCGCCGUCAUUGUCGAGAGAGCUUAUCUCUUGACCAAUGGAAUCAGGUAUGGCUCCAUCAGCAUUCCCCAGAACUUCUUGAGCCAAGGGAAGUCCCUCCACAGUCUUUACCAUCUAUAUCUGUUCCGCCCACUUCAGCUCCCUCGGAGCCCGUACCAGAGGCAGCAUCGUCUGACACCCCACCUGUUGUUCCUCCUACCUCAGAGUCACCCAUUACUAUCCCUGGUGUAGAGUAUUGUGACUUGCUCGCUUCUUUCCAGACUUUGACCACUACUCAGACGACUAUUAUGGAGCGGAUGGACCAUUUCCAGCUUCGACAGGACCAGCAAACUCUCAUUCUCCGUGAGAUUCAACAGCACCUCAGUCUUUUGCCACCAGCUCCACCUGUUGCUCCUGUGCCCUCAGAGCCUUUUGCUCCAGCUGAUGAUUUUGCUCCAACUGAUGAUGCUACACCUGUAGCGGUACCUUCCACAGUUGCAGCGGAGGACCCCUCCUAUCCACCAGAGGAGCCUACUAUUUGAUCAUACGAUCACUCCUCUUCCUUUUUUGUUUUUAUUUUGUAUCUAUAUUCUAUGUUUUUGGCUGUCAUAUAUAUUUUGGAUGUGAUAUACUGGCAUUGGAUGUAUUCCAUGUUUAUAUUGUAUACUGUACUCUCUUAGUUUAUAUAGAUAUCUUCAUUUUUUGUGUAUAUUAUCUGUUCCUUUUUAUUUCCUCUACUCAUCACUCUUAUCAUUUCUUUUUCUUUUGCAACAUGUGGUUUCUCCUGUUCAUUCAGAGUCCCUUACUAUCAGGAGGUAUCACUUCCUCCCUUUUAUUAUCACUUGCUUUUGGAACAUUGGGGACAAUGUUCAUCCUAGUUAGGGGGAGAGUUGAGGAGGUAAUUUGUUGAAUUUUUUGUUAAGUUAUUUUGCUCACAAUUUUUUUUGCAAACUCUUUUUGUUUUCUCAAAGAUAAAUUCUCAAAAAUAAAUGGGAGAAAUUAAAUUCUUAUUUUGUUGCCAUAUUCUCAAAGUUUGUAUUAUGCUUAUUAAAGUUGAUAAAUUGUUGAAGCUCCUUUCGAUUUCAAUCUUAAGUCUUCCACUCUAAUCUUUUCACACACUGAACACAUUAGAUUCCAGUUAUAAGAUGGAAAACUUUCUCACCCCCUAAACUUAGGAAAUUUUCGACUUGGUGCCUUUGACCUCAUUCUAUUAGUGUUGGGACACCUUAUAAAAGGCCAAUGUGUCUUAUGAAAAAUUUUGCUUCACUUGCUUUGAAACCCGAGCAAGGUCCGAGGGGCAUAUGGUGAAAAUCUUUGAAGCCUGGUGCCCUAAGCCUUUAUUGGUUGGGAGUCACCGACCUCACUGCUCGUUACAUGGGUGGAUGGGUGGAGUUCAAAAAAAAAAAAAAGGUGCGUUCUUAGCCUUUUAUAUGGGGGUUAAUGUUGCUAAAGUUAGAGAAAAACCUUAGUUGGGGGGAGAAUAUAGUUUGACACUUAGAUUUUUGUGGAAAAUUAAGAGUUGGUCCUUUGGGAGUAUAAAUUAUUUUGAUACUCAAAUUUGCAUAAUGCCCACUCUUUGUAUGUUGUGAUAGGUAAGUUAUUUGAUGACUCUUGUUGAUGAUUGAGUUUUAUAUCCUUGACUUACCAUGUGAGAGUUUGAUCCGAUCAUGCCACUUGAUUAUUUUUUGGAGUGAUCAGCAUGAUUUUGUAAAUUAUUAUAUUAUCUAUUUUUCUUUCUUUCUUUUUCUCUCCUUCAUUGCUCAGGGACUAGCAAUGUGUCAGUUGGGGGGAGUGAUUACUACCCAAAAAAUGCUAUUUUGCGCCUUUAAUUCAUUAUGUUUUAAGCACUUUUGUGUAGUAGUUCUCCAUUUUUAUUCCAAUUGGCAUGUUAAGGACCUAGCAAUGACUUCUAAUCAUAUUUGUGGCUAGUUUUAGUGUUUUGACAGCUCUUUGGUUCAUUAAGACAAACCAAGUAAAGGAGAAAAGCAAAGAGGAAAACAGAGUGAAGAAAACAGAGGACAGCAGCUUCAGUCUUCCUUUGCACUUUUGGAGCACUUCCCGAAGUCCAUUUUCUACAUACUAUAUAUCAUUUCAAAGCUCAGUAAGUCAAAAAUCCAGCACUUCAAACUGUGUACGAUUUGGAGCUGAAAUGAGGAAGAUAUGACCUUUGGAAGACAACUGCACCAUGCAUGUACGAAUUUCGCACAACACACCAUGCAUGUGCGAAUUUCGCACAACCAACCAAGCAUGUGCGAAUUUCGCACCAGCCCAUGUGUCUUUGGUGCAAAAUCUCCUCUGUUCUGCCGACUCCACAUUAGAUCUUUUCUUUUGCUUGUUUUGAUGUAAAUUCCUUUCUUAUCCCUGUAAUUAGCCAAUCACAGACUUUGCUUUUGUAAAGACUAUAAGAGGGGUGGAAAUCAUCUCUCGAGACGACGACUAAUGUGUUAUGUUUUACACUUAGUAAAAUACAGGGCUCUCUUUGCUUUCCUUUUCUCUCUACUAUUUUCCUUUUCUUGGAAGCCAAACAACCUCUGAGGAUGUUUUCCCAAAGGAUGAGAGGCUAAACUUUUGGUUUCUUGAAGUGAAGGAAGCUAGGUGAAAAGUCCAGAUGCUAAAGUGGAAAACUCUCGUGCAUUAAAUACAGGUAUUUGGAGUUCAUAAAUGGCUUUUAAAUAUAAAGUUUUGCUUUAAAUCCCUUAGAAUCACUUUGAAUGGCCAAUACAUGAUAAGCUUUAGGUCUCUGUGGAUACUUAUUGCUAGAUCCACAUCAGACAAUUAGUUAUCAUGUACGAGCCAUUGGAAAGUGGCUCAAGGCGAAGACCCAUAGUGUCUAAAGCCAUUAUGGAUCUGACUACCAUUUCUAUUGACUUUUNNNNNNNNNNNNNNNNNNNNNNNNNNNNNNNNNNNNNNNNNNNNNNNNNNNNNNNNNNNNNNNNNNNNNNNNNNNNNNNNNNNNNNNNNNNNNNNNNNNNGGCGAAGACCCAUAGUGUCUAAAGCCAUUAAUGGAAUCUGACUACCAUUUCUAUUGACUUUUAGGGAUUAAAUCUUCAUUGUUAAACCUAUACCGGUUCGGGAAACAACCAUCCUUUAUGUUAUUGUCCCCAAUACGAGAAGAAGAAUCCGGAAUUUCCACUUUGCAUUCUGAACUUGAUCCUAGCAACCCUUAGCUCUGGGAGACUUUCUUUCUUCCAUUUUUACCUAGUUCUAUAUUAGUUUAGUUUCAAACACCACUUUCAAAACAAAUUUUAUUUUCUUUUAAACUUUAAGUUUUUAACAAAGGAAAUCAUCAGAUUCAAUUUCUAAUCUCGAGUAUAUCACUGGUAGAAUGAAAACCCAUCCCAGAGUUCGACCCUAGAGCUGCUAUACUAUAGUAGCUUUGCUACGCUAGUAUGAGGUCAUAGGAUUUAUAAAUAUUUUUUAUUAAAACACCCGACUGGGCAUGAAUCAGUAUAGUGGUUCUAGGAUCGUCCACAGGGAUGGGUUUUCAUAUUACAAGUGAUAUUAGUUAAAGUACUGAAAUGGUGCUUUUUCUUUUAUGAGUUAACUUUAAAAGAAAACAUAAUUUUGGUUGAAAAAGGUUGGUUUUAAGUUAACCAAAAAUAGUAACUGAGAUUAAUUACAAAGAAAAGGUUUCUUGGAGUUUUAGGUCAUUAGGUUCAGGUUCCUUAGACAAAAGGGGGAGAUUCCGAAUCUUUUCCUCGCGUUGGGGAUAAUAACAUAAAGAAUGGUUAUCUCCCAAACCAGUGUGUAUUUAGCAACCAAGAUUUGAUCCCACUGGCCUUGGGUACUCCAAAUCUAGAGAAGAUGUUCUCUUUGAGAAAUUUGAGAACAACUCUGUGAUCAUUGCGUUUGCACAGGAUCGCUUCAACCCAUUUAAAAAUAUAAUCUACUCCCACCAAGAUGUAAGAGUAACCAAAGGACAUAAGAAAAGGUCUCAUAAAGUCAAUGCUCUAGACAUCAAAAAGAUCAACUAUUAAAAUGGGGUUCAAUGGCAUCAUGUUCCUGCGUGUUAACUUCCCAAGCCUCUGGCAUCUAUCAUAGCUCUUGCACAUGGUGUGGGCAUCUUUGAAAAGUGAUGGUCAGUAGAAACCCGAUUGCAAUACCUUCAUAGAUGUCUUUUGAGAAGCAAAGUGGCCUCCACAUGCGCUUUUGUGGCAAUGACUAAGGAUCCCCUGUUGUUCUUGUUUAGGGGCGCACUUCCGUAUUAUUUGAUCAGCACAAUAUUUGAAUAGAAAUGGGUCUUCCCAAUAGUAGGCAUGAAUUUUUUCAAAGAAGUGCUUCUUAUCUUAUGCUUUCCACUCACUUGGAACUUCUCCAGUAACUAAAUAGUUAGCAAUAUGAGCAUACCAAAUUGUGACUUCCAUCAACAUGAGUGACUCCUCUGGAAAAUCAUCAUUAAUGGGCAAACUAUGGGAAUUAUGUGCAAUGGCUAGCCUUGACAGAUGGUUGGCUACCACAUUCUCCACUCCUUUCUUGUCUUUGAUAUGAAGAUUGAACUCUUAAAGUAAGAGAAUCCAUCUAAUCAGCCUUUCUUUUGCAUCCUACUUAGUCAACAUAUAUUUCAAGGUCGAGUGAUAAGUGAAAACUACAAUGCCCCACCAAGUAAGCGCGAAAUUUGUCCAAGGCAAAAACUACAACCAACAAUUCUUUCUCUAUGGUUGUGUAGUUUCUUUGCGCUUCAUUCAACGUUUUUCUUGCAUAGUAGAUCACAUAAGGCUUUCCAUCUUCUCUUUGCCCAAGAACAACUCCUAUAGCAAAGUCACUGGCAUCGCACAAUACUUCAAAGGGCAAUUGCCAGUUGGAAGCUCUCACUAUUGGAGCGGUCGUCAGAAAUAACUUCAGGUCUUCAAAACUCCGUUGACAUCGAUCAUCCCGUAUGAAUUUGGCAUCAUUUACCAAUAGUUCACAAAGAGGUCUUGCAAGUUUAGAGAAAUCUUUGAUAAACCUCCGAUAGAACCCAGCAUGGCCAAGGAAUUGCCUUACUCCUUUGACAGUUGUUGGCGAUGGCAACUUGACAAUAAGUUCAACCUUUGCUUUGUCCACUUCAAUGCCUUGCUUUGAGAUAAUAUGCCCAAGGACAAUCCCUUGGUGUACAAUGAAAUGGCAUUUCUCCCAGUUAAGCACCAAGUCUUUCUCAAUGCAUCGGUUCAGAACAACUUCCAAGUUGACUAAGCAUUCGUCAAACACACUUCCAUAUAUAGUGAUAUCAUCCAUAAAGACUUCCAUAAUACGCUCCACCAUAGCACUGAAAAUGCUUAACAUGCAUCUUUUGAAUGUUGUGAGUGCAUUGCAUAAGCCGAAAGGCAUUCUUCUGUAUGUGUAGGUUUCGAAUGAACAUGUGAAAGUGGUCUUCUCCUGGUCUUCAACAUCAAUUUCUAUUUGAAAAUACCUAGAGUAACCAUCCAAAAAACAGUAGAAUGGAUGGCCAGAGACCCUCUCAAGCACUUGAUCUAUAAACGGCAAUCAAAAGUGGUCAUUCCUUGUUACAACAUUCAACUUUAGAUAAUCAAUACACACCCUCUAACCUGAAGUGAGGCAUGUAGAAACUUCUUCACCCUUAUCAUUUUGUACCAUUAUGAUCCCUAAUUUCUUUGGCAUGGCUUGCGUAGGACUCGCCCAUGGGCUAUCUGAUAUGGGGUAGAUAAUACCAGCCUGAAGUAGCUUAAGCACUUCAGCUCGCACCACCUCUUGCAUGUGAGGGUUCAACCUUCUCUGAGGUUAACGAACUGACUUAGCUUCUUCUUCCAUGUAUAUAUGAUGGGUACAGACUAAAGGGUUGAUCCCUUUCAGAUCAGAAAUUUGACACCCUAUCACCUUCUUACAUCUCCUAAGGACUUUAAGUAAACAAUUCUUCUGGUGAGUGGUAAGAGAUGAAGAAAUAACAACAGGGCUCUGCUUGUUUUCUUCCAGGUAUGCAUACUUCAACUCCGUGGGUAAUGGCUUCAGAAUAAGCUUUGGGGGCUCCUCCUUAACAGCUUCUUGUAUCUCAUCCCCAUUGAAUAAAGGCAAAAUUUCUUCCUUCCUCUUCCAAGGGGGCAGAGUAGCAAGCAAAUCUGAGGGUUCAGGUAACCCUUCAUCAAAAUUCCCAAGAUUCUCGUUCAAAUCUUCGAGCAUUUUCUGAUCACAAUGCUCCUCUACUAAGUUGUCAAUCAUGCACACCUCUUCUGGUCCUUCUUCUUCUUUCGAAUAGAAUUGUUUCUUGCACAAAUAGAAGAUGUUGAGCUCUAACAUCAUGUUGCCAAACGUAAGUUACAUGACUCCAUUCCUACAAUUGAUGAUAGCAUUUGAUGUAGCUAGGAAUGGUCUUCCAAGUAUGAUAGGAACAUAGUUUGUUCCUUUGGCAACCGGGUCCAUAUCAAGAACAACAAAAUCCACUAGGUAGUAGAAUUUGUCAACUUGAACUAGGACAUCUUCAAUCAUGCCUCUUGGAAUCUUCACAGAUCUAUCUACUAGAGAUAGGGUGAUUGAUGUUGGCUUCAACUCUCCAAGUCCCAAUUGCUUGUAGACAGAGUAGGGUAGCAAAUUCACAUUUGCCCCCAAGUCCAACAAAGCUUUCUCCAAACACGUCCCUCCAAUCAUCACUAAGAUGGUAGGACAACUCAGAUCUUUGUAUUUCACUAGAGACUUCCACUGUAUAAUGACACUUACUUGCUCAGUCAAGAAGGCUUUCUUAUUCACAUUCAACCCUCUUUUUAUAGUGCAUAAGUGCUUCAGGAAUUUUUCAUAAGUCGAAACUUGUUUAAUCAUCUCUAUCAAAGGGAUGUUAACUUUCACUUGCCUCAACACUUCAAGAAUUUCUAAUGCAUUAUUGAUUCCCUUUUUGCCAUGCAAAGCUUGGGGGAAAGGUGGAGGCGUGUGUUUCUUCAUCAUAUCUUCCUGGUUGAUGGUCAUCUCCGGUUCUUCAUUCACAGUAGAUUCAAGGUCCUCAUUCUUUGCACUGUUCCCUUUUCUCUUUCCUUUGAUUUCCUCCAUUUUCUCUUUCUCUACUUUGAUCUCUGGUUCAUGCUCUGGCUUGGAUGUAGGCAUAUCAACCUUUUUAUCACUCUUUAAAGUGAUCACUGCUUUGACUUCCCUCACCUGUGAAGAUUCUCCCUCCUGAGCCUCCACUUCAUGGAUACCCUUAGGAUUCUGAUGAGGUUGAGAAGGAAACUUUCCUUUCUCUUGCACUAUGUUGAGGUUGGUGAGCCUUGAGAUUGAGUACUAGAGAUUAUCUAUCUUCUGAGAUAGAUCAUUUUGCAUUCCAUCCAUCUUUUUGUUCAAUGUACUCUCUACACUGUCAAUUCUUUGACUGAGCUGAGCAUUGAUGGAUUUCUGGUCUCCAUCAAAGUCUCCCAUGACCUUGCUAAGAUUCACAAUGGCUUGUUCAAGAUUCGAGGCUUGCAGAGGUGCUUGGCCAAGUUGCGUGUACUGAGGUGCCCUUGGCCUCUGAGAGAAAUUCAGAUGGUUCCUUCAAUUUGAAUUGUAGGUGUUGCCAUAUGAAGCAUUGUUAUUGGGCUUAAAUUGUCCAAUAACAUUUGCUUGAUCCCCAAACAUUUCUCUCACAGCUAGAAUCGUAGGACACUUCUCCACCAAGUGCUCAAAAGAUUGACAAAUGGAACACGGCAUAGCUUGCAUUGGUGUUUCAGAAAUGGACACUUCUUCUUCAUUUCUAACUCCUCCAAUCUUCUUGCCAUAGCUACAACUUUUGCUUUCAUAUCGAUGUCUUCGUUCAAAGUAUACAUCCCAGCCUUAGCAUUAGGAGCAUUAGGUUGAGACUUCAUUCUUCCCACUUCUUUGGCAUUCGGCUCAUCCCAUCCUCUUGAAACUUCAGCCACAUAACUUAAGAAAUCCAUGGCUUUCUCCGGAUUCUUACUCAUGAAAUCUCCUCCGCACAUCGUUUCUAAGAGUUGUUUUAUUGAGGAAGACAUAUUGUCGUAAAAAUAGCUCACCAAUAGCCAUGUAUCAAAGUCAUGGUAAGGACAAGCAUUGAUAGCUUUCAUGUAUCUCUCCCAACACUCAUAGAAUUUCUCAUUCUCUUUAGCUGAGAAGUUUGAAAUUUGUCUUUUCAAGCCAUUGGUCCUAUGAGUCGAGAAAAUUUUCUUGAGAAAUUCAGCUUGCAAAUUAGUCCAAGUUCGGAUACUCCUUGGCCUCAAAGAAUUAAGCCAAAUCUUGGCCUUAUCCUUUAAGGUGAAAGGAAAUAGCUUGAGUCUCAUCAAGUCGAUUGAAGCUCCUCUUUCUUGGAAAGUAUUACAAACCUCCUCAAAUUCCUUGAUAUGCGCGUAGGGAUUCUCACUUUCCAUCUCGUGGAAAGUAGGUAGAAGUGGCACAAUAUGUGAUCGGAUCACUAGCUGCUCUGUAGGUGGCACUAUACAUGACGGUGCACUCAUACGAGGUGGAUGCAUGCGGUCUCUCAUUUAUCGGUAUGCGUUGAAAUUCUCCUCCUUAGCAUGUUGACUAUGCUGAUCUUCAGGUGUAGCUUCCAUGACGUUCAUGCAUAAUUCCAACUCUGUUUCGUGAGGAGUUUCGAUUUUCACAAGUCUUCCCUCACCGUCUCGUAUCCAAUAGGGCAUGCACAACUAGCAAUAACUGAAACAAAAACAAAGAAAAAAAAACAAAAGAAAAACAAUUCUAAAAAAAAAUUAAGGUUAACUAAAAACUAAAUAAAAGAUAAACUAAAAUAAAAACAAAUAAAAAGAGUUAGUAAAAGAAAAGAAAAAUCACCAAACUUGUGAUGAAGAUCACAAGUGUUUUGUAAAGGUUAUAUCACUGUGAAGUGGCACCAUCCCCGACAACGGCGCCAUUUGAUUCAUCCCUAAUUGGUGUACUAUUUAAUUCAGUCCUCAGACGGGAGUUAUCAACAAAGUUUAUAAACCCAAUUCACCAUACACUAGGGUAGCAUAGCUAGCAUAGUAUAGUGGUUCUAGGAUCGUCCAUAGGGAUAGGUUUUCAUAUUACAAGUGAUAUUAGUUAAAGUACUAAAAUAAUGCUUUUUCUUUUAUGAGUUAGCUUUAAAAGAAAACAUAAUUUUGGUUGAAAAGGGUUGGUUUUAAGUUAACCAAAAAUAGUAAUUGAGAUUAAUUACAAAGAAAAGGUUUCUUGGAGUUUUAGGUCACUAGGUUCAGGUUCCUUAGACAAAAGAGGGAGAUUCCAGAUCUUUUCCUCGCGUUGGGGAUAAUAAAAUAAAGAAUGGUUAUCUCCCGAACCGGUGUGUAUUUAGCAACCAAGAUUUGAUCCCACUGGUCCAUGAAAAACUGCAGUUGCUUCCCAUUAAUGGUUUCAAAUGCUAAAAACCUCUCACUGUGAAUCAUCUUUCAAUGGCUCGUACAUGAUAACUAAUAGACAUCCAUGGAUUCCAUGGAGCCCGAAAAGCUUACCAAGUAUUCGCCAUUCAAGGUGAUCCUAACCUUGGAUUACCCUUCAAAGGCUCGUAAGAGAUAACUAAUGGAUCUCCAAGGAGUCCGAAAAACUUACCAAGUAUUGGCCAUUCUAGGUAAUCCUACCUUUAAACCACCUCCCAGAGGCUCGUAAGAGAUAACUAAUGGAUCUCCAGGGAGUCCAAAAAGCUUACCAAGUAUUGGCCCAAGUGAUUUUAAGGGAUUUUAAGUUAAACCUUAAAAUAAAAACCAUUAACGGGUAACAAAUCUCCGCAUUUAAAUCAAGGAAAACUCCCACCGUUGUAUCCGGAUCCCUUACCUAGCUUCCUCCAAUCCAAGAAACAUAAAACCUAGCCACUCAUCCUCUGAGAAAACAUCCUUAGAGGUUGUUUAGCUAGAAAGAAAAUAAAAACAUAAUGAGAAGGUAAGGUAGAGCAAAGCUCUGUGUACUUCUUACUAAAAGAAUUUAUAAGUGUUCUCUGGAAUUUCUUCCGAGAUGAAUUUACAAGUGUUCUCUGGAAUUUCUUUUGAGAUGUUACAAAAGAGACAUUUUAAGACAUAUAUAGAGAGAUAUUUUUAACCCCUCAUUUAGAUAUCCUAAAUAUCUAAAAAUAUCUCGAGAUAAAAAUCUAAUGGAGUCGGUGCAAAAAUAUCUAAAAAUUACACAGGAGGAUUUUCGCAAGGCUUGCGAAAUCCAUUUUCCUCAGUCUUUGGUUUCGCAAGGCUUGCAAAAUUUCGCAUAAGGUACGAAAUUCAUUUUUCACAGUCUUGCUCUCUGUCCUGCAACUUGUACUCCUUUUGGCAUUUCGCAUAGCCAUGCGAAAUUGCUGGAUGUUAGAUUUCUUAUUUGAUUCUCUUCCUUGCAUACUUGAUUGAUUUGGCAAAAGCUACGAAGCUUUCCAAAACUUGGAUUCUUCAUGUGUUUGAGCUUCAACUUGCUUUGCCAUGGACUAUACAAAAUUCUCCCUCAUUCUUGGCUUGUUUUAAUGAUAAAAAAGCUAUCAAAAACACCAAAACUUGCCAAAAACUGAUUAGAAACAUUUGCAACGGGCUUUAAUGUGUCAAUUGAGUUAAAAGGUAAUAAAUACUACUCAAAAGUGUUUAAAAGAGUUUAUAACAAGAUAUAAAAGAGCACUUUUUGAGUAAUAAUCACCUUGGAAUGUACUUCACUUAAAGAAAUUUUAUCCAUGAAAGUAGCUUUUGAACAUAACUCCAUGUCCUUAAACUGUACUUCGGAUUUUAUCCAAUGAAGACAACUUAAAAAAAAAAACACAUUUGGUUAAGCCAAGUGCCUAAAAAAGUCUAAGAUACUCCAAAAACAUCUGACCAAGCAAGUGCUUGAAAGAGCAUAAGGUGUAUAAAGAGCAUUUGGCCAAGAUAAGUGCCUAGAAAGCUUAAGAUGCACUAAGAGCAUCCGACCAACCCAAGUGCCUAAAAAAACCUAAGAUGUGCCAAAAGCAUCCAACAAGAAAGUGCCUAAAAGAGCCUAAGGUGGGUAAAGAGCAUCCAACUAAGCCAGGUGCCUAGGAAGCCUAAGAUGUACCAAAAGCAUCUAGCCAAGCCAAGUGCCUAAAAAAGCCUAAGAUGAGCUAAAAGUAUCCGACCAAGCCAAGUGCCUAAAAAGACUAAGAUGCGCCAAGAUGUACCUAACCAAAGCCAAGCGCCUAAAGAGCCUAUGGUGCAUAAAAACAUUUAGCCAAAAAGUGUUAAAAAGCCUAGGAUACACAAAACAAGCAAUGUUUAGCUAGCCGAAUGAGAAAACAUUCAACCUCAUCCCCUUAGUGCUUGGAAAAAGCAUUCGGCUUGGGAACCCCAAAAAUUCAUAAAAGCAACUGGACUCACAUACAAAAAUUACACUCGGACAAUGAACCUUAGAAAUGAACAAAAAUGCAUCCAACAUGGGAAGUAGCAAAAAAAAAAAAGUUUGAAUUUCAAUACAAGUCACAUGGUAAUAACAACAUCCAAAAUAGGAAACCAAAAAUAGUCCACCAAAACAUGUCCAAAAAAAAUACUACAAACCUAAGUCACACAUCUCCAUCAACCCAAAAAACCCUAAUUUCAGUAGUCCUAACUUAAACCUCCUUAACGACACCAUCAUUCCCCGCAUCACCAUUGUCGUCAGUAUCCUAAUUUUUCUAAAUAUUGUGUUUUUUCAGGCAGCAUUCGUAGCCAAACUCAUAAGCACGAUCUACCUCAUUGGUGUACUGAGAAACAAGUUUCUUCAAUUCUAUGGAAGUCUUCUCUAUUUUUUCACGAAGUGCAGCCACUCUUGUUUAGUCAAGAGUGUUCUUGAUUUGACAUGUCCAGUUUAGACUAUAGAUUUUGGCUCUGCUCCUCCAGCGUCUUUUUCAUCUUCAGUUUCUCAAUUUUUGUCGCUUGAAGCUUUUUGGUGAGGUCUUGGGCCGACUUUCUAGUUAUGUGAGGGCAUGCUUCAACUGAUCUGUGUCAGAAAUGUAGUCGCAAAAAUUAUUCUCACAUCUCUUGAAAUCUCCAAUACCAUACUUCAUUUACAACGGGAAAAAAAAAAAAAAAAAGUGGAAUAAACUAAAAGCAUGAUAGGAAUUAGAUGGCACUGAAUAAAAGUAAAAGAAAACCUUACCAACACACUCAAAUCUUGGGUGGAGAACUAUGGUAUAGCAAUGAUCAAGUCAUAAAAGGAAAAAACUCUCAACAGCGGAGCCACCAUAGGCGGGACUAAGGAGGAAUUUGAUCGAACCUGUGCAAUAAGAUCCCCAACUACCAAAGUCACAAUUAUUAGGUCGGUUCAGUGAACCUCUUCAGAUUAGCGAGGUGAGUCCGAUAUCUCAAUUGUUGGGCGGGGCAUAGAAUUAUCCCUAGGAGUAUUACCCUAAGAAGCUGUCAAACUCUCUUGAGGAGCGACCACCUUUAUCUUUUUUCGACGUUCGUUUGCCCCAUAAAGAAUAGAUUUCGGCCUCAUAUGUUUGAGUGUGGGGUUAGCCAAUUGAGAAGUUGGUGGCUUGCUUGAUGAUUGUACCACUUGGAGGGAUCCCGAGACUCGCUACAAUAACUUUGUAUAAGCUACCUGUUGAGUCUGCGCUUGUUGGAGCAUACCCUUCUGUCUCUUUCAAUCUCUCUUAGCUAGGAGCUUUUAGUACACCUCUAAUUCCUGUGCAUGAGCCUCCUUCUAAUACUUUAUGUCCUUUAUUAUAAAGUGCUCGCCUCGCACUUGUAGACAGGGCACCGUCUUGGGGCAAAAUGACCCGAAUGAAUCAUUUUGGAUGCCUUUGGAUGUCAAGCAAGUUCAAAGCAGUUAGCAACACCUGAGAAGUCCUUUGAGUUGGCUUAAUGUUUAGCAGCCAGCAUAUACGAUCAAAAGACGCCUUUUCCACCCACUUGGCAAGGUGCCCUCCUUUAUCCUGAUCUGCAAUAAACCCGCCAUUAGAAAAGAAUAAAUAAAAAUUAACAAACGAAUAAAGGACACGUUGAUGUGGUAAUAAUACCCAAAUAGACAAUUGAGCGAUUAACCCAUAACUCAUUAUCUGGAUCACUAGGGAUCAUCUCCCAAACCCUAGAAACGAGCACGUUCCCCUUCAGCCAUCCCUUACCGGAAUUUGGUAACUCUAUCACAAACUAAAAAGUACGACACUAUGUCGAUACAAUGAAUUGACCAGCAACACCUAAUUGGACUGUACACAUGAAUAGUACUUCAAGUACUGAAGGACAUAUAACUUAUUUAAUACCGCAUAGCCCAUAAGUACAUGCAUAGUGUUUGAGUGCAUGUGUGAGGGGUGCAUCUCAAUAUGGUGCAAAAAUUAACUCACUAGAGAAGGCAGCGACAGUUGAAGCCCUACCCAAAAUUGUUCCUAGGUAAAGAAAAUCUCCCUAUAAGAGGAGCUUAUUGUAUAUCUCAAGUCGUCGAGAUUUUUCGGGAAACAACCCUCACAUCAUUUAGAAUAUCAUAAUAGGCAUGAAAAUCUUCCAUCAAAGAGACCCUCCUGGAAUGCAAUGGCCCAACAACCCUACGCAGACUGACACACUCGCGAGCAAUUGAGUUUGGCAAGAUUGCUCAAAAUUGACGAUCGAUAAAGGGCUACUCCUCACUAUCCUCGUUCUCGAACUUUGACGACAUCCUUGGAAGCUAUGGGACUACCUAGCAACACACAUGAUAUAAGACCACCACUAUGGAACACUAACCUAACCAAAGCUAAGGGGCAAGGCAAUGUCGACCCACCCUCACGCACAUCUGCUUGAGUAAGGGAGAAAAUGCUCUACACAAACCUAAAAAACCCCACUACUUUUAGAGUUUUAGUCAACACCUCCCUAAGACCAACAAAGAAGGGAAGAAAAAGGUGCAAUGUGUAAUAACCAAAAAAAAAAAAAAAAAGUGUAAUAAAAAGUUGUGGAACUUACUUUCAAUGUAGGCGCUAAUACUAGUACCACAACAUAGGAAAAUCCAAGGCUCUCGGAUCGCAGUUUGCAGAGGCAAUUACAAGCAUAAAAUAAAAAUGUGCUUGGGUACCCCAAAAGUUCCCUUAUAAGAGAAAGGGGGCGCUUUAAUGAAAUGCGUCAAUCAAGUUUGGUGUCUGCCAUCAUGGUGUCAUUUCGUGUGAUUCCCUAAGCAUUGCACCCUCCAAGCGACGUGUGUUUGGCUUAUGAACCUUUACGUAGAGCUGGUAAAGAGGUUUUAUGCCCAAGUGAUGCCCUACUAGCACUUUUCCCAGCUUUCUGGAUUGUGAAAUGGGGUAUAAGAGGUACCAGGCUUAAUUGGUGGCCAACCCAUGGGUCCACCCACUCAGUCGAGUGGCUGGUACCUCCUAGUUUAGAACCAAAGCCUUUGCCAAAAAGGUAACUAGAAUUAUGUGAUUUGGGUAGAUCUUCCUCGGACGCAUUGGUUCUUGGAACCAGGUCGGUAAGCUUCUAACCAAAAGAGAAUGACACCACUUCACCAGAUCAAAUCUUCCUGAGACAAAUAAAGCUCACCUAGGAGACAACCACCAUGGGUCGCCCAUCGGGGUAGGGUGCCUAAAAAAUCAAAGCUUGGAUCACUUGAGGCCCCUGCUUAUCGAUUCGAGAAAUCUGAACAUAUGUGGUCCCGAAGCCAACAUAUCAGCCUACACCUUGACUCAUAUGACACAAACACCAAGGGUUGCAACAAGACUAAUACAAGGAACGAAGGGUGACGACAAGACUGGUAUGAAGAAUAAGAGGCUACAACAAGAUUGAUACGAGUAGUAGGUUCCGAAGCAAAGCUCUAACCUGAUCUUAUUAGCAGCAAAUACCAGAGGGGUUAGCCAUACGCUGCUUGAUAUAGGUUAAAAAUGGGUUACUCUUCAAAUAAAAACAUGAAAGAGGUUCAUUUCACGUAUAUGAAGAUUAUUUCAUUUCUUUUAACCAAUUAAUUCUAUUUUUUAAAAUCUAAAUAAUUUCACUACUCCGAAUAAAAUAUUAAAAAUGAGUUUAAUAAAUAAAUAAAUUCUAGUUAACUUAUCUUAAUUUUUAUCAUGAUAAUCUUCAUAACUAGUCUAUUUUUUUAAUCUUCAGUAAAUAAAAAAAAAUGCAAGAAACAUAUGCUCAUAUAAUAAUAAUAAUAAUAAUAAUAAUAAUAAUAAUAAUAAUAAUAAUAAUUAUUAUUAUUAUUAUUAUUAUUAUUAUUAGUAUUAUUAUUAGUAUUAUUUAUUAUUAUAUUUUUAACACAUUGAGAUUACAUACACAUCGUUUUAACAUUAAAUGUAUUUUUAAACAUUAUGAAUUAUUAUCGAAGAUCAUAAUAUAUAAUACCGAAUAUGCAUAUCAUGUUUCUUAACAUCAUUUUUUUAUAAAUUUUAUAAGAAUAUUUUUUUUUUGAAAAAUUUUAAAUUAAGCACCUAUUUAACAUUUGAACAUAAUUUAAAUUUGAGGUUGUUUUAAGAGAAGGUCUAGAAGCCAAAUUGAAAUACAAGUAAAAAUAUAGAGACUAUUUUUGUAGUUUACCACAAUGAAUAUGAGAUAAUAUAAUAAAAUUUAAAUUUAUUUUUAACAUCAAUAAUUAGCAAAGAAGCAUGAAAUUAAACUAAGGGAGUUAAAUCAGACUAACAUUAUUUUUCAAUAAGUAAUAUAUUAUGAUAUCAUAAAAAUAUAUUAUAUUAAAUUAAUAUAAUAAUUUUGAAUAAUGAAACUCAAAAUGAUUGAUUAAAUUUACAAAUAAUAAAAAAAUCAAAUAAUUAGAAUCUACAUUUUCUUCAAAUUUCAUUCAUAAUAAUUUAACAUAAAUCACAUUAAAUAGUUAUUUAAAAAAGUUAAAAAAAAAUAACAAAAAUUAACAUACUACUUAAACCAAAAGAUUAUAACAUUUCAAUACAAAAUAGAUUUGUAAUUAAUUUUUUGAAGCAAAUAAUUUUAGAAGUUAUAUUUUAAAAAAAAAAAUGAAAAUAAAUCAUAAAAUAUUAUUCCAAAAUAGAAAUGAUAAAAAUACAAAGAUCAUCAAACAUUGGGUGAACUUACAGCCUAACACUAAGAGAAAAAAAAUAUUUAUAAAAAUAAUUUUAAUAUUCUAAAAAUGAAAUGGGGAAGUCUUGUAGUUGUUGUUGUUGGUGGUGUUGUUGUUCCCUCAAAUCAUUAUAUGCAUCACCCAUGCAACUCACCGGCUACACAAACACGAUCCUGAGUCACAGCAAUGGGGCAGCACCACUUCCUCAUUAUAUCACAUCCACUGCAAGGCCACAUCAACCCAGCCCUCCAAUUCGCCAAGCGCCUGAUUAGAAUCGGCGCCCACGUCACCUUCGUCGUCUCCGUCUCCGCUCAUCGCCACAUGCCCAAAGGUCCAAUCCUCCCCGGUUUAACCCUAGUUCCCUUCUCCGAUGGCUAUGAUGAUGGGAUCAAUCUCGAAGAUCAUGCCCAACACUAUUUGUCCGAGAUCAAGCGUUGCGGAUCAGAAACCCUCAGGCGGAUCAUUGCAAUAAGCGCUGACCAAGGCCGACCAGUUACUUGCUUAGUGCACACCAUUCUUCUUGCUUGGGUGGCAGAGCUGGCGCGUAGCCUUCAGCUUUCGUUUGCGCUACUUUGGAUUCAGAGCGCCACUGUUUUCAUCAUUUACCAUCAUUACUUCGAUGGCUAUGGUGAUGUGGUUGAAAACUACAGCAAUGAGGGUUCAAAUCCAAUUGAGUUACCGGGGCUUCCAAUGCUGUUGUCUAGCCAUGAUAUUCCGUCCUUUUUACUCUCUUCAAACAUAUAUGAUUCAUGGAUCCCAGCAUUUCAAGAGGACAUGGAGGCACUAAGGCAAGAGACGAACCCCAAAGUGCUGGCAAACACCUUCAACGCACUGGAGGCUGAGACGCUACGAGCUGUGGAUAAGGUUAAAUUGAUUGGAAUUGGACCUUUGGUCCCAUCUGCUUUCUUGGAUGCCAACGAUUCAUCUGAUUCUUCUUUUAGAGGAGAUAUUUCCCAAGAUCCGAGCGACUGCAUCGAUUAGUUGAACUCCAAGCCCAAGUCAUCAGUCGUUUAUGUAUCGUUUGGGACACUUUGUGUUGUGUCAAAGCAAAAAAUUGAGGAGAUUGCACAUGCUUUACUACACAGCGGCAGGCCUUUCUUGUGGGUGAUAAGAUCAGUGUCCGAAAAUGGAGAAGUGGAAGAAGAGAAGCUGAGUUGCAGAAAAGAGUUGGAAGAGAAAGGGAUGAUAGUGGCUUGGUGUCCUCAGUUGGAUGUUUUGUCACAUCCAUCAUUGGGAUGUUUCAUUACACAUUGUGGGUGGAACUCAACGUUAGAGUGCCUAGCUUCUGGAGUUCCAGUCGUGGCAUUUCCCCAAUGGAUGGAUAAGGGACCAACGGGAAGCUAAUUGAAGAUGUGUGGAAGACAGGCGUUCGGGUGACAGCGAAUGAGGAGGGAAUAGUUGAAGGCGAGGAGAUCAAGAGGUGCUUGGAAGUCGUCAUGGGAGGUGGAGAAAGAGGGGAAGAAUUGAAAAGGAAUGUUGGGAAAUGGAAGGAUUUGGCAAGGGAAGAUGUGAAAGAUGGUGGAUCUUCCAACUGCAAUCUAAAGGCUUUUUUGGAUGAAUUGGGACAAGGCAGUAUGAUUUAGUGAAAGUUACAUUGUGUUGAUAUAAAGUUGUAUUACUGAUUGAACUCGUUUCUGGUGUUUUAUGGCUUUCCCAAAGGCUUAGAGUGCUUGUUGUAAGUGUAACUGCAUCUGGAGAAAAGAGAAAUUUCAAAUUUGUAUUCUCCAGUCUAUGAACUAAAAGAUCUCAUCCUAAGUCAUUUGCUUGGCUUGAUCAAUUGAUUUUGAAAUAAAAUUCAUAUUUACUUUGAAGCUUUUGGAAUAAAAACAUCUCGCCUUCACGAAAAACUGUUCUCUCUCCUCAUAUACUCUGUACUCAAACCUGAUAUCUCUCUCUCUCAUCUCUCUCUACCGUGGUUGUCAGUUGUCACUAAUGUCAGUACUAAACCUGCUCUUUCUCUCUAGAUCUCUAUCAUCUCUCCCUACCAGGUUUGCCAACUAUAUCAGUUUCAACGAUGCUUUCUGUUUCUCUCCCUCGACAUCAUUUAAGGUUACAGUAGUUGAUUAUGAGAUUGAGAUCCACAUGAAAUGAAUUGUGUUCGUCAGCUAUGCCUCGGAGAGAGUUUUUGGAGUUUAAGUCCAAAAUAAUCCAUUUGUUGAAAAAAAAAAUUGGUAAGAAUAGUACCCAUUUCAAAAUAUUUGUCAAACUAAUCUUUUGUAUCCACAUAAGCAUCCACAUGGGUUUUUUUUUUUAGUGUAAAAAACCACUAUUGGUGACUGUGGUUUUAAAAAUUACAAAUAUCUUUAAAACCACAAUUACAAACCGUGGUUUUACAAUCUCCCUUAAAACUACAGUUAGUAACUGUGGUUUUAAAAAUAUAUCCUUAAAACUACAGUUACAAGCUGUGGUUUUACAAUUUCCUUUAAAAUCACAAUUAGUAACUGUGGUUUUACAAUUAUUUUUAAUUCACGUCUGUUUUAAUGGUAUUGUGAUUUUAAUAUUAUUUUUAAAAUAUUUUUUAUCAAAAUAACCAUAAAACCACAGUCACAGAUGGUGGCUUUAUAAUUUUCUUUAAAACCACAGUCACGGACUAUGGUUUUACAAUUUUCUUUAAAAGUAUAGUCAUGAACUGUGGUUUUACAAUUUUCUUUAAAACCACAGUUACAAAUAUUAUUAAGGGGAACUCAUGUAACCAUAACUAAAAAAAGUAUGAGAUUUUAGAACUUUGCUUUUUUAUUUUAAAUUUUAAUGUAAAGUAUGGAUGUACCAAAAUUUCUUAAUGAUGUACCAAAUUUCCUUAAAGUUCGUUUUGGAGUGGGGAAAAUUUCUUACAUUUUUCCAUUGUCAGUUGAAAAUUAAUUUUUUUUUCAAAUUAUCCUUAAUAAUUUUUUUCGUUACGAUUGUUUUAAAAUUAGAGAUAUAUAUAUAUAUUAUCUUUAUUUUUUCAUAUUUUCCUUGAAAUUUUGAGAAAAUAAUUUGGUCUACAUGCAUUCCCAUAAAAAUUUAUACAUUUAUGGUAAAUAAAAUAUUUAUUUGUUUUAUGAAUAUUUUCACAUAUGAACUAAAGAAAAUUAUUUAUUCAUAUUAUUUUUAAAUUUUAAAAUAACUAAAGAAAUUGUUUAUAUUAUUUUAAAAUUUUAUAUUUUCAUAUGAAAAUUAAUACCAAUGAUUAUGAUUUUAGGUUAUUUCUUAUUAAGUAUGAUUUGAACUUAUGUCUUGGUUAAAAUGUAUAAUUUUUAAUUAUAUGAAAGAAAAAUAGGUAGUGGUUGUAAUAAUUUGUUUAGUUAGAAUUUCUUUCAUUUAGACUUUAGGAUGCAUUUGAGUUUUAUUUGUUUAAAUUAUCAAGGAAACAGGUGAAUAACAUAACAUUACUAAUUUGAAUUAACACUUUAUAUAACCUUAAAUGUAUAAACCAAAGUAUUAUAGUUCUACAAACAUGAAAAAAGAUCUCAAUGUGUCCCACAUGAUGGAAUAUUUCUCUUUCAUUGUGAAUAUCUACGGUAGAUGGCCAUAUUUGUUGUAUCCAUCUGUGCUAUCUGAAAAGUCUCCAUCUCUAUAGACUGUGACACGUCAUCUACAUGAGCUGUUGAGUUAGAUGGAACUGAUGGAAGUAGAACUCGACAUACACGUGGAGCUCGAUGUCCUCUAGGUACCCGUACAUGUAAUCGUCCGACAUGAGCUGUCCCCUGAAGAAAAGGUAGAGGUGCAAUGGACUCUGUAAUAGGUGGAGAUGUAAUAGACUCUGUAACAGGUGGGGGUGCAAUAGACUCUGUAAUAGGUGGGGGUGCAUCCAAUGAUAUAGAUGGUUGGGAUGGAGGUGGAAGUGGAGGUGGAGAUGGAAGUGAAAAAGUAUGUAUAGAUGUAACAUGAGGAAAGAAAGGUAAGUCUAAUGAUAUAGAUGGCUGAACAGGGGUAAGGGUAGAUGGUAUGGUAGUCUCGGGUUGAGAUGAAUGGGCUGGUAUGGAUACAUUAGGGGGGGAGAGUAGCGACUCUAAUGAUGCAGAUGGUUGAAAUAGAGGAAAGGUAGAUGUGACUGAUGGAUGUGAGGGUUGUACCAAAGUAGAUGCCAAAGGCACAUGUCGGUGACCAUCUCGACGACCACCUUUCCCCCAAACUCUAAUGGAUGGUACCCUAACAGGCAUAAUCAAUGAUGGUGGUCUCAUGGAUGGCCUUGAAUAUGUGGAUGGCUCAUGUGUCGAGUAUACGCGAUGGUCCUCUCCUAUAGCACGUAAAACGUCAAUAGCAAUUCAGUGAGUUUCCUCCAAAUCAUUUGAAAUAGCAAUCUGCGAUAUGGUAGUGAUCUGUAUAAGAAAAUGAAACAUGAGACAUUUGCACAUAAUUUAAGUUUAACAUUCAUUAAAAAAUGGUUUUGUAUCUCAAAUGGUCUCACCAAUAACUCAGUGGCAGAAGCUGUACUAUGGAACCUCAUAUGAUCUCUAUGCAAAAUAGGUGCGAUCAGGCGUCGCGUGAUACGUCGAUACCACUGCAUAUAUGGAUCAUAAAAAUCCAUGGUAGUAAUAGCAAGUGGUGCUAUCGCAAUACGUUCAGAACUAGUAGCCCAAAGAGAAAUAUAUUGAGCAUGGAAUGUCACCUAAUCAUACUGAUGUCGUCUUCGCCUAUCCACUAAAUGUAGCUCCAUAUCUAUCAAAUAAGGUGGAGGUAUCCCUUGUUGCAUACGAAACUGGCGUAAAACUCACUCUGGUCUAUGCCACUUGAUAAUAUCAAAGCAAAUUAGAGGCGACAUAAUUCGCCAAAUUUCUUCAUCAGCUUGACAUAUAGUCGGAAGAUGUGCAGUCAAAUCUGCUAUAUAUGGUUCCCAUAAUACCUGUAAUUUUUUUAAAAAAAUUAAUUAGUCACAUUGGUGGAAAAUGUUGCAAAGGUAAUCUUACGUAUCUACACUUUACUUGAUCUUGUGUCUAGGCAUCCAAUUGAUCUAGAUAGAAUGUCAACACAUGUGGUGAUGGGUUAUGAGACCAAGACAGGGGUACUCUCCACUUGUGGCCCAAUGGAUCGAUUGGGAGUGCCUCAUCUGGCAAUAGAUGAUCAUGUAAACCAUCAACUACAUCAUCAUGUACAUGUGGGACUACUAUAGGCAUUGGAGGAUGACCGAAAUCAGGUCGACCCACAUGAAGUCUAUCCCAUGACCACAACUACAAAAUCAAAUAGCAUUAUCAAAAUUAGACAACAUACAACAAUAAUGUGAGUCAAUUAAUUAGAAUAGAUAGUUAUGUCUAAAUACUUGUAAUAGUGUGAUAGGUCCAGAAAUCUCUGUGGCACUAUCCAAACUCGCACAACAUAGCUCUCUAUAUAGGUAUGCCAACACUGCACUGCCCCAACUAUAGUGAGAAAUCUCAGUGAAGUCUCUCAACAGUGGAAGGUAACAUAACUAUACAUGUGUGCCGGUCUUGUCUGCAAACAAUGCUUCACCCAAUAGUGCUAAUAUGAAAGCAUGAGCAUAACGCUAUAAAAUAACAUCAUCUACCCCUGCCGGUGGAUAUGAGAACUGUUCACGCAACCAUCAUGCUGAUAUAGAUAACUGAUUACUACCAAAAAGUGCUAUUUUGUAGACCUAAUUAUAAUGGUUUUAAGCAUCUUUGAGUAGUAAUCAUAUUCAUUUAACCCAAUUAAUUCAUUAAGGUCCUUAGUAAUUGGUUUUAACCAUUUUGUGGCAAGUUUACAUGUUUUUAACAGCUUAUGAAUCAAUUCAAGCAUGCCAAAUGAUGGAGGAGCUACUUGGACAAGUUAUGGAAAAGCUUUUGGAAGCUCAAAUUCAUGAAGAACCAAGCUUUGGAGCUCCAUAGCCCUUUGCCAAAGUCGUUCAAAGUAUGCAAGGAAGGAACAAUGGAGAAGAGGAAAACAAAGGACAGCAGCUUCAGUCUUCUUUCGCACUUUUGGAGCACUUCCCGAAGUCCAUUUUCUACAUGCUAUAUACCAUUUCAAAGAUCAGGAAGUCAAAAAUCCAACGCUUCAAACCGUGUACGAUUUGGAGCUGAAAUGAGGAAGAUAUGGCUUUCGGAAGACAACUGCUCCAGGCUUGUGCGAAAAUUUCGCACAACACCUUCCAAUUUCGCACACCCCCUUGCAUGGUGCGAAUUUUCCCCUGUUUUUGCCGACUCCACACGAGAUCUUUUCUUUUGGAUAUUUUUGUAUAAAUUUCCAUUCUUCUCCUUGUAAUCCACCAAUCAUAAGAUUUCUUAGCUAGGAAGGUUGGAAAAACUUCUCUAUUUAUAUCCCCUUGCAUCCGUUGUAACAAAUUAUUGAAAUUAUUGAUAUAUUGAUAUAUAGAUAGAAAAUUUUACAGAGCUCUCCCGUUUCUAUUUUCUUAGUAGCCAAACAGCCUCUGAGGGUUUUUCCUCAAAGGAUGAUUGGCUAAAACUUUUAGUUUCUCAAAGUAUGGAUGUUAUGUGAUGGCUUGGAUGCAAUCCCAUGGAAAUUUCUCGCACCCGAAAAGUAAGGUAGUCGUUUUUCAUUAAUGGUUCAUUAAUGCAAAGUUUGGUUUUUAUUUCCUUUUGACAACUUCCAACGGCCAAUACUUGAUAAGCUUUUGGAUUUCUAUCCAUUAGUUAUCUCCUACGAGCAAUUGGAAGGUGAGGUUUUCAAUUCCAAGUUUUGCAUUAAUCCAUUAGAACCAAUUUCAAUGGCCAUUGAAAGGUGAGUUUAUCACCUGGAAUGACUUUGAGUUGUCAAUAUUUGGUAAGCUUUUAGCUUUAGACUACUAGUUAUCUCUUACGAGCCAUUCAAAGGAAGUCUAAGGUGAAUAACCAUUGAUGAAAUUCACUACCAUGUGUUUUGCCAUUUUAAAGGAUUAAAAAUUGAUUUUCUAAAUCCAUACCGGUUCGGGAAGCAAGCAUCACCAUAGUUGCAACCCCAACGCGAGGAGCCUAUCCUGAGAUUUCCAAUUUGCAUAAGAGCCAGAGCAUAGCUAUCCUAUCUUUGAGGAACUUUUUUUUACACCCUUUCAUUUUAGUCUUUAAUGUUAGCUUAGAUUAGUUUAAAUCUUUCUAAAACAUUUGCAUCUUCUUUUAAAGCUAACAUCCAUAAGAAAAUCACUUAUUUUCCUAAUUUGAAUAUCACUUGUGUUUGCGAAAACCCUUCCCAGUGAACGAUCCUAGAACCACUAUGCUAUAGUAGCUUGGCUACUUUAGUAAUAGUAUUCAAGGUAUAAAUUUUGUUGAUACGCCUUAAGCUAAGCUACCAUGAGUCGAAUCAAAUGGCGCCGUUGCCGGGGAAGGUGCCACAAGCACAGUGAAGCAACCAUUAAGGGUAACUUGUGAUCUUCAUCACAAGUUUGGUGAUUUUUCUUUUCUUUUACUAACUCUUUUUAAUUGUUAUUUUUCUUUAUUUAUGUUUUAGUUUACCUUUCAGCUAGUUUUAGUUAGUCUUAAUUUUUUUAUAAUUGUUUUUCUUUUGUUUUCUCUGUUUUUUCACAAAUUGCUAGUUGUGCAUGCCAUAUUGAAUACGAGAUAAUAGAGGAAGCCAUGAACUUCAUGAGUUAUGAGCACUUGGUGGAAGAGUGUCCUAUCAUUCCAGUGGUGAGGGAAAUGUUUGGUGAUUGCAACACUUACAAUUCCAAUUGGAGGGACCAUCCAAAUUUCUCUUGGAAACCACAACCGCCUCAGUACAAGCAACCUACUCAAGCACCUCAGCAAGCCUCGAACCUUGAACAAGCUAUGGUGAAUCUUAGCAAGGUCGUAGGAGACUUUGUUUUAGCUCAAAAAUCCAUCAAUGCUCAUCUCAGUCAAAGAAUUGACAGUGUAGAGAGUUCAUUGAACAAAAGGAUGGAUGAAGUGCAAAAUGAUCUAUCUCAGAAGAUAGAUAAUGUCCAAGAUUCAAUCUCAAGGUUUUCCAACCUCAACACAGUGCAAGAAAAAGGAAACUUGCCUUCUCAACCUUAUCAAAAUUCCAAGGGCAUCCAUGAAGUGGAGGCUAAAAAGGGAGAAUCUUCAAUGGUGAAGGAAGUUAAAAUGGUUAUCACUUUGAGUAGUAAAGAGGUUGAUUUGGCCACAUCCAAACAAGAGCAUGAAACAGAGAAUGAAAUAGAGAAAAAGAAGAGGGAGGAAAUUAAAGGAAAGAGAAAGGGAAUUGUUUCCAUUGCCAUCAUACAAUGCAAAUCUCUAAUGAAGGAUGCUAACUUCAUAUGGGAUCCGGGCAAGCUGAAACAGGACAACAUUUUUUUUGAUGGACUUAGUCUUUCUAAAGACUAGCUAGUCCAUAUCUUUUUGCUUUAUUACUUGUUUUAAUUUUGAUUUCAAUGCUUUAAUUUUAAUUAGUUUUGAAUUAACAUAAGUUUUUGGAUGAUCAUUGUAGGAGGGAUUGCAAAAAUGAUGAAAGAAAAGGAAGAGAAGAGAGAAUUCUGGCCAUUGGUUCUAUUGCCACUUUGGGACAUAUUUUGGAGAACUUUAUCCAGUCCAUUUCAUACAUACUAUAUACCGUUUCGAAGUUCGGGAAGUCAGGAGUCCAACGCUUCAAACGGUGUCCAAAUUGGAGUUGAAAUGAAAAAUUUAUGGUCAUUGCAAGAAAACUGGACCGAGCUGAGCGGGAAUUUCGCACACCUCAAUCCAAGGUGCGAAAAUUUUCGCACCGUGCGAAACCACCUCCUGGCACACGAGUGCGAUUUCGCACACCUCAAGGCAAAUUUCGCACGGUGUGAAUCAAGGUGCAAAAAUUUCGCACACCACUAUUCAAGGUGCGAAAUUCAUUCCAAGGUGCGAAAUUCUCAGUCCAAGGUGCGAAUUCUCUAAACAUCAGUUUCGCACACCACUAUUCAAGGUGCGAAAAUUUUCGCACCGUGCAAAACACUCUCCUGGCACACGAGUGGCAUUUUGCACACCUCAAGCCCAUUUUCGCACGGUGCGAAACAAGGUGCGAAAAUUUCGCACAGUGCGAAAUUGAGUGCGAAACUCGAUUCAAGGUGCGAAAUUCUCAUUUUAAGGUGCGAAAAUUUCGCUACUGUUGGACACACUUUUGGAGCACUUUCCGAAGUCUAUUUUCUACAUUCUAUAUAUCAUUUCAAAGCUCGGGAAGUCAGAAAUCCAUAUCUUCAAACGGUGUGUGAUUUGGAUUUGAAACGAAGAAGUUAUGACCAUUUGAAGACGACUAUGCAAAACUGAACGGAAAUGUUGCAGCCGCACCAAAUUUCGCUACUAUUAGAUACAUUUUUGGAGCACUUCCUGGAGCUAAAAUUAUACAUACCAUAUAUCAUUUUAAAUCUUGGGAAGUCAGGAAUCCAAUGCUUCAAACAGUACAUGAUUUGGAUUUGAAACGAAGAAGUUAUGGCCGUUAGAAGACAGACUACGCAAAGGUGCGAAAAUUUCGCACCUUGAAAUCCAAAGUGCGAAAAAUCCUUUCCAAGGUGCGAAAUUUUUUUUUAAAGUGCGAAAAUGCUCCAAGCUUCAAGAAUGGGCUGCGAAAUUCCCAAUUUUAUUGCAAAAUGAUUUUCCAAACCUCAAAAUGGCUACAAAAUGAUUUCCAAACUUCAAAAUGGGCUGCUAAAAUGUUUCUAUUUUUCCAUGGUCUGCAAAAAUGUUUUUCUUUUCCCUUUGGCUGCAAGACAUGGCCUCCAAGCUACAAAAUGAUGUGCAAAAACACUUUGCAAAGCCAAGGGAAAUUGCAAAAAUGCCAAUAGAGCAUCACGACCAUGCAUCUAAAGAAGAGAGCACUCUCACUAAGAUCACACAUGAAGUCUCUCAUUCCAUUUCUUACCUCCUAAAACCAUCAAAGCUCAUAGCUCCAACUGAGAGCUCCAGCAGAGGAGACUAUGCCACCUAAGGAGACUACCAGAGCAAAGGUCAAUGUCCUGACCCAACCCACUCAGAAGGCCACCACAGAGCCAUUAUCUCCACAGAACCCUACCACUACUUGAUCAUCUCUUUAAUUUUUGUAUUUACUUAUUAUAUUAGUAUAGAUAAUUCCAUGUUUUGAUGUUUUAUAUUCUGGGAUUGGAUGUAUUGCAUGAUCAUAUAUUAUAUUCUAUUUUCUCAUAUUAAUAUAUAGACAUCAUUUUUGUUUAAACUUGGCAUUUUUCUAUUUCCUCUACUCACUGAAUUUUUUUUUUUUUUUUUUUUUUGAAACAUGUGGUUUCUCCUAAACGACUCAGACUCCAUGCCACUCAGGAGGUACCACUUCCUCCCUUUAUUUUUUUAAUCGCUCUUGAAACAUUGAGGACAAUGUUCAGCUUGGUUGGGGGGAGAGUUGAGGAAGGAAGUUUUUUUAUUAAUGCUUAGUUAUUUUGGUAAUUUAGUUGCUUUUUGCUUAAUUUUUAAAAUUUUUUAAAAGUUUUUAAUCUACUCUCCAUGGUUAUUAAGGAAAAAUUUUCAAAAAUGAAAUGGGAGAAAUUGAAUUUUUGUUUUUUUACUUGACUUAGAGUUUGUAUUAUGUUUAUUAAAGUUGAUGAAUUAUUGAACUCCUAUUGAUUUCAACCUUAUUUCUUCCACUUUAAGCUUAUCACACACCGUGCACACUAGGUUCCAUUUAUAAGAUGAAAAACUAUUUUCCCUCUUGACUUAGGAAAAUUUUAGACUUGGUACCUUUGACCUCAUUUUAGUAGUGUUGAGACACCUUAUAAAAGGCCAAUGAGUCUUUGAAGAAAAUAAAGAAAGAAAAAAAUGUUUGCUUGCCUUGAAACCCGAGCAAGGUCUGAGGGGUAUAUGGUGAAAAUCUUUAAAACCUGGUGCCCUAAGCCUUAAUUGGUUGGGAGUCACCGACCUCAAUGCUCGUUACAUGGGUGAAUAGGUGGAGUUUAACAUAUUGUAGGUGCUUGGGUAUUAAAAUUCAUUCUCAAAAGUCCGGGGUGAAAUCCGAGGAGUUAGUGGUUGAAAAAUCCUUAAAGCUUGAUGCCCUAAACCUUGAUUGGUUGGGAGUCAUCGAUGGACCCCCGUUACACGGACAAUUUAGAAAAGAAUGCCUUUAAGCUUUGCACUCCUACAUGAAAAAAAUUGUGAAAGAAAAGAGGUGCGUUCUUAGCCUAUUGGAGGUUGAUUAGUUUGCUAAGCUUUGAAAAGAACUAGGUUGAGGGGAGAGAUUAGUUUGACAUGCUAUAUCCGGAAACUAAUAAGUAACACGUAGAUUUUUGUGGAAGAGUAAGGAUUGGACCUUUGGGAGUGGAAAUUAUUUUGAAGCUUAAAUUUGCAUAAUGCCUACUCUUUAUGAAUUGUGACUAGACAAAAUUAUUUGAUAGCUCCUAUUGAAGUUUGAGUUUUAUUUCUUUCAUGUUCCAUGUGAGAGUUUGAUCCAUGGAUGUCCAUCAUGCCACUCAUAUCAUUUUUUGGAGUGAUUUGCAUGAUCCCUUUUAUGUAUAUUAUUAUAGUUUACUUAGUUUUUAUCUCCUCCAUUGCUAAGGGACUAGCAAUGAGUCGGUUGGGGGGUGUGAUUACUACCAAAAAGUGCUAUUUUGUAGACCUAAUUAUAAUGGUUUUAAGCACCUUUGAGUAGUAAUCAUAUUCAUUUAACCCAAUUAAUUCAUUAAGGUCCUUAGUAAUUGGUUUUAACCAUUUUGUGGCAAGUUUACAUGUUUUUAUCAGCUUAUGAAUCAAUUCAAGCAUGCCAAAUGAUGGAGGAGCUACUUGGACAAGUUAUGGAAAAGCUUUUGGAAGCUCAAAUUCAUGAAGAACCAAGAUUUGGAGCUCCAUAGCCCUUUGCCAAAGUCGUUCAAAGUAUGCAAGGAAGGAACAAUGGAGAAGAGGAAAACAAAGGACAGCAGCUGCAGUCUUCUUUCGCACUUUUGGAGCACUUUCCGAAGUCCAUUUUCUACAUGCUAUAUACCAUUUCAAAGAUCAGGAAGUCAAGAAUCCAACGCUUCAAACCGUGUACGAUUUGGAGCUGAAAUGAGGAAGAUAUGGCUUUCGGAAGACAACUGCUCCAGGCUUGUGCGAAAAUUUCGCACAACACCUUCCAAUUUCGCACACCCCCUUGCAUGGUGCGAAUUUUCCCCUGUUUUUGCCGACUCCACACGAGAUCUUUUCUUUUGGAUAUUUUUGUAUAAAUUUCCAUUCUUCUCCUUGUAAUCCACCAAUCAUAAGAUUUCUUAGCUAGGAAGGUUGGAAAAACUUCUCUAUUUAUAUCCCCUUGCAUCCGUUGUAACAAAUUAUUGAAAUUAUUGAUAUAUUGAUAUAUAGAUAGAAAAUUUUACAGAGCUCUCCCGUUUCUAUUUUCUUAGUAGCCAAACAGCCUCUGAGGGUUUUUCCUCAAAGGAUGAUUGGCUAAAACUUUUAGUUUCUCAAAGUAUGGAUGUUAUGUGAUGGCUUGGAUGCAAUCCCAUGGAAAUUUCUCGCACCCGGAAAGUAAGGUAGUCGUUUUUCAUUAAUGGUUCAUUAAUGCAAAGUUUGGUUUUUAUUUCCUUUUGACAACUUCCAACGGCCAAUACUUGAUAAGCUUUUGGAUUUCUAUCCAUUAGUUAUCUCCUACGAGCUAUUGGAAGGUGAGGUUUUCAAUUCCAAGUUUUGCAUUAAUCCAUUAGAACCAAUUUCAAUGGCCAUUGAAAGGUGAGUUUAUCACCUGGAAUGACUUUGAGUUGCCAAUAUUUGGUAAGCUUUUAGCUUUAGACUACUAGUUAUCUCUUACGAGCCAUUCAAAGGAAGUCUAAGGUGAAUAACCAUUGAUGAAAUUCACUACCAUGUGUUUUGCCAUUUUAAAGGAUUAAAACUUGAUUUUCUAAAUCCAUACCGGUUCGGGAAGCAAGCAUCACCAUAGUUGCAACCCCAACGCGAGGAGCCUAUCCUGAGAUUUCCAAUUUGCAUAAGAGCCAGAGCAUAGCUAUCCUAUCUUUGAGGAACUUGUUUUUACACCCUUUCAUUUUAGUCUUUAAUGUUAGCUUAGAUUAGUUUAAAUCUUUCUAAAACAUUUGCAUCUUCUUUUAAAGCUAACAUCCAUAAGAAAAUCACCUAUUUUCCUAAUUUGAAUAUCACUUGUGUUUGCGAAAACCCUUCCCAGUGAACGAUCCUAGAACCACUAUGCUAUAGUAGCUUGGCUACUUUAGUAAUAGUAUUCAAGGUAUAAAUUUUGUUGAUACGCCUUAAGCUAAGCUACCAUGAGUCGAAUCAAUAACCCUCUAAUCUAAGAUGGAGGUGGGACGACACCUAAAAGCUCUUAACAUAGUAGUGACCAAUCUAUGUCACAUGUGCCAGUGAUAGAAGGCCGAUGAAUACAUAAUCCUAGAAUCAUGGCUACAUCCUGUAAAGUAACAAUCAUAUCUCCAAUAGGUAAAUGAAAUGUGUGUCUCGGGUCGUCAUCGCUCAACAAGACUCAUGAUCAAUGGCCAAUCUAGUGAAAUGUGUUUGACACGAUAUACACCAUAAAAUCCAGAUUGCAUCACAUAUCGCCGAAUAUGAGGGUCCGUCUCUCACUCUUGCAUGAAUGUCCAUAAACGUUGUCGACAUGUCAAUACCUGAUUAAGCUACAAAAGAUACCAUUUCGAUUAAAUAAGAACUUAAUUAAGGUUUAUGAUUAUGUUUUUCUAUACAUCUAUAUUUAUAUAUACAUAUAUACCUGACCAGAAUCCACUAAUUGAGACCUAUGUCUGUCAUGUAACACUAAAAUAGAGCGAUCUAAUGGAUCUGGAUCGAAUCUGCCCUCUCUAUGCCCCAUUACUAUAUUGUCAUAAUAAACUAAUGUUAAUAUUACAAUUUAAACAAUUUCGACAGAGUCUCCCCCAUAAAAAGGGUAUUCUCCAAAAUACAAAGAACCUGAUUAAUCAAAAUAUUCAUCUGCAACCAAUAUCAAUAUCCAAGUACAAUAAUUAAAAAAAAAUGUCAAACAAUAAUGUUCACAUCCAAAUUUUAAAAAUUUCAGCCGAGUAUCCCCUACAAAUAGGGUAUUCUCCAAAAUACAAACAACCUGAUUAAUCAAAAUAUUCAUCUGCAACCAAUAUCAAUAUACAAGUACAAUAAUGAAAAAAAAUGUAAUAAAAUAAUCUUCGCAUCCAAAUAUUAAAAAUUUCGACAGAGUCUCCCCUAUAAAUAGGGUAUUCUCCAAAAUACAAACAACCUGAUUAAUCAAAAUAUUCAUAUUACAAUUUUGAAAUUAACAGCAAAACCUCUCUUAUAACAUAGGUAUUGUCCAAAAUAAAAAUAACAUAAUAUCAACAUCCAAAGCCUAGCACCCAUGUUCUUAUUUGGACAAGAACGACGAUUGUGACCACUUUGUUUGCACAAACCACAUGUAACUGAGGUUUUACCUUCUCUAACAUCCAUUUCAUUGUGCAAACGAGUAGAUUUAGGUCGUCCACCUGACACACGUUUCAUUGAAUCUACAGGCACAAUAACUGGACCAACAUAUGGUGGCCACUCGUACUCAUUGUGUAUUGGGUUAAAUAGUGGUGCCCAAGUGCUAAAGUACAAAUGCAUAGUAUUUUAAUGUUGAACAAAUGAUCUAAAAUCAAUUGAAUGAAAAUGACAUGCCACUAGAAUAUGACUAUAUGGGAAUCCAUAUAUGAGUGUUUUGCCUCAUGUGCAUCCAUGCUCACAUAGGUUAACAUGAUAUGUUUGCCCACCAGAUGAUGUCUUUUUACUACCCCUACUAGCCUUCACAUGAAAUAGUCCUUGGAAGUGGUCAUAUAAAACAACCUCAUGGGAACUUGCCUUAACAUUUGCAUCAACAUAAAGAGUGUAUUAUUCACCUGAAGCAAGUCGACUAGCACCAUGUUCUCUUCUUACAGCAAAGUAACUAUUAACUUGAUAGAAUGUCAAUUGAACAAAUGCGGUGAUAGGGAAACUUCAUGCCCCUUUAAGCACACUAUUGAACACUUCUGACAUGUUCAUAGUCAUUAUGCCAUAUCGUCGACCUCCAUCAUGUGAUAGUGCCCAUUUCUCAAAGGGAAUAGCCUCCAACCAGCUGAGUGCGUCUUGAUUAAUUCUCCCAAUUGUCUCCAUAUGCAUGUUGAAUUUUUCUACCUUAGUUUCUAAGGUGGCUCUGCAUAAAAGUUGUUUCAAGCAUUUGUCCUUAAAGCGAGUCAUAAAGUUGCCAGAACGAUGGCGCAUACAAAUUUGAUAAUAUGCAUUUGGUGCAGACCAACCAAGAUGAACAUUAGCAAACGUAGCCAUAAUGCCCGGAUGACGAUCAGAGAAAACACAAAGACCCUUCCUUUGAGUUACUCGAUUUCUAAUACAUGCCAAAAACCAUCCCCAACUAUCAACAUUUUUACCUUCAAUUAAUGCAAAAACAAGAGGAAAAAAUUGAUUAUUUUCGUCAUAGCCCAUGGCAAUCAUUACAAUGCCCUUAUACUUCCCAUACAAGUGUGUACCAUCAAUAGUUAGCAUAGGACGACAAUGCUUGAAGCCCUCUAUGGAAGGAUGAAAUGCCCAAAAGACUCAUUGAAGUACCUCUUCAUUUCGCAUAUUACCUGGGAAUGUUUUAGAAAUUACAACACAUCCUGGAUUGGCUUGCUCUAAGACACCAAAAAAAUGUGGCAGUUUAGUGUAUGAUUUAUAGAAAUCACCAAACAAAUUAGUUAAUGCUUUACGCUUGCCUUUCGAAGCCUUAGUGUAUGAUAUAUGGUACCCGAAUCUUUCUACAACACUUGCUUGAAUGGAAGCCACUGAAAGUGUGAAUUGUGUCUUAAUCAUUCCUUCUAUAUGGGCGGCUAUCAGGUUUGAGUCUAACUGAUGAUGAUCUUGGUUCAUGCAAGGAUUGACACAUGUGUGUGGGCCACUGUAUUUGUUGAUCUCAAAUAAAGAUGUCCCUUUAACAACCGUAGCACGAAGUCUCCAAGGACAUUGAGAUUGUUCAGCUUUUUUGCAUCUUAAGUCCAACAAAUUCUUUGUGGAUGACAAAACGAUAUAGUACUCUUGGUGCGAAUUAAUAGAGUACAUCUUUACAGCAUGUUGUAAAUCUUCUUUGGAAUUAAAUAUUUGUCCAACUAUGAACUCUCCAAUUGGAUGUCCCAUAAGAGUGUUUCCACAUGGGGUCCAUUCACUUGACACAACAUGAUCAAUGUUUUCAAUAUUUUCAAAAUGUGGUGAUGGUGCCAAAUGAUAUUGCAUUGGAGAUAAUUCAAUUGGGUCAUCUAAAUCCUCUGUAUCUGGAUUGUUUAACAAGUUACAUCAUUCCCCAUCUAGAACCACAUAUCUCAUUUGUUCUCUUUCAAUUGCCUCACGAAUAGCUAAAAAAGGCGAGCUACCUUCCCUAUCCUGAUUAUCAUCAUUAUGAACGUCCUUGACUCCUACAUUGUCAUCAUCACAUUGUCUUCUUUCUUCAUCUUCCUCAUCCUCUUCCGAUCUAUGCUCAAAAGUAAAUGGAUUUUGAACAUUACUAGUACCAUCAUUUUCACCAAGUAACAAAGGUAUGUAAUUACCAAGUGGUGAAUUCAUUUGUAAGUCAAUAGGUACUUGUUCAACAAAUAACUCAACUUCAUCCAUCCCAAAUCUAUUAUGCAAUUAUUACAUUCGAGUUACACCACUAUCAUUCUUUACUGGGCAAGGUUGGAAUUUAUUCCCUUUUUUCAUAGGAUACUUACAACUAAGAAUUAAUCGAAAAUGUUCUUUAUUGAUGUCAGUGACCGAGUAUAUCAUUUCCAACAGUUGUUCAUAUGUUGUCCCAAGAGGCACAUCAAUAGGUUCAACCACAACUCUAUCCCCAACAUAAUCAACAUCAGUUUGUGUUCUCACUAUUUUCCCAUUACAAAAACAAACCAUUGCCACCGAUAAUUAGACAUAGUUUACCUAUAGAAGAAGCCAAAAAAAUCAAAUCAAUUUCAUUUUUAACCACAAAAUUACACAAUAGAAAACAUUAGUAAUAACAUCAAUUUGUAAUGAAAUAACAAAUAACAAUAAUAGGGUAUGUUAUUAACAAUAAUCAAAUAACAAAUAACACCUUAAUAUCCAAAUACUUCAAUGUUUUUUAUUAAUAAUAUUUUCUUAUUAUUUAUUACCAUUAAAAUUGAAUAAAAGGUUGUUAUUUUUCCAUUAACGAUUAAAAUGUCAUUGUUUAAGCUACCCAUAUUAAGUGGAAAAAAAUUUUAAAUUUGUUCAAAAUUUGAUUUUAUAUAAGUUUCAAAAAUGGAUGUAAUGUGUACAUAUUUAAUAUAAUUACUAGUUACAACUAUAAAUAUUUUAAUAUUUUCCAUUAAAAUAAUCAAAAAAGAGAAAGCGGAAUAGACAUAUUAAUACACUUUUCCUUAUGUCUGGUUAAUUUUUAAAUUUUUUUAAUUUAAUUAAAAUUUUACAAUUUAUAAUUUAAUAAGUUAAAUUUUAAAUAAAAACUAAUAUUUUCUAUAUAUUAAAUUUAUUUUUAGUGUUAUUUAUUUAUUUUUAUUUUUUUAUAACUAUUGAGUUCUUGAAAUAUCUUAUAAUCUUUAAGAGUCUAUCUCCAUCUUAUAGAUUUUUCCCUCUAUGACCUAAAAUAUUUAUAAAAAUAUUCUAAACAAAUUUCCUUAUUCUAUGAGGAAAUAUGAUAUCACAAUAAUAAAUUAACUUAGAAAAUAAUUUAUACAAUAUUCUUUACAAAAAGGAAUUUAUACUAAUUGAGAAUUUGAUACACUUUCUAAUAUAUGAUACAAUUCAAAAGCUAACCAAUAAUUACAAGCAAUUUUCAUGGUUUGGAGAUCCAACCUAGGUUCUACAUGUCUUUUUACAAUUUUAUAAAGUUCUUAUCAUUUCUAGAGGUGCUAUUAAAUGUUAUACAUGCCAUUAAAUGAUUCGAGUUCUAGGAGCCCUAGAGUUUGGUCAUGACUUGAGUUCUAAGAGCCCUAGAGUUUGGUCAUGAUUCGAGUUCUAGGAGCCCUGUAUUGGGGAAGAGAUUGUUAUAUGCACAAUAGUAUUAUCUUUAGAAAAAUGAUGAUUGAAAAAUGACACACUCAUAUCUCCUUGAUCCUAAUAAUUUUUUUUUUGAAAAAAUAUAUAAUAAAAAUUAUAUAUUUUUAGAGGAGAAAAAGAAAGAAAAAUAAAUUUAAUAAUCACUUCCAAUUUUAUUAAGUUAAUAAAUUAUGAAAACAAAUUUAAAAAUAAUUUGAAAAACUUAAGCAUUUGUAAUGAUGGUUUCUCGGUAAAUCUAGUAGGCUUUUUGGUACAAGAAACAAGGGUCAAAAUCCAAGGAAGGCUUUUCGUGCAAAAACCACAAAAAGCCCAAGCCUGCCUUUAGAAGACGUCCCCAACAAAGAGCAAUGACUUGACCCCAUUAUGGCUCGCGGCUCACAGCUUAUUAAUAAUAAUGUUAUAGGGGUGUUGCCCAAAUUUAAACCUUUAUCAUGCGGGUCCUCUCUAGUACAAUCCAAUGGGUUCACGGUUCAUUAUUAAAAGCUUCAAAACAAAUCAUAUGAUGAUAGAGCAAGCAUUGAAGAAUUUGAUUUUCAAUGCAACUGUGCUAUUACUAUUGAGAGGUAAGAAUUGGAAGGUAUUAUGGUUAACAUUGUCAUAUUUGGAAUGCUUUUGUUGGAUUUGAGAAGUAAUUUGGUUAUAUUUGGAAGAUAAUUUGGUCCUAUUUUAUAAAGUUCUUAACAUUUUGGUAAUGGUUUUACAUGUCAUUAAUGAAAGUUUUAUAAAAUGUAACAUUAAUAAUAACAUUUUUAAAAUAUAAUUUUGAUUUGCUUAAAAGGGAGGACUAAGUGUUUUUUUAGAUUUUUUUUUGCAAAUAUUUAACAUUUUCAUACAAUAUAAUUCCAAAGUCCAUUUUUAAUACUUAUUACCAAUUUAAUAAAUUUAAAAUACUUGAAAAAAAAAUUAAGAUAUACCCAAUAAGAUCAUUUUUAAAACAUGUUUCGUUGAGUUAACAAAAAAUGUUUUUUUUUAUAACUAUUAAAACAAAAAACAUGUUUAGAAGUUGGUUUUUUUUUUAAAUAAAAAAAAAUUAAUGUUUUCUUCAUAACUCUUCUCUAUUUAUAGAAAAAGAUAUAAAUAAAAAAAUUUCAACAAAAUAUAAUAAUAAGAGAGUGAUGGAUUUGAAUGGGAAAUAAAAUUAUAUUUUUAGUUUUUUAUUUUAUUUUAAAUUUUGGUCAUAUAUACAUAUUUUUUUUAAUUACAAUAAAUAAGAAGAUAAAAUGUUUUAAUAAUAAACAAGUAAAUAUCAUACUAAAUAAGGAUUAACGAUAAUUUUUAAACAAGUGGAUUAUGAUUAAUUUUUAAUUUUUUUAUUAAAAAAAAAGGAAAAAUAAACAAGUGGAGUGUGAUUAAUUUUUAAUUUUUUUAUUAAAAAAAGGAAAAUAAAAAAUGAUUAAACAAAUAAUUUUUAUAUUAAAAAAUGCAUACAAUUUUCAAAAUUUUAAAAUUAUAAAAAUUAAUUGAAAAAUGAUUAUCAAAUAUCCCUCAAAGUCGAAGCUGAAGUCCGACUUAUGAAAUUCUAAAAUUGUCCUUCUUCUUUGGGAUUCUCAGUUCCCAAACAAAGUAUUUGCUUGAGAAAGGCAUCUACUCUAUUAGGAGCUAAACACAAGUAGGGUUUUUGCACCCUCCACGUACAACCAUCCUUUCCAGCAGCCCUCUGGUAUCUACCCUCCUUCCUUGCUGAGAAAACUGGGCAAAAUCAAAGAAUUUGCAUUUGGGCAAAAUUUUUGUUAGUUUUGCACAUUGACCUACACUUCUUCUUUCUCUUCAAAUCUCUCAUUCGUCUCUCUUCUCACAAUCUCUCCCUCUCGUUCCUCACUCCUCUCUUCCUCUUUCAUUGCUCUAUCAAAUCAUCCAAUUGGAUCAGUCCACUUCGAACCCUAACCCACCACCGCCCAAAUUCGAAAUCUACCCAAACCCUCAAAGUGCAGAAGUCAACCAUUCCACCGCCCAAAUUCAAAAUCUACCCAAACCCCCAAAGUGUAGAAACCAAUUUCCUUCAGUGCUCUUAUCUCUCUCUGUCAAUCUUUCUUUUUUUCUUCCGUUCACAAGUAGAAACCACAAAAAACAACUUGAGAUUUUAAAAAUUUUCAAAGGUUGUUUUUAAUUUUUCGUUUUCCUCUGUUUGGUUUGUAAGAAAGCUAAGGAAAAUGAGGGGAAAAAAACUCAUGAACCACUGUUAAAAUGCUUCAAAAACUUACCUAGCCACUUCAAGACGUUGCUAGUGGAGCUGCUGGUGGGAGCCGCAGAUGGUGGGAGCGGCAGAGAAGAGAAAAUAAUAGUUAGGGUUUCUUUGUUGAAUGAUUUCGGAUGAAAAAAUGGGUCUUUAGAGUAAAAGUUUGCUGAUGUGGAUUGCUGAUGUGGAUUCAAAAGACUAGUUUGACAGAUGUAUUAGUUUGUUUGUUUUUUUUUUUUUUUUUUUAAGUAAACACUACUUUGGCUGCAAACUUGAGUUUUUGAUAGAACCUAGAGAAUUCAAGGGGAGACUCUAUCAAGCGUGAUAAGAAAAGCAUUCGUCGUUCUGUCCUAUUCUCUAUGCUACAUAUCCUGGGAAAAGACCUGUGCGACCCACGCUUUUCCAUUUUACAUGGUGGACUCAAGAAUUUUUAUUUUUAUUUUUAUUUUUAUUUUUAUUUUUUAUUUUACACCCAUUUUUGGGAUUUUUUUUUUUUCCAUUUGAAAUCUCCAUGUUCAUACCAAUUGAUUUUUUAACCAAAAAAACAAAAACACUAUUGAUGAUUUAGAAUUUGUUUGAUAUAGGAGUUUUAUUUUUUAUUUUUUAUUUUUCUACCACUUUAAAAUUUUUAUAUAAAAAAAUUAUUUUCAAAUAUUAGAUUGGAUAGAAAUACUUAUUAAAAUCAUUGUCUACCAAACGCCUCAUCUCUAUACAAUAAUUGGAUUACAGAUAUAAUAAUUUUAUUAUUAUUAUAAUUAAAAUUAAUACGAAGAAGUUAAAAUUAUUUCUAAAUAAUUUAAGAUUUUAAAAUAUUUUAUUCUUUUUAUCUUUAGUAUUAUCAUAUUAAAUAUAAAACAUAAAUGUAUUAAUAUUUCAUUAUUUUAUUUUUAAUAUAUUAAAUAUUAAAUACAAAUGUUUUAAUAUUUUUUUAUUUGGUGAAAUAGGAGAAUUACUAAAAAGAAAUAUCAUGUAUUAUUGAAUGGUGAAAUAAAAUUUUAUUAUUUAUUUCAUUCACACUUCAUUAGUAUUUUGUUAAAGAGUCAUUUUUCAGAGGCAUGCAAGUAUGAUAUGGAUAGUUGUUUAUGGCCCCAGUGUGGCUUUACAACUAACAUAUCAUUUAUUGACUAAUUAUCUACAUACCUAAUUUCAAAAAAAAAAAAAAAACUAUCGAUGAUUUAGAAUUAAUUUAAUAUAGGAUUUUUAUUCAUAUAUUUUUUUUCUACCACUUCAAAAUUUUUAAAUAAAAAAAUUAUUUUCAAAUAUUAGAUUGGAUAGAAAUACUUAUUAAAAUCAUUGUUUAACACAUGCUUAAUCCCUAUACAAUAAUUGGAUUACAGAUAUAAUAAUUUUAUUAUUAUUAUAAUUAAAAUUAAUACGAAGAAGUUAAAAUUAUUUCUAAAUAAUUUAACAUUUAAAAAUAUUUUAUUCUUUUUAUCUUUAGUAUUAUCAUAUUAAAUAAAAAAGAUAAAUGUAUUAAUAUUUCAUUAUUUUAUUUUUAAUAUAUUUAAUAUUAAAUACAAAUGUGUUAAUAUUUUUUUAUUUUGUGAAAUAGGAGAAUUAUUAAAAAGAAAUAUCAUCUAUUAUUGAAUGGUGAAAUAAAAUUUUAUUAUUUAUUUCAUUCACACUUCAUUAGUAUUUUGUUAAAGGGUCAUUUUUCAUAGGCAUGCAAGUAUGUUAUGGAUAGUUGUUUAUGGCCCCAGUGUGGCUUUACAACUAACAUAUCAUUUAUUGACUAAUUAUCUACAUACCUAAUUUCAAUAAAUAAAUAAAAAACUAUCGAUGAUUUAGAAUUAAUUUAAUAUAGGAUUUUUAUUUAUAUAUUUUUUUUUUCUACCACUUCAAAAUUUUUAAAUAAAAAAAUUAUUUUCAAAUAUUAGAUUGGAUAGAAAUACUUAUUAAAAUCAUUGUCUAACACAUGCUUAAUCCCUAUACAAUAAUUGGAUUACAGAUAUAAUAAUUUUAUUAUUAUUAUAAUUAAAAUUAAUACGAAGAAGUUAAAAUUAUUUCUAAAUAAUUUAAGAUUUUAAAAUAUUUUAUUCUUUUUAUCUUUAGUAUUAUCAUAUUAAAUAUAAAACAUAAAUGUAUUAAUAUUUCAUAAUUUUAUUUUUAAUAUAUUAAAUAUUAAAUACAAAUGUGUUAAUAUUUUUUUAUUUUGUGAAAUAGGAGAAUUAUUAAAAAGAAAUAUCAUGUAUUAUUGAAUGGUGAAAUAAAAUUUUAUUAUUUAUUUCAUUCACACUUCAUUAGUAUUUCGUUAAAGAGUCAUUUUUCAGAGGCAUGCAAGUACGUUAUGAAUAGUUGUUUAUGGCCCCAGUGUGGCUUUACAACUAACAUAUCAUUUAUUGACUAAUUAUCUACAUACCUAAUUUCAGUAAAAAAAAAAAAAAAAAACUAUCAAUGAUUUAGAAUUAAUUUGAUAUAGGAUUUUUAUUUAUUUUUUAUUUUUCUACCACAUCAAAAUUUUUAUAAAAAAAAAUUAUUUUCAAAUAUUAGAUUGGAUAGAAAUACUUAUUAAAAUCAUUGUCUACCAAACGCUUCAUCUCUAUACAAUAAUUGGAUUACAGAUAUAAUAAUUUUAUUAUUAUUAUAAUUAAAAUUAAUACGAAGAAGUUAAAAUUAUUUCUAAAUAAUUUAAGAUUUUAAAAUAUUUUAUUCUUUUUAUCUUUAGUAUUAUCAUAUUAAAUAUAAAACAUAAAUGUAUUAAUAUUUCAUAAUUUUAUUUUUAAUAUAUUAAAUAUUAAAUACAAAUGUGUUAAUAUUUUUUUAUUUUGUGAAAUAGUAGAAUUAUUAAAAAGAAAUAUCAUGUAUUAUUGAAUGGUGAAAUAAAAUUUUAUUAUUUAUUUCAUUCACACUUCAUUAGUAUUUCGUUAAAGAGUCAUUUUUCAGAGGCAUGCAAGUACGUUAUGGAUAGUUGUUUAUGGCCCCAGUGUGGCUUUACAACUAACAUAUCAUUUAUUGACUAAUUAUCUACAUACCUAAUUUCAGUAAAAAAAAAAAAAAAAACUAUCAAUGAUUUAGAAUUAAUUUGAUAUAGGAUUUUUAUUUAUUUUUUAUUUUUCUACCACUUUAAAAUUUUUAUAUAAAAAAAAAUUAUUUUCAAAUAUUAGAUUGGAUAGAAAUACUUAUUAAAAUCAUUGUCUACCAAACACUUCAUCUCUAUACAAUAAUUGGAUUACAUAUAUAAUAAUUUUAUUAUUAUUAUAAUUAAAAUUAAUACGAAGAAGUUAAAAUUAUUUCUAAAUAAUUUAAGAUUUUAAAAUAUUUUAUUCUUUUUAUCUUUAGUAUUAUCAUAUUAAAUAUAAAACAUAAAUGAAUUAAUAUUUCAUAAUUUUAUUUUUAAUAUAUUAAAUAUUAAAUACAAAUGUUUUAAUAUUUUUUUAUUUUGUGAAAUAGGAGAAUUAUUAAAAAGAAAUAUCAUGUAUUAUUGAAUGGUGAAAUAAAAUUUUAUUAUUUAUUUCAUUCACACUUCAUUAGUAUUUCGUUAAAGAGUAAUUUUUCAGAGGCAUGCAAGUACGUUAUGGAUAGUUGUUUAUGGCCCCAGUGUGGCUUUACAACUAACAUAUCAUUUAUUGACUAAUUAUCUACAUACCUAAUUUCAGUAAAAAAAAAAAAAAAAAACUAUCAAUGAUUUAGAAUUAAUUUGAUAUAGGAUUUUUAUUUAUUUUUUAUUUUUCUACCACUUUAAAAUUUUUAUAUAAAAAAAAAUUAUUUUCAAAUAUUAGAUUGGAUAGAAAUACUUAUUAACAUCAUUGUCUAACAAAUGCUUAAUCUCUAUACAAUAAUUGGAUUACACAUAUAAUAAUUUUAUUAUUAUUAUAAUUAAAAUUAAUACGAAGAAGUUAAAAUUAUUUCUAAAUAAUUUAUAAUUCUAAAAUAUUUUAUUCUUUUUGUCUUUAGUAUUAUCAUGUUAAAUAUAAAACAUAAAUGUAUUAAUAUUUCAUUAUUUUAUUUUUAAUAUAUUAAAUAUUAAAUACAAAUGUUUUAAUAUUUUUUUAUUUGGUGAAAUAGGAGAAUUAUUAAAAAGAAAUAUCAUGUAUUAUUGAAUGGUGAAAUAAAAUUUUAUUAUUUAUUUCAUUCACACUUCAUUAGUAUUUUGUUAAGGGAGAUUUGUGUUUUGGGCCCAGCUGGGCCCAAAAAUUAACAUUUGGUCUUCCAACCACCCAUAUUUAAAUCCAAGACUCAAACAAAGUAUGAAAAUUAAGAUGAAGGAUAUUGUCUUUCAUUAAUUCCUAAAAUACCCUUAUUCCUUAUAUGCCUACAAGUGAGUGUGAAUUUUAAUUUUUUUUUGUAUUUUUUUUCCUUUUCUAUUCCCUAUUAAAUAUUACUCAUUUCUAACUUUUUUUUUCCUUUUUAUUCCAAUAUAUAUUUCUGUUUUAUGUCAAAUAAAAAACAAUAAUAUUUUUUUAUUUUUCAUUUUUAAAGAUAUUGAAUCUUUUUGCUCUUAUUAAAAGCAAUGAUAAAAAUUUUGGGAUUUUUCAUCCAAAUAUUUUUUAUCUUUAUGUAUUUAUCUUUUACUUUAAUUUUCAUUUUUUAUUUUAAAUUUAUAUUACCAUUUCAUCUAUAUUUUUCUCUUAUUUUUUAUAUUUUCUACAUUAACCAUAUUUUAAAAAAAUUUUAAAUUAACUAUCACUUCACUUUAUUAUAUAUAUAUAUAUAUAUAUAUAUAUAUAUAUAUAUUUAGCUUUUUAAUUUUUAAUGUUUUUAUUUUAAAAUUUUUAAAAAGAUAAAUUUGUUGAAAAAAUAUAACUAAGAUAUGAAGUUCUAAUAUUAUAUUAAUAAUUUUUCUUAUCUAGAUAGACUAAUGCAAAGUAUUUUGACCCCCAACAAGAAAAUUGUCAAUACAAUUUUUUAGUUAAACUUUAAAAAUUAAGUUUCAAAUAAAAUAUAUUAUAUAAAAUUUUAUCUAAAAAUUAUUGAAAGUGGUAUUUAAUUUUUUUAUUUAUUGACUUUGAAACUUAUCUAGUUUUUUACUUGAAAGGUAAUAGAACAUGUUUAUAAAAAAAAAAAUUAGUUUUUCAUUUUUUAAAUAAAUGAGUAUAAAUAUAUUUAAAAAAAAAUUAAAGAUAAUCUUAGUAAAAAAUUUGAUAAAUAUGAUUAUAAUUUUAAAUAUAGAUUCAUGUGGAUAAAAUUUCACAAAAAAAAAAAAAAUAGUGGAAAGAAAGAACAUUGUUAAAACUACAAAAACAAAAUAUGCAAUUACAAAAAUUUGAUGAUGAAAUUUAAAAAUAAAAUUCGAAACAAUUCUUGAGUGAGAGAAUUUGAGUGGGGAAAAAAUAUUUGAGUGGAAAAAAAUGGGAAAGUUUUUCGAAAUCACUUUAAAUCCUUAACAAAAAGUAGUCUUGUACACCCUUGUACAAUUAGUAAAUUUGUCUUGUACAGUUAGUGUAAUACCCUUGUACAGUUAGUGUAAUACCCAUGUACAAUAACUCAAAUUUCAUACAUCAUUUUAUGAAUAUCUAACAAUAGGUCGAUUAACCAUGUUUGCAUCGGUUUGGUUUUAAAAAGGAAAAAAAAUUGUUGUAUAAUUUUGUUUUACAAUCAUCAUAAGUGAGGUAGCUAUUAAAAUGACCAUAUACAGUUAGAUAAAUACAUGAGAUGAUGUAUGCUUAACUAAUGUGUAUAAGAAAUGUCAUUUAUCAUNNNNNNNNNNNNNNNNNNNNNNNNNNNNNNNNNNNNNNNNNNNNNNNNNNNNNNNNNNNNNNNNNNNNNNNNNNNNNNNNNNNNNNNNNNNNNNNNNNNNAACAUGUUUACAAAAAAAAUUAGUUUUUCAUUUUUUAAAUAAAUGAGUAUAAAUAUAUUAAAAAAAUUAAAGAUAAUCUUAGUAAAAAAUUUGAUAAAUAUGAUUAUAAUUUUAAAUAUAGAUUCAUGUGGAUAAAAUUUCACAAAAAAAAAAAAAAUAGUGGAAAGAGAGAACAUUGCUAAAACUACAAAAACAAAAUAUGCAAUUACAAAAAUUUGAUGAUGAAAUUUAAAAAUAAAAUUCGAAACAAUUCUUGAGUAAGAGAAUUUAAAGUGGGGAAAAAAUAUUUGAGUGGAAAAAAAUGGGAAAGUUUUUCGAAAUUACUUUAAAUCCUUAACAAAAAGUAGUCUUGUACACCCUUGUACAAUUAGUAAAUUUGUCUUGUACAGUUAGUGUAAUACCCUUGUACAAUAACUCAAAUUUCAUACAUCAUUUUAUGAAUAUCUAACAAUAGGUCAGUUAAUCAUGUUUGCAUCGGUUUGGUUUUAAAAAGGAAAAAAAAUUGUUGUAUAAUUUUGUUUUACAAUCAUCAUAAGUGAGGUACCUAUUAAAAUGACCAUAUACAAGUUAGAUAAAAUACAUGAGAUGAAUGUAUGCUUAACCAAUGUGUGUAAGGAAUGUCAUUUAUCCUUGGUUAAGGGAAAUAAACAAACAAGUUUUUUAGAAUCACUUAAAAUCCUUCACAAAUAAUAGUCUUGUACAGUUAAUAUAUUUGUCAUGUAUACUUAGUGUAAAUACCUUGUACAGUGACUAAAAGAAAAAGUUAUUUUAUUUUAUUUUCAAUGCAAAAUGUAAUUAAAAAUAAGACAAAGAAAUUACUUAAAAACUAUUAUUUAAGUCAAAUUUAUUUAUUUAUUUCCUUUUAUUUUUGGAAAUAAAGAAAAAAGAAUAAAAAAAUUAUUUAACCAUAAGAAAUAUGAAUAUAAGAUCAGUUGGAAAAUUCUAAAUUUAUUUAUUUAUUUCAUUUUAUUUUUGGAAUUAAAGAAAUAAAAAAUAAAAAAUUUAUUUAAUCAUAAAAAAUAUUGAUAUAAGAUAUAUUAAAAAAUAGAAAUAACCCCAAAUUUAUUUACUUAUUUCAUUUUAUUUAUUAAAUUAGAAAUUAAUUUAUUUUAAUAGAUUAAAAUGUACACAAUUGAUUUAUUACUUUGUUAAUUAUGGAUAUAUUAAAAUUUUCGAUAAAAAAUAAAUAAAGAAAAUAAAAUUAAAAAGAGUAAUAAAUAUAUAUAAUUUAGUUAUUUAAUUAUUUUUCAUGUAAAAGAUAGUCCCACAAAAAACACAUAAUUGAUUAAUUUCUUUGUUUAAUCGUAAACAUACUAUAUAUUUUUUUUUUUAUUAAAAUAACUAAUGAAAAAAAAAAAUGGAUAAUCAAUGAAUGAAAUUUAGUUCUUUUUAUUAUUUUCAUAUAAAAAUAGUACUAAACAAGGUUUUCAAUUUUUAUUUUUUAAAAUAGUUUUCAUUUUUUAAAUAAAUGUUUUUUCAAAAAGAAAAUAUAAAAAAUAUAAAUCAUAUUACUAUUUUUUAGAAAGUAUUUUUUAAAAUAGCUUUCGAACAUAAUUUUUCUUUAUUUAUAAUUUAAAAUAGAAAAUAAUGUUGAUUUUCAAUUAUUUAUAUAAAAAAAAAUUAAAAUAAUGAAAAAUCCAAAUUGUUAAAAUAGAAUUAUUAUGGUUGCAUGAAUAAUGGUGCAAUAAAGACAAAAAAAAAAAAAGUUUAUGUGAAAGGUCAUGGGGUAUUUUAGUCAAUCACUAUUUUAUGUCCUUAAAAGGUAAUGUAUAGAAAUUUGAAGGAUAUAUUGGUCUUUUAACAUCUCAUAUCCUUUCCAUCAAUUAUGGAAGUUAUAUGGACCAAAUGUUAAUUUUUGGGCCCAAUUGGGCCCAAAACACAAUUCUCCCUUUUGUUAAAGAGUCAUUUUUCAGAGGCAUGCAAGCAUGAUAUGGAUAGUUGUUUAUGCCCCAGUGUGGCUUUACAACUAACAUAUCAUUUAUUGACUAAUUAUCUACAUACCUAAUUUAAAAAAAAAAAAAAAAACUAUCGAUGAUUUAGAAUUAAUUUAAUAUAGGAUUUUUAUUCAUAUAUUUUUUUUCUACCACUUCAAAAUUUUUAAAUAAAAAAAUUAUUUUCAAAUAUUAGAUUGGAUAGAAAUACUUAUUAAAAUCAUUGUUUAACACAUGCUUAAUCCCUAUACAAUAAUUGGAUUACAGAUAUAAUAAUUUUAUUAUUAUUAUAAUUAAAAUUAAUACGAAGAAGUUAAAAUUAUUUCUAAAUAAUUUAACAUUUUAAAAUAUUUUAUUCUUUUUAUCUUUAGUAUUAUCAUAUUAAAUAAAAAAGAUAAAUGUAUUAAUAUUUCAUUAUUUUAUUUUUAAUAUAUUUAAUAUUAAAUACAAAUGUGUUAAUAUUUUUUUAUUUUGUGAAAUAGGAGAAUUAUUAAAAAGAAAUAUCAUCUAUUAUUGAAUGGUGAAAUAAAAUUUUAUUAUUUAUUUCAUUCACACUUCAUUAGUAUUUUGUUAAAGGGUCAUUUUUCAUAGGCAUGCAAGUAUGUUAUGGAUAGUUGUUUAUGGCCCAGUGUGGCUUUACAACUAACAUAUCAUUUAUUGACUAAUUAUCUACAUACCUAAUUUCAGUAAAAAAAAAAAAAAACUAUCGAUGAUUNNNNNNNNNNNNNNNNNNNNNNNNNNNNNNNNNNNNNNNNNNNNNNNNNNNNNNNNNNNNNNNNNNNNNNNNNNNNNNNNNNNNNNNNNNNNNNNNNNNNUUUUAUUUUGUGAAAUAGAGAUUAUUAAAAGAAAUAUCAUCUAUUAUGAAUGGUGAAAUAAAAUUUUAUAUUAUUUCAUCACCACUUCAUUAGUAUUUUGUUAAAGGGUCAUUUUUCAUAGGCAUGCAAGUAUGUUAUGGAUAGUUGUUUAUGGCCCAGUGUGGCUUUACAACUAACAUAUCAUUUAUUGACUAAUUAUCUACAUACCUAAUUUCAGUAAAAAAAAAAAAAAACUAUCGAUGAUUUAGAAUUAAUUUAAUAUAGGAUUUUUAUUUAUAUAUAUAUUUUUUCUACCACUUCAAAAUUUUUAAAUAAAAAAAUUAUUUUCAAAUAUUAGAUUGGAUAGAAAUACUUAUUAAAAUCAUUGUCUAACACAUGCUUAAUCCCUAUACAAUAAUUGGAUUACAGAUAUAAUAAUUUUAUUAUUAUUAUAAUUAAAAUUAAUACGAAGAAGUUAAAAUUAUUUCUAAAUAAUUUAGCAUUUUAAAAUAUUUUAUUCUUUUUAUCUUUAGUAUUAUCAUAUUAAAUAUAAAACAUAAAUGUAUUAAUAUUUCAUAAUUUUAUUUUUAAUAUAUUAAAUAUUAAAUACAAAUGUGUUAAUAUUUUUUUAUUUUGUGAAAUAGGAGAAUUAUUAAAAAGAAAUAUCAUGUAUUAUUGAAUGGUGAAAUAAAAUUUUAUUAUUUAUUUCAUUCACACUUCAUUAGUAUUUGGUUAAAGUGUCAUUUUUCAUAGGCAUGCAAGUACGUUAUGGAUGGUUGUUUAUGGCCCCAAUGUGGCUUUAGAACUAACAUAUCAUUUAUUGACUAAUUAUCUACAUACCUAAUUUCAGUAAAAAAAAAAAAAAACACUAUCGAUGAUUUAGAGUUAAUUUGAUAUUGUAUUUUUAUUUAUUUAUUUAUUUUUCUACCUCUUCAAAAUUUUUAAAUAAAAAAAUUAUUUUCAAAUAUUAGAUUGGAUACAAAUACUUAUUAAAAUCAUUGUCGAACAAAUGCUUAAUCUCUAUACAAUAAUUGGAUUACAGAUAUAAUAAUUUUAUUAUUAUCAUAAUUAAAAUUAAUAAGAAGAAGUUAAAAUUAUUUCUAAAUAAUUUAACAUUUUAAAAUAUUUUAUUCUUUUUAUCUUUAGUAUUGUCAUAUUAAAUAUAAAACAUAAAUGUAUUAAUAUUUCAUUUUUUUAUUUUUAAUAUAUUAAAUAUUAAAUAGAAAUGUGUUAAUAUUUUUUUAUUUUGUGAAAUAGGAGAAUUAUUAAAAAUGAAAUAUCAUGUAUUAUUGAAUGGUGAAAUAAAAUUUUAUUAUUUAUUUCAUUCACACUUCCUUAGUAUUUCGUUAAACAAUCAUUUUUCAGAGGCAUGCAAGUACGUUAUGGAUAGUUGUUUAUGGCCCCAAUGUUCCUUUACAACUAACAUAUCAUUUAUUCACUAAUUAUCUACAUACCUAAUUUCAGAGAUUUAAUUAUUUUAUUAAAAAUUUGGUAGAAAAUUCUACAAAGCAAUCAGAUCUUUAUCAUGUAUUAAACACUAAAAAAAAAAAAAAAACUAUUGAUGAUUUAGAAUUUGUUUGAUAUAGGAUUUUUAUUUUUUAUUUUUUAUUUUUCUACCACUUCAAAAUUUUUAUAAAAACAAAAUUAUUUUCAAAUAUUAGAUUGGAUAGAAAUACUUAUUAAAAUCAUUGUCUAACAAAUGCUGAAUCCCUAUACAAUAAUUGGAUUACAGAUAUAAUAAUUUUAUUAUUAUUAUAAUUAAAAUUAAUACGAAGAAGUUAAAAUUAUUUCUAAAUAAUUUAUAAUUUUAAAAUAUUUUAUUCUUUUUAUCUUUAGUAUUAUCAUAUUAAAUAUAAAACAUAAAUGUAUUAAUAUUUCAUUAUUUUAUUUUUAAUAUAUUAAAUAUUAAAUGCAAAUGUGUUAAUAUUUUUUUAUUUUGUGAAAUAGGAGAAUUAUUGGAAAGAAAUAUCAUGUAUUAUUGAAUGGUGAAAGAAAAUUUGAUUAUUUAUUUCAUUCACACUUCGUUAGUAUUUCGUUAGAGUGUCAUUUUUCAGAGGCAUGCAAGUACGUUAUGGAUAGUUGUUUAUGGCCCCAGUGUGGCUUUACAACGAACAUAUCAUUUAUUGACUAAUUAUCUACAUACCUAAUUUCAGAGAUUUAAUUAUUUUAUUAAAAAUUUGGUAGAAAAUUCUACAAAGCAGUUGGAUCUUUAUCAUGUAUUAAACACUAAAAAAAAAAAAUAGGAUUUUUAUUUUUUAUUUUUUAUUUUUGUACCACUUCAAAAUUUUUAUAAAAACAAAAUUAUUUUCAAAUAUUAGAUUGGAUAGAAAUACUUAUUAAAAUCAUUGUCUAACAAAUGCUUAAUCUCUAUACAAUAAUUGGAUUACACAUAUAAUAAUUUUAUUAUUAUUAUAAUUAAAAUUAAUACGAAGAAGUUAAAAUUAUUUCUAAAUAAUUUAAAACUUUAAAAUAUUUUAUUUUUUUUAUCUUUAGUAUUAUCUUAUUAAAUAUAAAAUAUAAAUGUAUUAAUAUUUCAUUAUUUUUUUUAAUAUAUUAAAUAUUAAAUACAAAUGUGUUAAUAUUUUUUUAUUUUGUGAAAUAGGAGAAUUAUUAAAAAGAAAUAUCAUGUAUUAUUGAAUGGUGAAAUAAAAUUUUAUUAUUUAUUUUAUUUACACUUUAUUAGUAUUUCGUUAAAGUGUCAUUUUUCAGAUGCAUGCAAGUAUGUUAUAGAUAGUUGUUUAUGGCCCCAAUGUGGCUUUAGAACUAACAUAUCAAUUAUUGACUAAUUAUCUACAUACCUAAUAUCAUAGAUUUAAUUAUUUUUUAAAAAAUUUGGUAGAAAAUUCUACAAAGCAGUUGGAUCUUUAUCAUGUAUUAAACAUUAAAAAAAUAAAAAAAAUUCAUAUUCUUUUGUUUAAAAAGGAGUACUCACGAUCAAGUCAUAAAUGAGGAUAAGUCAAUCAUUGAGAGAGUGUUUUGUAAAACUUAAUACAUAUUACUUGAUAAUUUAAGUUGACUUUAAGUUAAAUUAUAUUAAAGUUGUCGACUUAAAACUUAUUACUUUAAGUAUUAAGGUUGUUUAAUAAAAUUAACAUAUUUAUCUUCAUAAAUUAUAAUUAGGGUAAAGGAGAUUAAGUAAUAAUGGAGGUUGUAGAUUAGAAAAAGAGAUCGAUGAGGUAAUUAUGACAAAUGAAGGUAAAUAGGUAAAAUGGUUGAAUGAGUAAUUUUUAAUGAUUUUAAUAUAAGAGUUGAAAUUCUCAAUCAAUCACAAGGAGAAUAAACGAUUUUACUUAGAAAAGCCCAACAUAAAGUGUGGAAGUAAAAAUGAGAUCUUAGAUCGAUGAUCCACAAUAUAAAAUUUUAAUACACAAUUUUACUUGACAACCGCUACCUAAAACUUACUCUUUAGCACCUAUAUCAUGAUCCAUAUUCAUGAUGCAAUACCUCGAAUACUAUAAUUUACCCCAACGAAUAUGAGAUAAUAUAAUAACAUUUAAAUUUAUUUUUGACACCCAUGAUUAGCAAAGAAGCAAGAAAUUAAACUAAGGGAAUUGAAUCAUACUAACAUUAUUUUUCGAUAACUAAAUGAUGUCAUAAAAUAUAUUAUAUUAAAUUAAUAUAAUAAUUUUGAAUAAUGAAACUCAAAAUGUUGAAUUAAAGUUACAAAUAAUAAAUUUGCAAAUUUAAGCUUAUUGUUUAUUAUUACUGUUGUUGUUAGUGUCCCCUCCAAUCAUUAUAUAUAUCACCCAUGCAACUCACCGGCCACACAAACACAUCCUCAGCCACAGCAAUGGAGCAGCACCACUUCCUCAUUAUAUCACAUCCAAUGCAAGGCCACAUCAACCCAGCCCUCCUAUUCGCCAAGCGCCUGAUCAGAACCGGCGCCCACGUCACCUUCGCCGUCUCCGUCUCCGCCCAUCGCCGCAUGCCCAGAGGUCCAGCCCUCCCCGGUUUAACCCUAGUCCCCUUCUCCGAUGGCUAUGAUGAUGGGUUCAAGCUCGAAGAUCAUCCCCAGCACUAUUUGUCCGAGAUCAAGCGUUGCGGAUCAGAAACCCUCAGGCGGAUCACUGCAAUAAGCGCUGACCAAGGCCGACCAGUUACUUGCUUAGUACACACCAUCCUCCUUGCUUGGGCGGCAGAACUGGCGCGUAGCCUUCAGGUUCCGUCUGUGCUUCUUUGGAUUCAGAGAGCCACUGUUUUCACCAUUUACUAUCAUUACUUCAAUGGUUAUGGUUAUGUGGUUGGUGACUGCAGCAAUGAGGAUUCAAGUCCAAUUCAGUUACCGGGGCUUCCAAUGCUGCUGUCUAGCCGUGAUAUUCCGUCUUUAUUAGUCUCUUCAAACAUACAUGCUUUAUGGCUCUCAAAAUUUCAAGAGGAAAUUGAGGCACUUAGGCAAGAGACGAACCCCAAAGUGCUGGCGAACACCUUCGACGCACUGGAGGCCGAGGCGCUACGAGCUAUGGAUAAGGUUAAAGUAAUUGGAAUUGGACCUUUGGUUCCAUCUGAUACUUCUUUUGGAGUAGAUAUUUUCCAAGAUCCGAGUGACUGCAUCGAUUGGUUGAACUCCAAACACGAGUCAUCAGUCGUUUAUGUAUCGUUUGGGACACUUUGUGUUGUGUCAAAGCAACAAAUGGAGGAGAUUGCACGUGCUUUACUACACAGCGGCAGGCCUUUCCUGUGGGUCAUAAGAUCAGCGUCCGGAAACGGAGAAGUUGAAGAAGAGAAGCUGAGUUGCAGAGAAGAGUUGGAGGAGAAAGGGAUGAUAGUGGCUUGGUGUCCUCAGUUGGAUGUUCUGUCGCAUCCAUCGUUGGGAUGCUUCAUUACACAUUGUGGGUGGAACUCAACGUUAGAGUGCCUAGCUUCUGGAGUUCCAGUUGUGGCAUUUCCCCAAUGGACGGAUCAAGGGACCAACGGGAAGCUGAUUGAAGAUGUGUGGAAGUCAGGCGUUCGGGUGACAGCGAAUGAGGAGGGAAUAGUUGAAGGCGAGGAGAUCAAGAGGUGCUUGGAAGUCGUCAUGGGAGGUGGAGAAAGAGGGGAAGAAUUGAGAAGGAAUGCUGGGAAAUGGAAGGAUUUGGCAAGGGAAGCUGUGAAAGAUGGUGGAUCUUCCGACAACAAUCUGAAGGCUUUUUUGGAUGAAUUGGGAGGAGGCAGUACCCUUUAAUGGGAGUUAAGUUGUGUUGAUAUGAAGUUGUACGACUUACUUUAUGCUGUUUUAUGGCUUUCCUAAAUGCUUAGAGUGCUUGCUUUGGUCCCAAUUAGCAUGGGGCGAUCACAUUCAAAUAAAAGACAUUUGUACUCUGAACCAUGUCCUAGGUGCGAGUGUAACUGCUUCCGGAAAAAAGAGAAAUUUCAAAUUUGUGAUCUCCAGCCCAUGAACUAAAAGAUCUCUCUCGAAGCCAUUUGCUUGGCUUAAUCAAUUGAUUUUGAAAUAAAAUCCAUAUUUAUUUUUCUAUACUGUGGAUGAUUUAGAAUCGUUUGAUAUAAGAUGGUUUUUUUUUUUUUUAGAAAAAAAAAAAUUCCAAUGUUUGAAAUUUUUUAUUAAAAAAGUUGUUUUCAAAUAUUAGAAAAAAAUAAAAAUAUUUCUUAAAAUUACUUACAAACAAAUACUUGAAGUGCGUCUAUUCAAGGUGUUUUUAGUGGAAAUAUUUUUCCAAAAUGUGUUUCAAAUUAAGAGAUUCACCUAUGAAGUGUUUUCUUAGAAAAUAUUAUAAGUAAUUUUUUAAUACUACAAAUGAUUUUUUAAAAUUUUAAAAAUAUUUUUCAAAUUUUAUGAAAUGCCUAAUAUUUUUCAAAAAUAUUUUUUAGAAUAAAAAUACUUUAUAGAAUCAUUGUCAAACAUACUCUUAGAGUGCAUAUGAUAACAAUCCUAGAAAACAUGUUUGUUUUCUCCAAUAUAUGAUCAAAAGAUAAAAAUUUUCAAGUAUUAAAUUAGAAACACUUGUUAGAAUCACUAUUAUAAGAAUCUUAAUCUCUUACCCAUCGUUAAAUUGUAAUCCAACCAUUAAUAUUAUAUUAUAAAUAUAUAAUUUAUGAACUAUUAUAAUUAAAAAUAUUGGGAAGAAGUUAAAAUUAUGACUAAAUAAUUAAAAUUUUAAAAUAUUUUCUUCUUUUAUCUUUAAUAUUAUUAUAUUAAAUAUAAAACACAAAUGCAUUAAUAUUUCAUUAUUUUAUGUUCACUAUUAUUAUACUUUUUAUAAAAUAUGAAUGUGUUAAUAUUUUUAUUUCAUUAAAUAGGAGAAUUAUUAUAUUUAAUUAUUUAUAAGAAAUAUCAUAUAUUAUUAAAGAGUAAAUAAAAUUUUAUUAUUUAUUUUAUUCACACUUCAUUAGCAUUUUAUUAUUAUUCAUUUGAAUUUCAUUUGUAUUAUAAUUUUAUCGUAUUUACUUUUAGUACAACUAAACAGUCAUUUUUAAGUGGCAUAGAGGUAGGCUAUGGAUAAUUUUUUAUGGCAACUAUACAUAUCAUUCAUUGACAAAUCUUCUGCAUACCUAAUUAAUUUGAGAGAUUUAAUAAUUUUAUUAAAAAAUUUAGUAGAAAAUUCUACAAAGCAGUUGGAUCUUUAUCAUGUAUUAAACACUAAAAAGUAGAACAUAAAGAAUUAAAAUUUUCAUAAUUCUUUUGUUUAAAAAGGAGUACUCACAAUCAAGUCACAAAGAAGGAUAAGUGGAGCAUUUGGUUUGUUAGUUAGAAUGGGAGAAGUAUUAGUACUGUCAAACAGUAAUGUGAGUGAGAGGAAGAUGCAUGCAACCUUUAAUUUAUUUAAAUAAGAAAUUAAUCUGAAAAUUAAGAUACUUUUGUUUUGUUUUGUUUUUUUUUUUUGCGUAAAAAAAUAAUUUUUGAGAAUAGUUUUUAUAUAAUGUUUUGUAAAACAAAAGUUUAUUUGGGAAUACAAAAUAUUUCUAAUUUAUUUUUAAUAUUUUUUAAUAUAUUUUAAAAAUAAUUUUUAUAUCUAGAGCUUUAUUUUUAAUCAUUAUAUGUGUUUGUAUAAUUAUUUUUUAAAAUAGCUCUAAAAAAAUGAAAACUAAAAACAAUUAAAAGAUGUUAUUUGAAAAAAACACUUUAUUUUCUAUUUUUGAUAACAGAAAACAAAAAAUAGUUUUCGGCUUGCCAAAGCCACCUAUUUACUCAAUUCUUAUCUCUUGUACUCAACAAAUGUAACCUUUCUCAUUUUAAUAAAAGGUCUUCUUUUGUUUGUUUUGCUUGUUGCAUGAGAAAAUUCAUAAGUUUCCACUUUUUCCUUCAACCUCUUCAUAUACAACACCGUUAGAACAAAUCAAUUCUGAUUUAUGAGGCCCAGCUUAGUACCCUCUUUGAAUGGAUAUCAGUAUCAUAUUCACUUUGUUGAUGCCUACUUUUAGCUCACAUAGAUUUACAUGCUGAAACAAAAGUCUAAAGCAUUUCAAUCCUUUCUUACCUUCAAGUCUCAAGUUGAACUUCAACUAGGAUACAAAAUUAAAGCUAUAUUACAAACUGAUUGGGGUGGAGAGUGUUGUACCUCCACCUAUUAUCUUCUCUCAAAUGGCAUUAUCCACAAAACCUCAUGUUCCUAUACUCAUCAACAAAAUAGGCGUAAACAUAUCAUUGAACAUAGACUUACCCUCCUAGCAUAAGACUCUUUUACCUCUCAAAUACUGGGAUGAGGCCUUUCGCACCUGUGUUUUUGUUACCAAAUUACCCACCCUGAUUCGGAAAAACAAAACCCCACUUGAACUACUUUUCUGCACAAAACCAGCUUACUCCCAACUAAAGGUAUUUAGUUAUAUUUGUUAUCCUAAUCUCCGGCUUCACAACAAAAACAAGCUUCAAUGCCACUCCAUUCCCUGCACAUUUCUUGGCUAUAGUCUAAACCACAAGGGCUACAAAUGUCUUAGCCCUGAUGGCUGUAUCUUUAUCUCUCGGGAUGUUAUUUUUGAUAAAUUCACCUUCCCUUUUGCGCAAUAAGCAUCACCAUCUUCCCCCAUUUCACCAUCUCCCUCCCCACUUCCUUCAUUCUCGUUAAUGGUUUUCCCCACUGUUGGAAAUCAAGCCAGCAUCCUUUGUUUACUUCCCUAAUUAGUGUAAUGUACAGCCUUUAUUAUAAUUGAUUUAGGAGUAAUUCUAGCAAGAUAGUUUAUUCACUUUCCAUGUAAGAGUUUAUUCUUAGGAGUAAUUCUAGCAAGGUAGUUUAUUCACUUUCCAUGUAAGGGAAAUUCCAUUCCGGAAUUUUCUCAUAUCUGUAGGCUAUUUAUUUAUGCUUUCAUUCAUUGUAAAGGAAGGUAUCACAGAAUGAAUUGAGGUGUUCCUCCAUAGUUUGUCUUCAAAUUCUUCAUAUUUUUCUUCAAAUUCUUCAUGGUAUCAGAGCAGGUUUAAUCCUGUCUCAUCGUCUUCAUCUUUAGUCAGUUUUUUUUUACUCAAUUCUAUUCUUCUAAUUUAUGCCUAAAUACGGUCCAGCCUUUGGAAUGGCUACCAAUUCAUCAUCUUCUACUUCUGAUAUCAUCAUCUCAUCGUCUUCAUCCUCUCAUCAGAUGGAAACCUCUCAUCUUCCAAUCACAGCCCAUAAACUGAAUGGGCAAAAUUAUUUGCAAUGGUCUCAGUCCAUAUUAAUGUUUAUACGGGGAAAGGAGAAAGAUGACUACAUCACCGGAGAUUCGGCGGCACCAGAAACCACAGCAUCUGGGACACUGGCUAGUCAACUCUAUGACCGCUGACAUUGGUGAAAAUUUUCUGUCAUUUGAUACUGCCAAAGAAAUCUGGGACACUGCAAAAGAAACUUUCUCAGACAAGGAAAACACAUCUGAAAUCAUCCAGAUUGAAGGCAUCCUCCACGAUUUGCGUCAGGGAAACCUUACAGUAACUGAAUAUUUCAAUACUCUUACUCGUCUAUGGCGUCAACUUGAUACGUUUGAGGUUCAUAACUGGAAUUGUGUUACAGAUAGUUUUUUGUAUAAAAAGAUUGUCGAAGGGAAACGUGUGUUUAAAUUUUUGUUAGGUUUGAACAAAAAUCUUGAUGAAAUCAGAGGAAGAAUCAUGGGAGUAAAACCCCUACCUAGCCUCAGAGAGGCAUUCUCUGAAGUCCGUCGCGAAGAAAGUCGGAAAAAUCUCAUGAUGGGAUCCCAUCAACAACUGAAUAUGGCAGAAAGCUCGGCUCUUAAGACUCAAUUCGNNNNNNNNNNNNNNNNNNNNNNNNNNNNNNNNNNNNNNNNNNNNNNNNNNNNNNNNNNNNNNNNNNNNNNNNNNNNNNNNNNNNNNNNNNNNNNNNNNNNNNNNNNNNNNNNNNNNNNNNNNNNNNNNNNNNNNNNNNNNNNNNNNNNNNNNNNNNNNNNNNNNNNNNNNNNNNNNNNNNNNNNNNNNNNNNNNNNNNNNNNNNNNNNNNNNNNNNNNNNNNNNNNNNNNNNNNNNNNNNNNNNNNNNNNNNNNNNNNNNNNNNNNNNNNNNNNNNNNNNNNNNNNNNNNNNNNNNNNNNNNNNNNNNNNNNNNNNNNNNNNNNNNNNNNNNNNNNNNNNNNNNNNNNNNNNNNNNNNNNNNNNNNNNNNNNNNNNNNNNNNNNNNNNNNNNNNNNNNNNNNNNNNNNNNNNNNNNNNNNNNNNNNNNNNNNNNNNNNNNNNNNNNNNNNNNNNNNNNNNNNNNNNNNNNNNNNNNNNNNNNNNNNNNNNNNNNNNNNNNNNNNNNNNNNNNNNNNNNNNNNNNNNNNNNNNNNNNNNNNNNNNNNNNNNNNNNNNNNNNNNNNNNNNNNNNNNNNNNNNNNNNNNNNNNNNNNNNNNNNNNNNNNNNNNNNNNNNNNNNNNNNNNNNNNNNNNNNNNNNNNNNNNNNNNNNNNNNNNNNNNNNNNNNNNNNNNNNNNNNNNNNNNNNNNNNNNNNNNNNNNNNNNNNNNNNNNNNNNNNNNNNNNNNNNNNNNNNNNNNNNNNNNNNNNNNNNNNNNNNNNNNNNNNNNNNNNNNNNNNNNNNNNNNNNNNNNNNNNNNNNNNNNNNNNNNNNNNNNNNNNNNNNNNNNNNNNNNNNNNNNNNNNNNNNNNNNNNNNNNNNNNNNNNNNNNNNNNNNNNNNNNNNNNNNNNNNNNNNNNNNNNNNNNNNNNNNNNNNNNNNNNNNNNNNNNNNNNNNNNNNNNNNNNNNNNNNNNNNNNNNNNNNNNNNNNNNNNNNNNNNNNNNNNNNNNNNNNNNNNNNNNNNNNNNNNNNNNNNNNNNNNNNNNNNNNNNNNCAUUCAUAGAUGGUCACACUAGAUUAACUUGGGUAUUCCUCACGAAAGAAAAAUCUGAAACGAGUCAAAUUUUCAAAAAUUUUAAAAAUAUGAUUCAGACCCAAUUCCAGUCAAAAAUACAAAUUCUAAAGUCUGAUAAUGCUAGGGAUUAUUUCAACUCCAUUCUAGGAGAAUUUCUAGCACAAGAAGGGAUAGUUCACUUAAGUUCAUGUGUUGAUACCCCACAACAAAAUGGAAUCGCUGAAAGGAAAAAUAGGCAUUUGUUAGAGGUGGCUAGAUCACUAAUGUUCUCCAUGAAUGUUCCAAAAUUUUUCUGGGGGCAAGCUGUCCUUACGGCAGCCUACCUCAUCAAUAGGAUGCCAUCUAGGGUACUAAAAUUCCAAACACCUUGUCAAACACUCCUAAAAUCCUUUCCGACUACUCGUCUCAUCUCCACCGUCCCACCCAAAAUUUUCGGGUGCUCUGUCUUUGUUCAUAUCAAUCAACAACAUAGAAGUAAACUUGAUCCUAGGUCACUCAAAUGCAUCUUUCUUGGGUAUUCUUCAAAUCAAAAAGGGUAUAAGUGUUACUCUCCGGUCACAAGAAAAUUCUACAAUUCAAUGGAUGUCACCUGUUUUGAAACCCAGCCUUACUAUCCCAAAAACGAUAUUCAGGUGGAGAAUUCAACUCAGGAAUAUCAAUUUUGGGAUCUUGAGUCAUUCAGUGAGUCACCCAUCACCACUGAAAAUCACAUUCCUCCAGAGUCAUUUAAUCAACCCGAGUCCAUUGUUGACUUGUGGGAUAAGGAGCACAUCCAAGAGGAAACGGAGGAAAGAGCACUUUCUCAACAAACCCAUGAGGCAGAACCGGGUCCUAAUCCAAGCAAACUUCCAGGUAACAACGCUCCUGAUGGUACUGUUGAUUCCGAGUUAGAAAAUGAUAUUCUUAAUAUGCCCAUAGCUUGGAGGAAAGGAGUUAGAUCAUGCACUCAGCAUUCCAUUGGAAAUUUUAUUUCUUAUGAUAAGCUAUCACCUACGUUUCGUGCAUUCACUUCUAGCAUCACAGAGAUACAAGUUCCUCAGAAUAUUCAGGAAGCUUUCAAGUAUCUUAAGUGGAAGACGGCAGUCGAUGAGGAAGUUCGGGCGCUGGAAAAGAAUGGUACGUGGGAAAUUACUGACCUCCCAAGAGGUAAGAAACCAGUUGGGUGUAAGUGGAUUUUCACAGUAAAGUACAAGGCAGAUGGUAAUGUGGACAGGUAUAAGGCUCGGUUGGUCGCCAAAGGAUUCACCCAAUCCUAUGGCAUUGACUAUCAAGAAACUUUUGCUCCAGUUGCCAAGCUCAAUACUGUUCGUGUACUUUUAUCCUUGGCAGCUAAUCUCGAUUGGUCGCUUCACCAACUUGAUGUGAAGAAUGUCUUCCUCAAUGGUGACUUAGAGGAAGAAGUUUACAUGGACAUUCCUGCUGGACUUGAGACGACAUCAAAUUUCAACAAGGUUUGCAGACUCCGAAAAUCCUUGUAUGGUCUCAAACAAUCUCCCAAGGCCUGGUUUGAACGGUUCACUAAGGUAGUGAAAGGGUACGGAUUCGUUCAAUGUCAAUCCGAUCACACAUUAUUUGUGAAACACUUCCCAGAAGGGAAACUGACAAUUAUCAUUGUAUAUGUGGACGACAUAAUUUUGACAGGUGAUCAUGAAGAGAAAAUUGACUUACUUAAAAAAUUACUGACAAAGGAAUUUGAGAUCAAGGAUCUUGGAAACCUCAAGUACUUUCUCGGAAUGGAGAUUGCUAGGUCAAAGAAAGGUAUAGCAGUCUCACAACGCAAAUACGUUCUGGACUUAUUGAAUGAAAAAAGAAUGCUAGGAUGCAAGCUGGCAGAAACACCUAUGGAUACAACUGUCAAACUGGAAGAAAGUGAUGGAAGUGCGCCAGUUGAUAAAGGAAGAUAUCAACGUCUUGUGGGGAAACUCAUCUAUCUUUCUCAUACAAGGCCAGACAUCGGCUUCUCCGUUAGUGUGGUAAGUCAAUUCAUGAAUAAUCCAACCGAAAAACACAUGACUGCUGUGAUCAGAAUAUUGAGAUACCUCAAGAUGACACCGGGAAAGGGUCUCUUCUUUCAAAGAACAACAAAGAAAGAGAUUGAGAUUUUUUCAGAUGCAGAUUGGGCAGGUUCAGUGACUGAUCGGAGAUCAACUUCAGGCUAUUGUUCAUUUGUCUGGGGGAACUUGGUUACAUGGCGAAGUAAGAAACAGUCAGUGGUAGCCCGUAGCAGUGCUGAGGCAGAAUUUCGUGCUAUGGCACAAGGUAUCUACAAGGGAAUCUGGUUGAACAGGCUGUUAGAAGAAUUAUGGGUUCCAUUGAAGCAUCCCAUGGUGUUAUACUGCGACAAUCAAGCUGCCAUCAGUAUCGCUAAGAAUCCGGUUCAUCAUGAUCGAACUAAGCACGUGGAGAUAGAUCGACACUUUAUCAAGGAAAAGAUUGAAGAAGGAGUUUUCAAAGUCAGCUACACUCCGACAAACUGUCAAACGGCUGACAUUCUCACAAAAGCUCUUGCUCGAGUUAACUUCGAAGAUCUGACAGAAAAACUUGGAAUGAUCAACAUCUACAACGCGGCUUGAGGGGGAGUGUUGGAAAUCAAGCCAACAUCCUUUGUUUACUUCCUUAAUUAGUGUAAUGUACAACCUUUAUUAUAAUUGAUUUAGGAGUAAUUCUAGCAAGAUAGUUUAUUCACUUUCCAUGUAAGAGUUUAUUCUUAGGAGUAAUUCUAGCAAGGUAGUUUAUUCACUUCCCAUGUAAGAGUUUAUUCACUUUCCAUGUAAGGGAAAUUCCAUUCCGGAAUUUUCUCAUAUCUGUAGGCUAUUUAUUUAUGCUUUCAUUCAUUGUAAAGGAAGGUAUCACAGAAUGAAUUGAGGUGUUCCUCCAUAGUUUGUCUUCAAAUUCUUCAUAUUUUUCUUCAAAUUCUUCACCCACUUCUUCUUACCUGGCUCCUUCACAAGUACCCCCUUCCUCAUUUGUCAGUCCAAUUUCCAAAUCACCCUACCUCACUCACGCCUCUCCGCCUGACCUCUCAUUCUAUGUUCAACUCCCACUUCCACCCCCUACUUAGCCUCUUUCUACUACCCAUCACAUGACCACACACUCCAAGUUUGACAUCUUCAAAUCCAAGGACUUUAAUAUCUCAACCAUGGUUCAAAGUUGCGGUAUCGGUCAUUGACUCGGAGGGUCACGAGGCAUAUUGGUAUCGGUGUCUCGAUUCGGUAUCGGGCGAUAUGUAAAAUAAGAUAAUUAAAAUUUUCAAAAAAUUAUAAAAAUAUUACAUAAAUUAAAAAAUAAAAUAGAUAUAAUUAAAUAAGCUGAAAAAUUUAACAAAACAAUUUUUUUUUUUCACAUUUAGCUUAAAGUUAUUUAUGAUAAUAUUAAAAAUUGAGGAUUUAAUUCUCACUUUGCCAUAUAAACACUUUAAUUUAUCAUUAAACCUCAUAUAUACCUUUCAUAUCAUUUUACUUUAGCAAGUCGGGUACUCAAUUUUCCUAAUAUAUUAUUAUUAAAUCAUAUUAAAGUGUUUAUAUGAAAGGUAUUUUCCAUGUAAAUUAGACUCCAUUCUCUGUGUAAAUCCAUAUAAAAGGCAACUUUUUUACUUUACUAAUUUGAGCCCCCAAUCUACCAUCCUCACCACCAUUGUUGUCAAGACCCACAACAGAGCUCCCAAUCUCCCACCCUCGCAUGCCACCAUGCUUUCAAGACCCACAAUAGAUGACACCACCUGCAAUUGCAAAUUUGCAAUCGUUCCUAACAUGAGAGGGGGAGCAAUCUGACUGUGAGGGGUUGACUUGUUGACGUCGCCGGUGAAAUAUUCUGUCCACUUGACUAGUCACCACCGUCGACACCAAGACUCCACCCUUCGGUAAUGCUCAAUUUUGACGAAAAUCAGGUAAGUAAAUCCUAAAUCAUGCCCUCAUCCUUCAGUGGUUUCUCCGUUUAUUUCUGAACGGGUCAUAGUUAGGGUUUUUUCUUCUUCAUCUUCUUUGAUCUUCUCAUUGAUGGUUUAAAAUUUUAGAAUAGGUGUUUGCUUUUGAAAGGGCAAUCUCUGAUUAAUUUUUUUAUUUUAUUUUAUGAAAAUUUUGAAAAUUCUCUAUAAUCUAACCGAGUCAACCGAGUUAACUCGAAAACUCAAACGAGUUAGCCGAGUCUAAUCGAUUCCCAGCCGAGUUCGUGCAUUAUACCAUAUUUGGUAUCGGUCUCAUCGUUACAGGUGUCGAGGCGGAUACGACUCAGCCAAGUCAUACCGGACUCAGCUGAUACUUUGAACCUUGAUCUCAACCAUACCAACUUCGGUCCUUAAAGCACUCCAACUUAGUCAUUGGAAACAGGCCAUGAGUGAAUAUCACAGUGUUGUUACAAUGUUGGUCGAAAUUUCAUGGCUCUAAUCUCUUCUUCGAGAACUCCACAUUACUUCCUCAACAUAGUUCACCUUUGAGUAAAUCCAUAUCUAUCAUGUUCCCUCAUGCGCUCAACUUGUAGACCUUUUCACCUAAGCUAUUCCCUAGCUUUCAGUUCCUAGCAUGCGAGACAAACUCAGUGUCACACAAGGUCCCUAAUCAGUUUGAGGGGGCUGUUAGAGAAGAUUCGUUCAGCUACAACUGUUACAAUUGUUGAUUACUUGAGCUAUAGCUUAGUUAGUUCUCUUUUUGUUAUUAAAAACUCUUCAAGUAAUUACAGGUGACUUACUAUUGAAAGAACUAUAUUUUCUAUAGAAUAAUAAUAAGAUGAAAAACAUAGAAGGUAAUGGUAAUCUUCCUUCUUUCUUUUCUGCUUUUUCUCUUUCUUUCAAACACUAUCUAUUUAUUUUGAUACCACAUUUUGAUGUCAAAUUGCAAACCAACAUGGGGAUACAAACGAUAGUGGCUUGAGGUCUACCGAUUGCUCACCACAUUUGGUAAGAGUAGUUGAUUUCAAAAUCAAACAGUCAGAUCCCAUUAUGGAAGAAUAAUCUGACUCGGCGGUGAAUUUCAUUAUUUAAUAAAUAUUCAAAUCUUAUUUAAAGACAUCUAAAAAUUUUAAAAAACUCUCUCCACUUAGGAAAAAAACAAUAAAUAAAUAAAUAAACAUAAACUUGAACACACUGAUUUUCAGGUAAUAUAACUGCACUGACUAGGAGCUUUUUGAAUCCCAGAAAAGAUACUUUUCAUGAACGAAUCUAGAUGCACUGACUAGUUACAAUUUUUGUCCAACUUCAUCCACAAAAGCCUUGAGAUUAUUGUCCGACAUUCCACCAUUCUUCAUAGCUUCCCUCGCCAACUCCUUCCAUUUCUCAGCAUUCCUUCUCAAUCCUUCUGCUCUUUCUCCAUCUCCCAUAACAAUUUCCAAGCACAUCUUUAUCUCAUCACGUUCAACCAUUCCUUCUUCAUUCACCCACACCCGAAUGCCAGUUUUCCACAUGUCCGUGAUCAGCUUUGCGGUGGUGGCUUGAUCCGUCCCUUGGGGAAAUGCCACAACCGGAACCCCACAAACCAUGCUCUCCAAGGUUGAAUUCCACCCACAGUGCGUCACAAAACAUCCCAAUGAUGGAUGGGUCAAAACCUCCAAUUGGGAACACCAAGGUACUAUCAUCCCUCUCUGUUCCAAUUCUUCUCUGCAACCCAGCAUUUCUUCAUCUUUCACUUCUCCCUUAUCGGGUUCUCUUAUGACCCACAAAAAAGGUCGGUCACUAUUUAGCAGACCACAGGCAAUCUCCUCCAUUUGCGGCUUUGACAAAAUAGCUAAGCUCCCAAAGGAUAUGUAAAUGACUGAUGAUUUGGGCUUGGAGUUCAACCAUUCUAUGUAGUCAGUGGAACCUUGAAAUCGGUCACCUCCGAAAGAAAUAUCAGUUGGAUCUUUUGCAUCCAAGAAAGCAGAUGGAAUCAAGGGGCCAAUUCCAAUCAAUUUAAGCUUGUCCAAGGCCCGCAAAGCCUUGGGCUCUAAUGCAUCAAAGGUGUUUAGCAGUACUUUAGGGUUUUCAUCUUGGCUAAGUGCUUCGAAAUUGUUUUGAAACGAUUCGAGAACAAAAGUCAAUUUAUUUGAAGACAGUAGAAAAGAGGGAAGGUCUCGGCUAGUGAACAGUGGCUCCAGUCCUGGAAGCUCAAUGGACGAUGAGGGAUCAAUGCUUUUAUUUCUAACCUCAUCACCAUAACCAUUGAAGUAAUAGUAGUAGAUGUCAAACACUGUGGUCGCUUGAUUCCAGAAAUAAGCAGAUAAGACCUGAACCCUACGUGCCACCUCUUGCGCCCAAUCAAAGAUCAUGGUGUACACUAUGCAGGCAACGGGCCGACCUUGGUCAGCACAUUCCAGCACGAGCUCAGUGAGCUUUCGCGUUCCUUGGCGCUUAAUCUCUGACAGAACGUGAUGUAAAUUGUCUUUGUUUUCACACCCAUCGUCGUAGCCAUCAGAGAAGGGGGCGAAGGAUAAUCCACAAACAGACAGCGGUUUGACCAUGUGGCGUUGGGCAUAGACGGUAGUGACAAAGGUGACCUGAGCACCGGUUUGUAUUAGCCGCUUGGCCAACCGGAGAGUUGGAUUGAUGUGGCCUUGCGCUGGAUAGCUGACAAGGAGGAAGUGAGGAGGAGCCAUGGCCGGGGCUAGUUUACAGGGAAAGGGGUGAAAUGUGGAGAAUUGCUCAUGACUGGUAUUGUAAAGGGGUGUGAAACCUUAAAUAAAGGGCUGCAGUUUGCAGAAUGAAUAUUGUAUUAAAUUACAUUUGAUAUUGAAAGGAAACAAUGUGUUUUCAGAGUUUAUGGAUGGAAACAGUAUCUGACCGGAUUCUGCUGAUCCAACCAUGAAUUUAUUUCCUUUUCCUUAGUUCAUCAAAUUCAAUUCCAAUAAUAAUAAUUAUUAUAUUUAUUUUUCAAGUCUUUAUUGUGAAUCAAAGGAGAGAGGUGUAUUUUUAUAUUUUACCAAAAAGUAAAUUUCAGAAGAUGGAUGAAAAGCAUACAUAAAUAAAAAAAUAAAUAAAUUGAAAAGGUAAAAUAGUUUAAAAUUUUAAAUUUUAAUUAUAAAAUAACUAAUUCUAAAAAAAUUAAUUAAAAAACUUAAGUAAAAAUUAAAACAUAUAAAAUUUAAAUUAACUCCUAAGUUACAUCACAAGGGAGCAAAAUAAAGAAUAAAAUCGGUUAUCAUUGAUAUUUCAGGGAUCCUCAAGCCUCAUCUUCUCCUUUUGUAGAUUGGACAAUUUAGUAGCUAGAAAUGUUACCUAUUAUGAAUUCUCAAUAAGUUACUGCAUUGUCAACAUCUUUAUAAUCAUAAUCUCACAAUUCAACCUUCUUUAGAAGUUAUUACAAUUUUAAGUCCUUGCACUUGGGGGCUUGACACUAUUGAGGCAAUAUAUCAUCCCCACCAUAGUGAGCAAUCAAUCGAUCUCAACUUUAAUCGAUGACAAAGAGAACCACCCCUUAUUAGGUUCAUCUUCUUUUUCCUCUUCUUUCGACUACUCUUCUACUUCUACAAGUUUUGGCUCCUCAUUCUCAACCUUGUUAUUGGUGUAUUUGGACUUGUGGCACACAUUUGCUAUUAACAACCUUUCAAACAACUAGAAAGGAGGAUACAAAGUCAUUAUAACAUUAUGUUUGUUGAACUUGAUGCUAUCUUAGAUGAUAACAUUUACUUGCAAGGCCUUUGUGUUUUUGACAAAAAUGAGUUUUCUAUUUCAUAUAACAAGAUGAAAGUGAUUAACACUACAAAAAACAUUAUUUUCACACUUAAAAACAUAGAUUUUAUUAUCACUUUUGAGUGUUAAUCAUAUCUUUUUUUACUUGAAUUCUUGUAAGUUGUAUUUUAGAGCUAACAGGGGUAUGCAACAAAAUAGAAUGAAAUGAGGCAUUUUAGGUGAAUUUCAAGGAAGGGUUAUUACAUGAGGUUGAUGGAGGCAAAGAAAAUUGCCAAAGAACUUCCUUGAAGUUCAAACAACUAGUGGAAGCAAGGGAUCAAAUUAUGAACUUUGAUCGUGAGGAAAGAAAAUGAACAAUUAAGUGAAGUGUAGAACAAUCACAUGUUCAAAGAAGGGCAAUAAAUCACCCUGAUGUAAAUGUGUAAAAGAAAGAAGGAAAGCAAGGCCAAUAUGUAAGGACAAUCAUGAUCGCAAUUGCUGGUGCUAUAAUGUGUCCUCUGAUCAUCUUGCUUUGUUGUGAAGAAAAUGGUCAAUCCACCCAUGGCUUUGUUAAGAAGUUAAAAUGAGAGAUCUAGAGUAUUCACUUGCCAAGUUCAAAAGAUUUUCCAUAAUAAUAACCACCACUCAACAAUAAUAGCAACCUAACAAGAAUAAAAAAUGAUAAUCCAAGAACAUUUAAUAAAAAAAAGGGACAUCAAAUAUAACAUGGAAAAACCCUCCAAAUGGUGAUACAAUAGUUAAGUCCUCAUAGGUUUCUUCACUUUGAAAACUUAUAUAAAUAUAUCUCAAUAUUUGAGGUGGGAAUCCAUCACCCUAGAAAACAAUGAACAAAAAGAGAUUAGGAAGAAAUUAUACGUACCAUAGGGAUUUCCUCAAAAGGUUGAUGAAAGAACUUGUAACUUCACCCUUGAGCCUUAGAACAGUGCCCAAAAAACAAUCCUAUAUAUAUAUAUAUAUAUUCAUUUUCUCAAUCACCCCUUCUCUCAUAAUACCAAAACUUUAAUGUUAUUUAUAUUUGCACUUAAGGAAUACUCAAAUAUAAAAUAGUCUAAUAUAUGGGCUCAUGGUCUGGACAAACUUAGCCCAACAAUCUCCCCCUCCAACAUAUGAGGUAGGAAUUCAAAUCCAUAAACCCAUCACAUGGAGUUCAAACCUGUUAUGUCAAUGCAGGACUAAAGCUUUUGCUUAGUGACAACCUUUGUCAACAUAUUUGAGACAUUUUUGUUGGUGUGAAUCUUUAUCAACUUGACUUAUUUUCUUUAACUAUAUCCCUCAACCACUUGAAUACCCAUUUGUUUUUCAAUGAUUUUAUUCCUUUAGGAAGUUGUACCUACUCAUAUAAUUUUAAUGCAAUAAUCCAUCUCAUCUCGCAUGGCUCUCAAACAAUUGCAACUAUCCUAAUAAAACUUAGCUUCCUGGAAACUCUAUUGCUCCUGAUUACUACUCAAAAAGUGCUAUUUGAUAGCCUAUAAUUAAUCCUUUUAAACACUUUUGAGUAGUAGUUUAGGCCUUUUAACUCAAUUGGCAUGUUAAGGAUCCUUUAAAGCAAUUUUGAUCACUUUGUGUAAGUUUUGGUGUUUUUGUUAGUAUUUUGAUCACCAAAGCAAGUCAAGUCUGAGGAGAGCUAUGAGGAAUCUUGGGCAAAGCUUAGAAUUCAUUUGCCAAGAGUGAAUCCGGAUUGCAAGGAGAAAAAGCAAAGAGAAUCUGCCAUAAAUCCUAUUCUUGAUGACAGUAGCAGCCACUUUUGGAGCACUUUCUGAAUUCCAAAUGAUGCAUGCUAUACACCAUUUCAAAGCUCAGGAAGUCAAGAAUCCAAUGCUUCAAACGGUGCGUGAUUCGGAGUUGAAACGAAGAAGUUACAGCCACUUCAAGUCAAUCACUCUAAAGUGUUGCGGAAUCAGCCUUUUGUUGCGAGAAUUUCGCAGCCUUUUUGUACAGUGUUGUGGAUUUCCUCCUGAAGUCACCCGAUAUAUGCCGCAAGCUGGAAGCUGAGAACCUCAAGGUGGAAGCCAACUUCGCAGCCCUGUGAGGAUAGCUUGUUGCUGCGAAGUGAUUUCGCAACCCUUCAUGAGUGUCUGCGAAAUCUCGCAGACACCAUUUUCUCCUGCGAAAUGGUCCUUAGUGCUUCCCGAUAUUUGCCACCGACUCUUUUGGAUAUUUUUCUUCAGAUAUUUUUGUAUAAAUUUCCAUUUUCUCCUUGUAUUCAGCCACUCAUGUAAUUCCUUAGCUAGGAAGUAUCCAAGGAAGGGUAAAUUACCUUCCUAUAUAAACUCUCUUGUAAACACUCUCAGGAGACGCUCGGAGAUAUAUGUAAUCCGAUCAAUAUAUAGAUAUAUCAUAUAUAGAAUCAACAAACAGAGCACUUGCUCUGUUUUUCAUAUAUAUUCUUGUCUUCUCUUUCAUUUUUAUUUCUAGCCAACCAAACUUUGAGGAUUUUUCCUCAGAGGAUGAGAGGCUAGGCUCUUUGUCUCUUGGAGUGAGGAAAGCCGGGUAAGUUUACACAUGCAUAAAUUGGAAGUUUUGUUGUUUUAGUUUUUAAUGAAGAGAAAGUGUGACCCGUUAAUGGUUUUUAUCUUUUUAGUUAACUUAAAACGCCUUUAAUUCACCUGGGCCAACACUUGGUAAGGCAAGUGAUCUCCGUCCAUGGAGAUGCACUAGUUUACCCCUUGCGAGCCUCUGGGAGGUGACUUGAAGGUAGGAUUUUCUAGAAUAGCCAACACUUGGUAAGCUUUUGGACUCCAAGGAGACAUCCAUUAGUUAUCUCUUGCGAGCUUUUGACGGGUAAUCCAAGGUUAAAGAUCACCUUGAAUGGCAAGUGCUAGGUGAGAGGUAUGAGCCAUUGCAAGUUGCAUCAGUGAGAGGGAUUUAGUGUUUGAACCCAUUAAUGGGAAGCACCUGUACAACACCGGUUAGAGAAUAAACUAUAUGUUAAUUCUCUAAUGCGAGGAAAAGAAACAAGUGACCGGAACUCUCCUUUUUGUAUGAGGAACGAGCCUAGUGAUCUGAACUCCAAGAAACACUUUUCUUUAUAAGUAAAAUCAGUUACUAUUUUUGGUUAGUUUAAAACCAAACCUUUUUCAUUCAAACAUCUUUAUGUUUUCUUUUAAAGCUAACCUUGAAAUGAAAAGGCACCAAUUCAGCUUUGAAUUAAUAUCAUUUGCAAAGUGAAAACCCAUCCCAGUGAACGAUCCUAGAGCCACUAUGCUAUAGUAGCUUUGUCUUUGCUACCCUAGUAUAUGGUGUAAUAGGUUAUAAAUUUUGUUGAUUACUCCCUCAAUCAAGGAGCACCAGCUGGACAUGAAUCAGUUGAGACACCAAAUGGGCACGAAUCAAAUGGCGCCGUUGCCGGGGAUCGAACCCCGAAUCAAAUGGUGCCAUUGCCACUGCCGUUGCUAGGGACGAAUCAGCUCCUUCUCAUCAAUUAUUAACAUGUACUUAGAGGAAGAAUAUCUAGUAAAAGGACAAUACUCUCUAGUAGACCUCUUAGCUUGGGGUACCAAAGCCUCCUGAUGAAGUGAUUGCUCCCCCUACUCCUCAUGCUCAACUGGCUCUUGUGUAGCUAUGUCAUUUGCACUAUCAUCUCUUGGUAGCUCAUCAAUUUCCUCCUCUUCAUUUUUGGGCUGCUCUAAUGAUGAAGGAAUAAGUACCAACUCAAUAAAGUCGUUACUUAUAGCUUUGGAUUGAUUAGGUUUGUCAAAAUCUCCUAAAGUUUGAUCUUUUUGAAUGACCAUAUAUCUACUUCUUACCAAUUUCUUCUUGGUUAGAUCCCAAAAUUUGAAUCCAAAGUCUUCAUCACCAUACCUAACAAAGACAUGUGGAACUGUCUUAUCAUCAAGUUUGGAUUUAUGUUAUUUGGGAACAUGGACAAAAGUUUUACACCUUAGACAACUUUGCAAUUUUUAGCAUACACCUAUCCCUCUCAAUGAUGUGGAGUGAUUCAUCCUUUCAACCACACCAUUAUGUCGUGGAGUGCUUGAGAUUGUUUUCUCAUGUCUUAUACCAUUUGUAGUGCAAUAAACUUCAAACUCCCUUGAGUUGUACUCACUUCCAUUAUUAUACCUAAGACAUAUCAAUUUCCUUCUAGUCUCUUUCUCAAUCAUGGGAUGAAAUUGUAGAAAAUACUAAAAUACUUGAUCCUUUGAUCUAAGCAAAUAAAUCCAUACCUUCCUAGUAGCAUCAUCAAUAAAGGUGAUAAAGUAUUUAUUUCCUCUAAGAGUUUCCACAUCCAUGGGGCCACAAACAUCAAAGUGUACCAACUCCAACUUUUCUAACUUCUUCUUAUAUCUACUACUAAAGGAAACCUUAUGUUGUUUUCCAACCAAACAAUGAUCACAAGAAGACAAGGAUUCAUUUUUUGCCAAGGGAAUUAAGAACUUCCUUGCCAAAACUUGCAAUCCUUUCUCACUCAUAUGUCCCAAACUUUUAUGCCACAACUCCAAGGAAGUACCCUUUAUAGCAUGUAACUCCUCAUUACAAGCUUUCCCUUGGGUCUUGUACAAAUUAAGUGCAACAUGCUUCUUCUUUUGCAACAACCAAUGAGCCUUUAGUGAGCUUCCACACUACAAGAAAAAAGCUCUUCAUUGACAGUUUUUCAUCGUCAAGAUAAGGGAUAUCUGUUAAGGUAGAUCAGUGUUCACAUAUGUCAUCUAUGCCAGUGUCAAGAAAUGAUAAAAGCUAGCUUGACAUAUGCAUAUGUUAAGGUAGACCUUAUUUCUAUCAAUGUAGGAAUCUUAUUAAUAUGACAUAUGUGAAUGUUUCAUCCAUUUUAGUCAAGGUUAGGUUAAACAUAUGUGAAGGUUGACUCAUUGUUUUAUCAAGAUUAUAUUCAAUAUAUGUUAAGCUUAAGUAUGAUAUAUGUCAAUGUUGUUUUAUAUGCUUUUAAAUUUAAUUUACACAUAUGUCAAGGAUUUUUUUUUUCAAAGUUGAAAUUUUAAUAUGUUAAGGUUCCUUUAUUCUUAUGUCAAGGAAUACAAUUUCUUUUAUGUCAAGAUUUCUUUAUUCAUAUAAAGGAAAUUGUUUUAUUUCAUAUCAAGGUUGCAUAUGGAACAUGUCAACAACCUAACCUAUUGCCCAAAUGAUCUACAAAAAUUGAACUUGUUGUGUGUGUGUGUGUAUAUAUAUAUAUAUAUAUAUAGAUAAACUACAUGAAUGUAUAAAGUAUAUUAUAUAUAUAUAUAUAUAUAUAUAUAUAUAUAUAUAUAUAUAUAUAUAUAUAUAUAUAUAUAUGAACAUGUAGGCAAAUAUAUUGACAAAAAAAAAAAACUUAAUAUCCUUGCAUAAUCUUGUAUUAUCAUCACAUGCAUACAAAAAAAGGCAAAUAUGUACCCAAAAAUUCAAUAGUUAUACAUGAUAAAUAUAAUGUAUGCAUGAUCUUGUGCCUUCAAAAGUGUUGUAAUUGCUGCAAAUGCCACCUAACCUUCUACAAGUAAGAAAAAAACAUUAGUAUAUGUUUAUAGUUGAAAGAUUAAUAAAAGGAUAUAAACAUGUAUCCAAAUGUAUUCCUAAACAACCUAACAACUAUAUAUAAUCUUGUUAUCUUAUCAAAUAUAUAUGAAAAAAGGAUAGAUAUUUACCAAAAAAAAAAAACAAAUAUCAAGUAAUUGUAUAUGAUAACAAAAAUUUAUGCGUGAUCUUCUCCUCUAAAAACUGCAACUACUGCAAAUGUCACCUAACCUCUAGCAAGAAAGAAAAAAGUAACAUUAUUUUAUGUUUAUGUUUGAAAGUUCAUUAAAAAUAUAUAAAUAUGUAUCCUAAAUAUAUCGAAAUGUAUCCACAAACAACCUAGCAGGUAUACAUGAUCUUAUAGUAUUAUCAUAUAUAUAUAACAUAUUUACUAAAAAAGAACCAAAAAUUAAAUAAUUAUGCAUGAUAACAAGAAUUUAUACAUGAUCUUGUACUUGUAUCAAAUAUAUAUAUAUAUAAAUGAUAGAUAUUUACCAAAAAAUCUAAUAGUUAUACAUGAUGACAAAAACUUAUGCAUGAUCUUGUACUCUAAAAAUUGUAAAUGUUGCAAAUAUCACCCAACCUCUUGCAAAUAAGAAAAAAAAAACAACAUUAGUUUAUGUUUAUAUUUAAAAGUACUAAUUAAAAAGAUAUAAACAUAUACCAAAAUACAUUAAAAAAAUAAAAAAUAUAGCAAUGAACUUUUAGGGAAAAAAUAUAGAUAAGAUAUGUACCUAAAAAUAUCCAAUAAAAGAAAAAACUAAUUGCAACUUUACAUACAUGAUAGUAAGAACCUAUGCUGAUGUUGUAUUCUCAAAAUUGCAACUACUACAAAUGUUAUUCAACUUCUUGCAAGUAGAUAAAAGAACUACAUUAUUUUAAGUCUAUAUUUGAAAUUUUACUAAAAUGAUAUUAACAUGUACCAAAAUUUAUGUAGAAAGAAUCCAACAAACAUACAUAAUAAUAAUAAAAAAGAACAUGACUUGGUAAUUUCAUCAAAUGUAUCUUUUAAAAGAUAUAGGUAUGUACCCAAAAGUAUCCAAAACUUCAACAUCUAUGCAUGACAAUAAGAUCUUACGUAUGAUCUUGUAAUCUCAAAAUUGCAACAAUUGCAAAUGUCACCCUAUACCUUGCAAAGAGAAAAGAUGCAACAUUAAUUAAAAUUUAUGUUUGAGAUUUUAUAAUCUUGCUUAUCCAAGGCAGAACAUAACAUCAAAUUAAGGCAUGAAUCUGGAACAUGCCUUGUAUAUUUCAAUGUCAACUUACACUUCAUAUUGGUUGCAAAGAAAACACCACAUAUCCCUACAAUCUUGGAGUGACUAGAGUUUCCCAUCUUAAAUGUGCCAAAGUUUCUAACUCUAUAAUAAGAAAACAACUCCAAGUGAGGAGUAGCAUGGUAGGAGGUUGCAGUGUUUACAAUCCACUCAACUCUUUGCUCAUCUACAUGCAAACACUCAUUUGAGAGCACUAAAACUUAAUCACUGUUGGAUAUAGAGGUUGUGAUAUUCUUGUUAUCUUAUUUUUCCUGAUUCUAUCUAUUCUGUUCCAUUUUCCAAAUUUGAAAAUUCUUUUUCAUAUGCUCAUCUUUUCCACAAUGGAAACAUUUUAUUUUAUCUCUGGACUAAGACUUCCCCUCGAACUUGUCAUGACCUUUUUGUCCUCAAUUCCUGGUUCUUCCUCUACUUUCUAUGAUGAGGACUUGUGCAUUUUCUGGAUCAUAAGCCUUCCUUCUUGUUUUUUCAUUGAACAAAUUUCCCUUCACAAGCUCCAUAGAUAAUACACCAUUCGAAACAGAGUUACUAAUAGUCACAACAAAAGUUUCUCAACUGUCUGGUAGUGAACACAAUAACAAAGAAGCUUGUAUCUCAUCAUCCAUAACCAUUUUCAUAGCAACCAAUUGAUUUGCAAUACUCUAAAAACAUUCAAAUGAUCUGUCAUUAGUGUUCAUUCCUUUAACUUCAUGUUCUCUAACUUCUUUAACAAGAAAAUUUUAUUCCUAACAAUUUUUUGUUCAAACAUUGAUUCCAGUUUCUUCUAGAGACUAUGGCCAUUUGUUUUAUAUGCCACAUAAUGACGUGGGGUUGCAUCAAUCCAUUGCCUAAUGUAGGCAAUUGCUUUUUUGUUCAUCUUAUUCCACUCCAAAUCAGAAAUAUCUUUAAGCCUAACUUUUUCACCCUCAAGAGUAUCUAACAAAUCUUUGAUGGUGAGAAAAUCUACCAUCAUGGACUUCCACAUAGCCCAAUUUGAAUUGUUAAGUUUUACCAUGGUUACUAAGUUCCUUUCUAUUUCCAUCCCUUUCAAAAAUAAAAGUUCCCACAACUAGACUUUGAUACCACUUGUUGGGAAGUUAAAGGAAGAGAUUUAGAGUAUUCACCUGCCAAGGUUAAGAGAUUCCUCCACAAUAAUAACCAUCACUCAACAAUAAUAACAACUUAACAAGAAUCAAGAAUGAUAAUCCAAUAACAUUCAACCAAAAAGAAGGGACACCAAAUAUAAUAUGAAAAAACCAUGGAGAAAUUUCUUUUAAUUACCAUGACAUAAAUUUCAUCUUUAAAACUCUUUUUUUUUUUUUUUUUUUUUUCUUGCAUGAUUGUAACUUCAUCCCUAAAAGAAUAUUUUUUUAUCCAUGACUACAAACCUCAUCCUUUUUUCUAUAAAUAAAAAAUUCAUGUAAAAAUGUUAUAAAAAUUAUUUGCCAUGAAUACAUGAUGGGAUGAAAUGUAAUCUUUCUGUCAUGAACCAACCUUCAUCAUUGAGAAAACCUUUGUUUUCCAAGAAUAUAAACUUCAUCCCUCAAAAAUAAUUAUUGUGACUAUAAACUUCAUCCCAGGUACAAGUGUAAUAGGAGCAUCCAUUGACAAAAGGUUUACCUUAAGAUGAUCAUCUCAUGGCUAUUGAGAACGAAUCAACCUUAUUUCUAUGCAAAAAAAUUUUGAUUGCAAAAACUUCUUUUUGUGCCUUAAAAUUGCAUUCAUGAUUAAAAUUAUAUGAGAAGUUUGUUGUAGUAUAAGGACAAUAUUUUUUGUGGAGGAAGAACUUUUUUUGUUCCCCUUUUCAAUGAGAUGUUACAUGUUAAAAAGAAGAAAGAUGAAUUAUGUACAAACAAACACCAACCAACUCCAUACAAACCAACAAGGAAUAACAGAGCUAGAAAUAUUUGAGGAAAUAUUAUUUGUUUAGGGAUGGAGAAAUAUUUUCAUUUCAGAAAGGUAGAAUAGUUGUUUUGGAUUUUUGGAAUUAUGUACAGAUUAUCAAUCGAUUGUUUAUGGAGGAUCUGAGCUGUGACCUGGUGUCGAUCUGAUUGGAUCAUGUCAUUUUUCAUUCUAUGUUGGAAAAUGACAUUCUAUACUUGUUUUUCAUUUUAGAUUGCUUGAUCGAACUGGUUCCUCUCUAAAAUUCAAAAAAUACAACACCAUAUAAUUCAUUAUAUUAUUUAUUUGAAAUACAAAAACAGAUUGAUAAAUUACACCAAUUAACCUUUAAAUACAAAGCAAAGAAUAAUUUAUUUGUACCCUAUGUUAUAAGCAUCAAGCCCAUAAUGGAGAGGAAACAACAAAAGAAUAUUCAUGGCUCACCCUUAAUUAUACAAACUCCACCCAAACUGUUCUAGAGAUUAAACCUUGAGUGCUUACACUCAGGAGGGACACCUUGAGGGAAGCGUUUGAGAUCAGUGCAGUAGUUGUAAAUCAUGAAGUUCUUCUGAACCCAUCUCAGCCUUCUUCUGCCGUAGGCAUCAAGUUCCUGGGUCUGGAAGGCACUGUCAGAGAAUGUGCUUGUAGAGGUGGAAGUGCUGGCUCUGAAGUUUCUGUAGUAUGCUGUGAAGGGUGCCUUGGACCAGUCAGUUUUCACCAACCCUCCUCUUGUGGCCCAGUCAUCCGCAUUCCAGAGGCUUGAGUAUAUCCUCAUUGGCUGGUUCUUUGGGAAGGGAACUCCCAUUGAUUCUGCAUUCUUGAAUAGCCUUAUGGGAACGUUGUCUACCAAGAAACUGAUGAAAAAACCAACACCCAGUUCAGUUUUAGUUUAUAGAAAAAGAAUGGAAGUAGCGUUGGAAUGUAGGGUUACGUACAUGAUGUGUUGGGCGCUCCAGGCGAUGGAGUAGGUGUGGAAGUUACGGGUGGGGUCGAACCAGAGGUAGAAUUGUUGCUCCCUGUUGCCCUUCCCUUGAGUGAAUACAUUGGUGUGGAGGAUAUAAGGAUCUCCACUUAGGUUUCCCAAGAACUCAAAGUCGAUCUCAUCAUGGGUUGGCCC
rnacentral:lncRNA from 1 species